CAAUAUAUAGUAAACUUUUCUAUAUGAUAUAUAUAUAAUCAUAUAUAUAUAUAUUAUAUAUAUAUAUAUAUAAAAUAUAAUAUAUAUAUAUAUAUUAUCUUUCGGCUUUUCAAGCCCUGAUCGAGCCGAAACUGGUAAUAUCAACUAUGGCCUAAUAUUAUUUAGAGCGCAAUUUAGGCUCAAGCUCAUACAUGAAAUUAAUUCGAGCCCGAGCUCGAGCGACCGAUAUCGAGCAACCAUGUCGAUACACAGAGCCUCGCUGCAUUGUCCGCCUAGGAAUAGCUGAACAUGAUUUUUUUUUUUUUUUUUUGAAAGAUAGGUAGCAUCCCCGCUUGUUAAUAUCACGAAGAUGGUAGUAUUAUUUUAUUUAAAUCAAAAUAUUUAAGCAUUUAAUUUUUUAAAUUAUAUUAUUAAUAAAUAUUUUUUAUUGCUAUAAUAUUUAGUAUUUGAUUGUGUCCAUACCUUAACAUUUCUUGUCGUGAAUGAAAAGAAACUCUAUUAAUAAAAGAUAAUAUAAACUAAAUUAAAAUUUAAAUUUAAAUUAAAUUUUAGUAAAUUUAAAAUAUAAAUAAAAUAGAUACAACCAUAAUUAUGGGCAACAUUUUUUACUUUAAUCAUGGUCAGCAUUAUCUAUACACAAGAACAGAUUAAUUACUAUACUUAUAAAUUACUUAUCUUCUGUUAAUUCUUUCAAUUUAUACAGUAACGUUCAAUAAUAUAUAUAUAUAUAAUAUAUUAAUAUAUAUAUAUAUAAUAUAUAUAUAUAAUUAUUUUUUUGCAUCAUAUUGUUAGUGAUCAAAAGUCUCAAAAUUGACAAUUUUAAAAUAUAGAUUAUCCUUUGUGAUUUUAAACCGUGUAAAUAAAGAUCCAUCUAUUAAAUUUUUUUAUUUUUCAUCAGAAUCAAUUUUUUAUACACUGUUUAAUAGGUACUAAUACGAAAAAUUAUGAAAUUUUUAUUUUUCAAAAUACUUUUAAUAUUGUAAUUAAUCUAACCGAUUCGUCGCCGUAUGAAAGCCGCAUCAUUGAAAAAAACUUAGUAGCAUACAGCCAAUGUACAAAAAAAUAACGAAAUAAACAACAUAAUGAUAUAACCAAAAAAUAUAUGUUAAAAUAUGUAUGAAAAACAUUUUAUAAUUUCUCAAAAUAAUCAGAAACACCUUAGGAAGGGUCCCAUUUGAAUUGGCUCAUCAAUUUUAAUCAAAAUACACAAAUAUCACUACGGGAAAUGUAUCGUGAUACCACCACUCUAAACAAAGUGGCAAAAGGCUUUGUGGUUCUUAUCAGACCAGUUUUUCGAAUCUAGUUAUUCAAUUUUCAAGCUAAAGUUUAUUUCUAAAUGAAUAAACAUUGUAAUAGUUCUCUUAUCUCUUCUCUCUCUUCUAAAAUAAAAAAAAAAAAAAAAAAAAAAAAAAAAAGCGUGAUUGAACACUCUUUCAAUAGGUUAUAUGACCGGAGUUUCUGUCGAGCUCCAAUUCCGUCGCUAAGAGAAUAAAUUAGAAACAUCAUAUUUCCUUAAUUUGUAGAUCCUCUUUGAAGCCAACCGAAAAGAAAACGUUCUCGAAUUCAUGAUAGGAAGUACAAUUUUAUUAUUCAUAAUAAUAUUGGUUUUCUAAGUUGAGGUUUAGAAUUAGAUACCCACUCAGAAAUAGUCUUAACAAAAGUAAAUUCUAGAAGGAGGUGGUGGCGACGGGGAGGGCGGCGUAGUACGAGUCCAUGACGACGCGGGCCCGCACAGCCUCGGCGUCGGCCGCGGCGUCGAUCAUGUCCCGGAGCAGCCGUGCGUAGUAGGAGCGCAGCCUCCUGUACUGCACUGCGAGCCACCGCAGCCGCAGCCGCCGCAGCAGCACCGCCCCGAGCAUGACCAGCCCCCCGCGCAGCCGCAGCCGCCGCUCUCCUCCCAGCCGCGCCACGGCCAUCUUCGCCCUCCGCCGCCUCCUCCCCUUCGAUGCCGACGCCGACGCCGACACCGAUGCUGAUGCCACGCGGAACGCCAUGGCUCGGCGCGGCGGCUGCUCCGUGAGGAGAGGGUGGUCUUCUUUUGGCGUAGUAAGCAUGCUGGUCAACAAAUCAACAGCCAGCUAUUAGCUCGCUCACUUGUUUAAUUAGCUCAGCGGCGAGGAGACAAUUGAGGAGAAAUAUAUAUAUAGAGAGAGAGAGAGAGAGAGAGAGAGAGAGAGAGAGAUGGAGAAUAAUCAACGCUUGUUAUUGUCUCAUUCUUCAUAUAUUAGUUAAAUUAAAUAUUAUGUAUGAAAGAUCAUCCGACUACAUGCAAGACAUUGUAAAAUAUAUAGACUUACCAAUGUCAAUAUAUAUCUAUAAAUAAGAGUACAACUGAAAUUCUUCGAAUAGUAUUAAGUAUUUGAUGCGAUCAAAUUUUUCAUCAUUAAAUUUAUUAUAAUUCUUAGAUUAUGCUAUUUUACUGACCACCUAAUCAGCUUUGUUACGGAGAUCACUAAUAUAUAUACUAACUUUACAAAUUUUCAUUCAAAGAUCAAAAAUUAAUAGCACAUGCAUAUCUGCUAUUAAAAAAAUUCCAAUCUAUAAUUGUAUAUAUUAAUAUUAAAUUGAAGAAUAUCGAGCCAAAUGAUGAAUCCAUAUCAUCUUAUAUUUGCAUUUUUUUUAGAAAAAUUAAAAUUUUUAACCAAUCCAACUUUAAUAAAUAAAAUUAAUUGAUUUGAAUGAUUUGGUAGGAUUUUUACUAAAAUCAAUUUAUUUGUAUCAAAUAUCUUAACAUUCCAUAUAAAGAUUAAAUAAUUCUCACAACUGGAUUAGAAUAUCAUCCAUCUCAUCUUGACUUAUAUAUAAUAGAUCAAAAAAAAAUUAAGUAAAAUUACAGAAAUAUGCAAAAAUAAGAUACAAUAUAUUUUAACUAGAUACGUACUGAUUAACAUUUUUCAACAUUUAUUCAUUAAUCUGAGUUAAAACUUAGUGCUGUUGUCAAAUUUUACACUUUCCAGUAGAGAAAUUAUAAUUUUGGUAAUAUUUAAAUGCUAAUAGUUGAUUGAAAUUAUUGAAUUUAAUGCAAAUCUCAAUUCAAAUAAUUUAAGCAACUUAAAUUAAAAUAAUUGAUAAGUUAAAAAGGUAUCAAUUUAAAGGGGAAAUUGCUUAUAUACCCUUAAAAGGUUUUCGACUUUUUGAUUUACCUCUCUUAGAAAGCUAAUAUUAAAAAUACUCUUUCUACGUUCCAACCUAUUUUAAAUAUAGUCUUAAAAUUAAAUUCUGUUAAUGAACUAUUAAUAAUAGGGGCAUAAAAUGUAUUUUGAUUUUUGGUCUUUUAAAUAUACUCUUCUACUAUAACUAGCAUUUCUUAUUUGUCCUUAAGAGCAAAAGAGAUAUUUAUUUUUUUUAAUCUCUAGUAGAUAUUUAACUCACGUUUAAACUAAGUUAAUUCAACGGUUGGUAACUGUAGAAAUAUUUUAGAGUAACAGAGAACAUAUAAGGGAUAUAUAGUGGAAAGAAAAAAAAAGGGAUAAAUAAAAUAUUUUAGAAGUUUUGAGAGGUAUAAUGCUAAUUAUCUUGAACUUAAAAAUAGCUUAUAGGUGAAGGGUCUCCAUGCAUUUUUUUAUAUUCCCUCCUUACUUUUACUUUGGAUCUCUCUCAUUAUCCCAUCAUGAAGGCUAUUUUCAUCACUUCCAUUGUGGAGAUAAAGGUUUUUUUAAUUCUGUGCACGUCCCAGUCAUUGACUUCAUAAUGCUGCUAAAACUUCAUAGAGAAAAGUACAAUUAAUGUGGUUUUAUUCCAAUUAUUUAUAUUUAAGACAUUAACUUUUUGUUUUCCUCAAUUUCAGAAUAAUUUUUGGUUUGAAUUUUGAGAUCAAGUUAGUGAAUUUUGAUCAUGUUUGGAUUAAAUUUUAAUCAAAAUUCAAGCAAAAACUGAAUACAAAUCCGAAUUUUAACGGGCGGAAGAAGAAUUCAGAUUAACAUUUGGCAUGGUAUAUACAAACAUCUAGUUCAAACCUAUAAGUGUUGACUAAAAAAAAAAAAAAAAAAAACUCCGCAAAAAUGUGUUACGCAACGUACGUGGUCUACUUUUGAAGUUCGCAUUUCGAAUAUUUAGUAGUCGCAAUGUUGUGCGCAUAUCUCUCUCUCAGUCUCUCUCUUUUGUUUAUUUAAUUUUUUUAUUAAUAGGAUCCAAAUUUUGAUUUUUUUUUUUUUUUACUACAUUAUUGAGAAUCAUUCAAUCUAAAACUCGAAUAUAUAAUUUUGCGCAUAUGAAUCGUAGUGUUUUAUUUGGAAUUAAAUGAGAAAUAUUAUGGGGUAAAUUUCAAAUACCAUCCCUAUGGUUUCGUAUAUUUUUACUUUAGUACCAUGUGGUUUAAAAUAUAUUAAGUUAGUGUCAUAUGGUUUUAUUUUUAUCUUUUCAUCAGUUUUUUCGUUAAUAUUUCGUUAAAUUAUAUAAAAAAACUUCAGAUACCACAUCUAAAUUUAUCAAAUAUUUAUUUUAAUAUUCUUUAGUUUUAACUUUAUAAUUGAUUUAACAAAAAAAUUAAAAAAAUCAAUAAUAAAAAAAUAAAAAUAAAAUCACAAAAUAUUACAUUAAUAUAUUUUAAAUUAUAAAAUAUUAAAAUAAAAAAAUGUGCAAUUAUGAGGGUGGUAUUUAAAGCUUUUCCAAAACCAUGCCACAUGAGGCCAAAAUGGCAUCUCUUGUAUCGUGCAGAGUCACGGCUUUGAAUCUCGUGACUUGUACACGUAAUUAAUGUAAUGUGAGAUGUAUAGAGUGAACGCACUUGCAUGUGAGCUGUGAAGUGCGCUCCAAGGAAAUAUGUGACAUAUCAUAUCAUAUUCAUAUAUUUCAUUAUUUCGAGGUGGAAUGAGGUGGCACUCAACAGUAGAAUGUCAAUGCAUACACUUUUUUUUUUUUUUUUUUUUUUUUUUUUUUGAGAAAAAACGUACUGGAAGGCGAUUUUAUUUAAUUAAUCAAGACUACAUACGGAGUAAAAUUAUUAAUAGAAUGCUAAAUAGAAAGGUUUUUUUGUUUGCGAGUCUUUAAUUGGCCAAGCGAUUCGCAAUUAUAAUAUUUUUAGAAAAUCUUGAUAUCCAUCCAAAACGAAAAUAUUUGAAUUUUUUUGUAAAAAUCUAUUGCUACGUGAUUUUUGUUCGAGCUUUAGAUGUUAGUGCAUCUGAAUUAUAACUUUUAAGGUGCAGAAUUUUGUUGACAAAUGCUAAAUAUGAGAAUAUAUGAAAAAUAUUUUUAGCAUGCAUUUGUAAAAAAGUUUUGUCAUUCGAAAAAUUGCUCCAAUUUUUGUAGAACAAGGAUCAUGGAUUACCUUUAUUGCAACAGAUAUGCAUGCAACGGUUUCAUGCUUAUUGGUAAUCAUGCAUCCUACAUCACCUUCGAUACCACCUUUCCAACUCCCAUCUACCCACACAUGAUAGGAAGAGUUCGCAAGUUCUUGAAUCAGAGUUGGGCCCUGAAUGCUGAUUCUCAUUGUAUUUUUGUUGGAACAUAAAGUCGUCUAGCUGCGAGCCCUUAAAAUGAUACUAAUGAUUGAAGAAUUCUUCCCUAAAAAAAUCACCUCAUUCCUUUCCUUCCACAAGCUUCAUAACAGAUGUAUGCAGAAAGCCUUAUGAGUCAAUGCAUAAAGAUACUUACAAAUUUAUCCGAAUCCGAACGAAAUAAAUUUACCGAAUAAUAAACGAAUAUAGUUUCGAAUACAGAUAUAAAAAAAUUAAAACCCGAUGGAUUUGGAUUCGGAUAUGGAUUUUGUAAGUAUCUGAUCCGAACCUGAGCCCGAUCAGAACCCGAUUUGAUUUUACAUUACAAUAUAUAUAUAUAUAUAUAUAAGAGCCAGGCUCCUAUACUAUCUGUAUGUGACGCCCCGACUUCCCAGGGGGUCACCCAUCCUAGGACUACUCCCGUCCUAGCACGCUUAACUCUCUUAACCUCUUGGGUCUAGCCACCACCCAAAAUGCUUAAGCCGGGUUAAGAGUUUAUCCCUAUUAUAUCUCAUAUAUAGGACUAUCUGGGGUUUCACACUGUAAUACUGGAUCUUCGGUACCAUAGUCUUGUUUUUGAUCUUAGGAUAUUCAAAUCAGCGAUAUCCACACUAUUUAAGCUGAUCUGGGAUAUUUGAAGUUUUUAGAAAUAAAAUAUUACACUUUUUUGACAUAAUUUAUUUUAUGAUCAAAUUAUUUCAAAAUUAUCAUAUUUCAACGGCUGCUAUGACGAGUUUGGAGUUUAACGAUAUAGAAGAAUCUAAAGGUAUUCAAAUUUUGAUAGAAAAUACUUUAAACUAUUUAGAUCAAGGCCCAAAUCUGAGCUCCGGUAUUAUAGAUAAUAUAAUAGUUUCAUUCUCUUUGUCUCUCUCUUUUCAUAUAUAUAUAUAUAUAUAUAUACACUAGUGUAGUAACUCGCGCGAUACGGCGGGUAGAUAAUAUUUGAUAUUUAACUUUAGUUUUUGUACUAAAAUUUUUUCUUCCUUCUUUUUAAAUUAUAAUAUUCGAUUAUUUUCGUUACUGUGUUUAUAAAUAUCAUACUUUCAACAUAGAAAACAAACAAAUUAAAAGAAACAAAAAUAAAACUAUAAGAGAAAAAAAUUUAAUGCAUAAAUAAUCUGAAAAAAUAUUUGAGAUCUUAUAAAAAAAGCUAAAUAAAGAUGAAAAAGUAAAUACAUAAGAAGAAUUAAAAAAUUUUGAAUAACAAAAAAAUAAAAGUAGAAGAAGCUAUAAAUACAAUGAAAUUUAGAAUUGUUGAAGUUGAAAAAAAAUCUGUAAGAGUUGGCUCAGAAAAAGCAAUAGUCAGUAAAGAAUGAAGUAAUAAAAUAAAAUUAAUAGGAAAAGUUUGUUAAAAAAUAUUACUAACUGACUGUCCCAAAAAUAUACGACUUCAGUAGUACAAAAAUCAAUAGUAGCAAAGCACUCUGCAUCUAGCAAACAAUGAAGAGAAGUUACUUCAGACGUGAUAAAAAGAAGUGAGAGAUAAUGACACAAAGAUCUUUUGAGUAAUUGAUGUUUCUUAGAGCAAAUUAUCAAGUUCAAAGGUCAAAUAAAUACAUUGAAUGAAUGCGUCCUUGUCCGGUAGCCAUGAGUCCAGAGUAGUAGAUCUUAGCUACAUUCAUAUAAACAUCAAAAAAGCAAUCAAAAGGGGUGAAAGAAAAAAUAAUUCUCAAUAACUAAAUUAGAAGCCACUUGAAUUCCUGAAGCAAAAUAAAUUACCAAAACCAAUUUUGAAAAGCAAAUAAAGAUAACAAAGAUAAUUAAGUAAUAAUCAAAGUAGAUAAGAUCGACUAAAUCGACAAACAACACAUGAGGAUGAACAUCAUAAUUAUUAAAAAUUCUUAACUUAUGAAUAUGAAAACCACCCUAAAAAAAACUUUAGAGAAAAACUUGAGUAUAACGAUAACAGUAAAAAACAAAGAAAAUCUUAAUAAGGCAGAGUGUUUUAGCAGAUGGAUAUUAGAUCUACAAAAAAAAAACAGUAUGAUUUAUAAAAGCUUAUUAAAUAUCCAAAAGAACUAUUCCAUAAAGUGAGCACUUCCUACUAACACAUUGGUUAACAUGUUUUCUAAAAGGAAAAGCUUAGCAAAAGCUAACCCACAUUUAUAUACAACAUUAUGAAUCAAGUUAAUGCCACUUCUUGGAUCAGUGAUGGAUCGAAAGCACUUCUCCAUAACUGUGGAUUCAACCUGUUGAGAUAGCCUGUUUAGAUACUCCAGAGAAUUCCUAUCAAAACAAUGAAUCAGACGUCAAGAGAAUCCAACUUCCUAAUCAUUCUAUAUUUUACUCAGAAUCUACACCAAAUAAAGAGAAUGAAAUCAGAAAAAUUUAAAUAACUUCUUGCAUUAAAUUACUUCUUGAAACAAUUAUAAAUGCUAGCAGAACACUAAAAUGACACAUAGCCCACUGAAAUCAUAAGACAUAUAAAGAUGCUUUCAGUUUAAUACAAAAGCAUAGUUUCUGAAACUAUCUUUUGCUUAGUUGAAUGCAAAACUCUACUAAUACUAAAAAUGGAAAGUGCCAUAAGUAUGUCAAUAAAUUGUAUAGUGAAUUCUAAAAAGCUAAAUCAACAAAAAAAAUAGACCAAUCUUUUGCUUAUGCAGUCUUAUGGGAAAUUCGACCUGUCGGAGAAAAACAUAAGGUGUAUGGCUGAUACCAUUCUGCAACUUUGCCCACAAAUGAAGUGCUUCCAUUGUUGGGAUGGACAGAGAAAUAAUCAACCUCAAGCAUACAACCUUGAUGGUCUACAAAGAUUAAGUAGUUAAGAAAAGUUUCGUCAUGUCAAACAGUUUACAUGUUAAAUAAUAAUUGACGAAAUGAACGGCAUAAAAAAAAUCUGAUACUAUAAUUUUUCUCACACUGGAUGCAAGAUAACAGUUGGAGAGCAGCAACAAAAGAAAUUGAGUGGCGAAUCCUGCACACAAUGUUUGUAUAUUGCCAUUUUCCAAGAGAAAGCAUAUACAAAGAUAAAAGUAUGUUUUUGUGAUGGUGUGUUUGUGAUAAUAAGCCAAAGAGCUUGGCUUCUAUUCUAUCGGUUUGACAACAUAAUGUAUGAUAUCUAUUCUAUUAUGUUUAAUAAUAUAAUCUGCUUUUGGUUGAAUAAUUAUAAUGUUUCUAUUGGAUAGAAUAAAGUGUAAGUUAUUAUAGUUUUUGUUAUUCAAACCAACUCUAAAAAGUUCUCACAAAAUUAAAUCAGACAACUGGGACAAUUAUUUUUUAUUUUUUUAAAUUUUUCUGAAACAUUGGAUUCUUCUCUUAUGUUUUGGGUAUUAUAUGUGCAAAAUUUUCAUUCAACACUGGUUGAGAUUGAAUGUAAAACGAAAAUAUUCAUCCAGGAGAAGCAAAAUAUCAAUGUCUUCAUUAAAAUUAUAAGUUAAAUGAACAACUUAAAAUGAAUAUACAACAUGACCAAUUACUCUUCUGUAGACAAUACUCAAACAACAAAAAAAGACUAACCAAUUCUCCAGGGAUAUCGCCGCCCAUUUCCACGCCCUUCAAUGUCGCAUCCAACUCUCUUGCCUCGCUGAUCUGAGGCUCAUGAAGCAAACCCCUAUACACCUUCCCCCCUCAAUCCCUCCGAUCGGGACACGAUCCAUCCGGACACGAUCCAGGGUGAUUUCAUAGAUCUCGCAGUCGAUGCGAUAGGAAAAGUCGGCGUGGCAAAGCCAGAAGGAGAAGAGGAGAGGGGCGACAAAUGAAAGCAGUGAAGGGCAGAGGUGGUGGUGGCGGAGGGAGGUGAGAAAAGGGGGCGAGAAGGGCGCGCGCCGGCGCAAGAUCUGGGAGGGAGGAGAGGGAAGGGGGAAGAAGGACCGCGAUAAAGAGGACGUGGGUGGGGGGAAGAGAGAGAAUGAGGGNGAGAGAGAGAGAGAGAGAGAGAGAGAGAGAGAGAGAGAGAGAGAGAGAGAGAGAGAGAGAGAGAGAGAGAGAGUUGGGCUAGAAUACUAUUGAUAGCAAAAGAACUUUUUUGCUAUCAAGUUUUUAGUUUUUGAAUCAAAUCCUUUCAUCAUUUCUAACCACUGGAUUAAAUAUUAUAACCCAGUGGGAACCACUCAAUCCUAAGGGGCUAAUAUCAUCCUAAUUCUAUAAUUUCUCAUCCAAGGGUUAAAAACUUGAUAGCAAACAAGGCUUUUUGCUAUCAAUAGUAUUCUAGCCUAACUACUCUCUCUCUAUAUAUAAGGUAGGCUCCUAUACUAUCUAUAGUACCGGGUCUUCGAUACUAUAGUCUGUUUUUCGAUCUUACGGUUUUCAAAUCAGUGAUCCACACUGUUAAAAAUGAUAUAGGGUAUUUAAAGUUUUUAGGAAUAAAAUUUUAUAUUUUUUCAACAUAGUUUAUGGUAUGAUCAAAUUAUUUCAAAAUUAUCAAUUUUCAAUAGCUACUAUGGCGAGUUUGGAGUUUAAUAGUAUAAAAAAAUCUAAAGUUAUUCAAAUUCUAAUAGAAAAUACUUUAAACUAUCUAGAUCAAGAUCAAUAUCCUUGAUCUUGAAUUCAAAAGUCCUAUUCUUAAAUUUUAAAAAUUGUUUAAUUUUUACCGUUCAUUUUGACAUGAUUUACUUACUAAGUAAACAAUGUUAAAAAAAAUUAAAAAUUCUAAGAACUUCAUAUAGAUCAUAUUUAACGGUGUUGAUCGUUUAUUUGAACACUCUAAGAUCGAAAACAAGCUUAUAGUACCGAAACUCCCGUAUUAUAGAUAAUAUAGUAGUCUCAUUCUACACACACGCGCGCACACACACACAUAUAGAGAGAGAUAGUAGGUCUUGUGUGCUAUUAGGAGUAUGGAGGCUUCCAUACUUCUAAGUCGUUUUCAACAAUAGAGCUUCCGAAUUGCUGAUAGCUAGGUUAUUCCAAUAUAGCCCCCCCUAACUUUUUUGUUUUUGAGAUCGACACCCUCAACUACCAAUUUCUUUUGUUUGAGAUUUUAGUAACUAUUAAAUACGAUAAUUUUAUUUACUAAAAAAAGGCCAAUUUGUAUAAAAAAUUCACAAGUUUUGAACUUUUGUAAAACUGGGCCGUCUUUUUUGAUUUUACAAAUUUUGUUUGAAUUUUCAACAAACUGACCAAAAUACCCUUAUACCUUUUUCUCUCUUUUUUUUUCUCACGUUUUUUUUCUCCUCUCCGAAGAAGGCAACGAAGGCGGAGACGUAAACGGCCCGUCUUUCUUCUACCCCUCACACCAUUGUCCUCGUCCGCGCACCCCCCGCUCUCCUCGCCUCCGACCCAGCCACGGCCGUGCCGCGACCCUUUUUUUUUUUUUUUUUCCUCUCUCUGACCCUCCUCCGCGGCCCUCUGCGACGAUAGAGAGGACGGUACCGCGUCUUUUUCCUCUGCCUUCGCCCUCUAUCUCUACUGCAGCAGAUUUUCUACCUGCCAAAUAAACCCAUUGUCCCCAUCGCCACCGCCACCGCCGGCGAUGAAGAGAAAGUGCUUCUCGGGGCCGCGAAGUACGCCGGUAAAGAAGAAAGAGAAAAAUAGUUACACUCCGGCGAGGGCGGUGAUUGCGAUAGAGGGCAAGCGAGAGGUCGUGACAAAAAAAAUUAUAAAGAGAAAAAAAUAAAAAUAAUAAAAAAUAAAAAUAAAAAAAAUAUUUUUUUUCUACAGGAAAGACCAAAAUUGAUAGAAGAAGAAAGAAGAAGAUUGAAUUAUACUGUUAAAAUAACGCUACACUAUUUUAAAUUUUAUGAUUUUUCGAUAUCAUUUACCUAACGAUCAAUGACAGAGCUUCUGAAUCGACGAUCCAUACCAUUAAACAUUAUUUAGAGCUUUUAAAACUUCUAGAAAUCAAAUUUUAUAAGUUUUAGAUGUCAUUUAUCUUACAAUCAAAAGGCCACAAAAUUAAUAAUUUUUAAUAGCCGGUAUGAGAUACUUGCUAGUUUAACGGUGUAAAAAAAUAGAAAAAAGUUUAAUUUUUGAUAGAAAAUUCUAUUCAUUACCUAAAUAAAGAUUAAUAACUCUAAUCUUUAAUUGAAUGAUCUGAUCAUUCAUUUUUAGGAUGUCGUUCGAUUUUGAAUAUUUAUUUUAUGUCCGCUUGAUAGACUUUAUUAUGAUUUCGAAAAAUUAUGAAAUUUAUUUUUUAGAAGUUUCAAAUACUGAUCUAGAUCAUAUUUAACGGGGUGGCUCAUCGAUUUGAAAGCUCUAUUAUCAAAAAUAAUUUAUAAGUACGAAGGGCUCUAUAUUUAUAAGAGUAUAGUAGCCUUACUAUACUCUUAUAUAUAUAUAUAUAUAUAUAUAUAUAUAGAGAGAGAGAGAGAGAGAGAGAGAGAACUAGGUUACUAUGCUAUUAAUAGCACCAAGUCAACGGUGCUACCAAGUUUUUGGCGAUUGGAUUAAGAGAUGUGCGGUUAGGAUGAUGUGGACCUCCUAGGGUUGAGUGGAUGGUUAGUUAAAUAGUAUGAUCUAACGGGUGAAAAUAAUCGCAGGGUAUAUCUAACGGUAGAAAACUCUAUAUGAGUUCGGCUACUAUACUAUUGAUAGUACCAAGCUCUUGAUACUAUUGAGUUUUCUACCGUUAAAUCCACCCUUUGAUCAUUUCCUCCCGUUAGAUUAUACUAUUCAAUCAACUAACCAUUCAACCCUAGGAGGUCCACAUCAUCCUAACCGCACAUCUUUUAAUCCAAGGGCGGAAAACUUAAUAGCACCAAGUCAACGGUGCUACCAAGUUUUUGGCCAUUAGAUUAAGAGAUAAGCGGUUAGGAUGAUGUGGACCUCCUAGGGUUGAAUGGUUAGUUGAUUGAAUAGUAUAAUCUAACGGGAGGAAAUGAUCAAAGGGUGGAUUUAACGGUAGAAAACUCAAUAGUAUCAAGAGCUUGGUACUAUCAAUAGUAUAGUAGCCGAACUCAUAUAGAAUUAUGCUACUAUACUAUUAAUAAUACCAAGCCUUUGGUACUAUUGAGUUUUCGGCCGUUGGAUGAAAGGAUGUGCCAUUAGGAUGAUAGUGGUUUCCUAGGGUUGAGUGGGUGGUUGGUUUAAUAGUAUAAUCUAACGGGUAGAAAUGAUCAAAAGGUAGAUCUAACGGUAGAAAACUCAAUAGUACCAAGAGCGUAGUACUAAUCAAUAGUAUAGUAGCCGGACUCUAUAUAUAUAUAUAUAUAUAUAUAGAGUCCGUCUACUAUACUUUCGAAAGUACCGGAACUUCCGUGCUUGUAAGUUGUUUUCGACGAUAGAAUAUCCGAUUCGACGAUCGGCUCCGUUAGGUAUAAUCUACCAUAUUGGAACUAUCUAGAAACCAAAUUUUAUAAUUUUUUGACAUCAUUUACUAAGCCAUCGAAAGGUCCCAAAAAUGACUAUUUUAACGGCCGAUGCGGCACGUUUUUAAGUUCAACGGUGUAGAAGUAUCCAAAUUACAUGAAAAUUUAAUAGAAAAUUCUACUUAAUGUCAAUAGCAAGAUCAAUACUUCCGAUUUGGAAUUUGAGUCCUUUAUCAUUAUUUUUUAUGAGAUUUUUAUUUUCAGCUGUUCAUUUUGAGGCUACUCGUUCACUAGGCAAACGAAGUCAAAAAUUAUAAAUUUUGGUUUCUAGGUAGUUCCAAUAGCGUAGAUCAUAUCUAACGAAACCGAUCGUGGAAUCGGAUGUCCCAUCAUCGAAAACAACUUACAAGUACGGAGGCUCCCGUACUUUCGAAAGCAUAGGAGCUUAGCUCUAUAUAUAUAUAUAUAUAUAAUAUAUUAUCAAUAUAUAUAUUAAUAGUGUAAUGCUAUUAUACUAUCGGAAGCAUAGAGUUGAUAAGAGGGGUUGUUCUAACGGCCAAAAAAUCGAAAGUAUCAAAUCUUUUCUUAUAGUAUAGUAGCUCUACUCUCUCUCUCUCUCUCUCUCUCUCUCUCUCUCUCUCUAUAUAUAUAUAUAUAUAUGUUUGGUGUUAUAUUUGAAAUCAUCUUUUAAAUUUUUAGAUUUAAUAUAAUAUAUUUUUGAAAUAUGAUAAAGAAAAAUAAUUAUUUCGGAUUGGGAUUUUCGAAUUUGGAUUCGGAUUAGGAUUUAAAUAUGGACUUUUAAAAUCUGUGGAAUUCACGUUUGGAUUUGGAUUUCGGGUUUGCAGUUUUUUGAAAACCCCCUCCCCGAAUCCAACCCAUUGACAUUCCCUCUCAACUGGGUGCGCAUUGGAUACAAUAGAAUCCAAUCCAGUGCUUUGUAUACAAUCCAGUGCUUUGAAUACAUAACGCAUGGAGUUGAUUCCGCUGCUGAAUUUUCACAGGUUGAACCGAAUGGCACAAAUUAAUUACGCUAAAAAUUAAGGACUGCAUGAAUUCGUGUGUAGAGAAUUCUAAGGAAUUGAGAAAUUUUGCUUCCCAAUUAACAUGCACGCUAGGUAUUUUAUUUUUUAUUUUUUAUUUUUUGUUUUUUUUUAAGAAAAAUCGUCCGAGCAAAAGUUUAAUUGUUUAAACAAGAUGAGACGAUACAAAGUUAAAAAAUUUCUCAAAAGAGAACUACACAGUAUAUGUUUUAUUAGAAAGAUCUCAAUUAGCUAGUUGAUCAGCAUGCAUGCUAGUUGUUCCUAACGAAAAUUCCGCAAAUGAAGAAUAAUAAUUAUUCGAGUUUUAGUGCCGGUCUAAUUUAUUCAUUUACCAAGACGUCAAUUUUCAAAGAGAUACUUGUGUACGCAACCAAUUGGAAGGAAAAUAUCUUAGCUCCUCUCACAAAUAUUGAUGAUAUUAAUUCUCCAUAAAUUUAGCAUGCGCAAAUUAUAUAAGAUAAAUUUGAUCAGGUGCAUAGUAAUAAGAUUCAAACUAUGUAUUCGUUAUUAGAAAUACAAUAAUUUUUAAGGGCAAUUGUUUGUAUAUCCUUGAAAAGUUUCCGACUUUCUUAUUUAUCCCUCUUAUAAGGUUAAUAUUGAACCUAUUUCAAAUAUACUCCUAAAGUUAAAUUCUGUUAAUAAACUGUUAGCAAUAACUGUUAUCUAUAUGAAAUUAUUAUUUUGCUCUUUCAAAUAUAUUCUUUCACCAUCACCGACUUUUCACAAAAAGUAUUUUGAUUUUUUAUCUUUUCAAAUAUACCCUUCUAUCAUCACUAAUAUUUUUUAUUUGCACUUAAGUUAAGGACAAAAGAGAUAUUUUGAUUUUUUUUUUAACUCUAGUAGAUAUUUAACUUAUAUUUAACCCAAGUUUACUUAAAAAAGGUAACUUCAGGAAUAUUUUGAAAUAACGGAGGAACAUAUGAAGGGUAUAUUGGAAAAAUAAAUAAGUAGAGAUAAAUAAAAUAUUUUUGAAGUUUUGAGCGGUAUAUAAGUAACUAUUCCUAAUUUUUAAACACGAGUCUCUCCACAAACCAUUUUUUACGGAAUAGAUGUGAGUAUUAUUCAGUUCAAAUCGACUUAUCAAACCAAACAGAGACGUUUUGGUUCGGUUUUACAUGUAACUCGGAUCGGUUUGGUUCUAAAAAUUAAAAGUCAGAAAAAUCAAAUAUACUGAAUAAGUCUAACACUUUAGUAAUUAAAUAUAUGUCUUAAAUUUUUAAAAAAAUAUUUAUUAAGUUUAAAUAAUAAUUAUAUACUUAGAGAUAUUAAUUAUUAUUAUUUCAAUUAAUUAUUUUUAAUAUAAUUGGAUUAUGAUUAUAUCUUAGUUUUAGUAGUUUAAAAAAAUUUAAACAAAAUAAAAUAUUUUACUAAAAUCAAAUGAACCAUACCGCACUGACCAGAUCAUUUCGGUUCAAAUCGGUUUAGUUCAAUUCAUACCUCUAAUGCGAUUUGCUUCGUUUUUUUAAGAACUAAAAAAUUAAAUCGAACCAACUAAUGCUCACUAGGGGUGUCAACGAGCCGCACACAAAAGACUUGGGGCCGGCUGGUGUUCCGCUCAUUCUAUAAACAAGCUGAACACGAGCUAACUCGUUAAAAUAUAUAUCGAGCGGAAUUUCAGCUUGCGUUCGGAUUGUUUAUUAAUGAACCGAAUACGAGCUGGCAUACGAAGAUCAAGUUAAAAGGAUUAGAAAUAUUACAUAUAAAAAAUAAAUUUAUGAGAUGAGAUCUUAUCUAUUAGAUUUUGAUUUAAUGGUUACAAUUUUAUAUAUAAAUGGAUAUUUUUAUAAUUAAGUUGAGCUUUGGAUUUAAUUUGGAAUAAAAAUAAAAUAAUAAAAAUUUAUAUUUCUUAUAUAUAUAAUUGUUUAUUUAUAUAUACAUAUAAAUAUAAAAUAUAUAAUUUCUAUACUAAAUUAUGUGUUUUUAAGCUGUUAUCGAGCCGAACACGAGCGAGCUAAUCCCAGCUUGUUUUCGACUCAUUUAUUAAAUGAGCUAACAAAAUCAACUCGUGUUUCACUCGUUUACUAAAAGAGCGAUUUAAUCUCGAGCUCAUUUCGAAUCGAAUACGAGCUGACUCACAAACAACCAAGCUCUAUUAUAUAUAAUUAUAUAUAUAUAGAGCUUGGCUACUAUAUAUAUUUUUAUGAGUACAAACCUCUUUAUACUUAUGAGUUUUUGAUCGUUAGAUCUAUCCUUUUGACUUUUUCCAUCCGUUAAAUCAUACUAUUCAACUGUAAUAACUGAGAUUUUUGAUUUAUUGAUUAAACCCUUUUGUUUGACGAUGUUCUUGUGUGUAAUAUAAUUAUAAGUGUACUCGUCAAAUUUCAGGAGAAAACGAGUUAAAACGAAGAAGUUACGCGACCCGGAAGUCUGACUUAAGUGAAUAGUAACUCCGAUUUUCCGGAGAGGCCGCGGAGUAGAGUGGACUUUCGACGCGUGUCGGACUCCGAAUAUAGCCUUCCAAUAGCUCGUUUUCAACCGCUCGACUAUCCUGGACCCAAUGGCACUGACGGAAUUGGAUUUGGAUGCACGGAUUUCGAGAAAAAGGGGUUUAAUGGUUUUUACAUAUAGUUGUCUAUAGGUGGUUUUUGGUGGAACCUAGGAGGGAUGGUUUUGUCGCAAAUCGGGAACCUUUUCGGGUGAAACGAAAUGCUAGAUUCGAUGCCUCUGUCGUGCUGAUCGCGCUUGUGCGAUCCGAUCGGAAAUCCGACGGACGGAUCUUCGGGAAUCGCGAAAAGUCCGCGAAGGGGCUGAUUUGAGUAAUCGGAUUAUUCGCGAAAAGGCCCUAUAUUUUAUGCGUCGAAUUGCGAGUUUUCGAACUUAGAGGGACUAUCGUGCGUUAUGCGACUGCUGGUUGAGAGCUGGGAUUAAAUAGAUUCCUUUCGAAGGGGUUUUCCGCGAGUUUUCCGCACCUAUUUAUAGGUUGUUCUAGGGUUUAUUGAGCUAACCCUAACCCUAGAACCCCCCCCAGCUAACCCCAGCCGCCCCUGCCAUCCCAGCACCUCCCUGCCCUGCCCGUGCUCGCGUUCCGGCCGCCGCCGAGCAGCCCCGGCCGCCGGAAUCAGCCUGCAACCAAUAUUCCUCCUCUCUUGGACCACCGCGCCACCGGCUUAAGUUUGGUGCUUGGAGAGCCUUGUUAGCCCGAGCACCACCUUCCCCUGGUCGAGACCUUCCUCCGGCGCCCUCCCCCGUCGGCCCCGGCCACCCCCGAGCGUCGCCGGAGCCGCCGGAAGAGGCUGCAGCCAACCGGGUCUGCCCAGACCCGAGCCUGGCCGAGCUCAGGCUGCGGGCUUUGGGACCGCACUUCCCCUGCGGCCAAGCCCCCCGGCGACCUCCAGCAACCCGGCGCGUGCGUCCCCGGCCGUCCCCGCGCCUCGCCGGCCGCCGCCAAGGCCUCCAGCCGCCGCUCGGGUCCUGUGCGGGCCGACCUUGGAGCCGCGCCACUCCCGAGCGCCGCCAUUGCCCCCUGAGGUGGGCACCACCUCCUCCUCGGUCUCCGGCACCGGAUCAUCGCCGCCCCGACCUCCCCCGGUCGCCGCCUUGCCGCCGGCAAGCUCCAACCCGAGAGGAAGUCGGCGGGCCCGAUCUCCGCCGCCGCGCCACCGGCUGCUGCCCGCCGCCGGCCAGCACCUCCCCCGGACCUCCCCGACCUUCUGCUCCCAUCACCGGCCGGAGUUCCCGCCGUCCGAUCGCCGGCGGCCACCCCUAGCUCCCACAGCUCGGGUGAGUAGUUUACUUUGGUUCCAGCACUGCUGUUUUGCGUUCCGGUCACUUUUCCGGUGAUCCGAUGACUCCCUGGCACCUUGGGAGGUGAGCACGGUGAUCGUGGGCUUGUGCUGAACACGAUUCUCACCUCCAUUUAGGUUAACGGUGCCCUGGUUAGUGAGAAUAGGCUGUUUUCCACUUUAUGCGCACUGAUUCGCUGAGGUUCGCGUCGCUCGUGCGCGCGUGGUUGCUGCCGGCAGUGCUCCGAAAGGUGAGCACGGCCUCAGGCAUGCUGAAACCUUGCAGCAAGUGCGAUGGCAACCUCCAUAGAUCCCUGGUUUGCUGGUACGACCCGUUAGAGCCAUGAAAUCACAUAAAAUAAUGUGAUUUCAUGGGCCAUUAGGGAUCCUUUUGCGUUUCGCUUCGUUGUGGCUGCUGUUGGCAGCAGGUUAAGGCUUAAGGUAACCUCUGGACUGAUCGUCCAAGGCCCCAAGCCCUUGCGGAAAUCUAUCUGUCAUUUCCGGAGCGUUUUCGGUGAAAUCCGCCGAUAGAACGCGCGUUCGACUCGGAAUUCAUCCGACGGUGCCUCGUGGUUGAUUGUAGCGUCGCUGAGCCUUGUUGGCUGGUCACCCGCGUCUUCUCGAGGGUUCGGAAACGACGGGUGAGCGACGGUGGAGUUUCGGUACGAUUUCCGGGAUUUCCGGCCGGUUCGGUAGUUGCGUUUGAGAAACCGAGUUCCGAGGGGUUUUGAUUUUGGGAUUUGUGUGAGAAUGGUCGUGUUAUUGUGUUUGUGGGUUAGACUCUAACCCGGUGGACCCUUCGUAGGUCCGGUCGCUUCGUCUCCGCCUUCGCGAGACCGUUUCAGCUUUAUACAGGUGGGUACUUCGAUCCGACGUCGGUACAGUGGUGCACGCUCGGUGAUAUUUCUUCUAUCCCUGUUCUUCUGUUGCUAUUUUCGUAUUAUAUAUUGAGCUUGCAUCCCCGUUGUUUCUAUUAUACUCUACUCAUAUGUUUCUAUGCUUAGUAUCAUGUGUAGGAGUAGAGUAGUUUCUCCAUAUGUGAUACCGGUGACCUGAUUGGUCGGUUCUCGUACUUUGUUUCGGUGACCUGAUUGGUCGGUUCUCAUACUUCGUUUCGGUGACCUGAUUGGUCGGUUCUCGUACUUCGUUUCGGUGAUCUGAUUGUUCGGUUCUCCCGACUUCGUUUCGGUGAUCUAGUAGUCGUGCUUUUAUCUUAUAUCUUGUUGACUUGUUGGUCUUUUGGCAUUAUGUAUUGGGUUGUCUGUUUCUGACUUCUGUCGUUAUGACUCUUUGAGCGGUUAACCCUGAGUAGGAUGUCGCAUGGCCGGACGGUAGUGUCUAAGAUUAUAUACUCAGAUGACUUGUUGAAUCGAUUCUUGGCAUAUAACAGUAGUCUGACUGCUAUUAUCAGUAUCUACAUACUUUUGUAGGAUGUUGAGUUGUUCCAUCCCCGUUGACUUGAUUAGUCAUAUUACAUACAGUUUGAGAGAUGUCAGUCGUUCCUCUAGUUGACCUAAGUGGUCGGUUCUUGUGCUUCUAUAUAGUCUGACGACCUAUUGUCGGUUUGCCACGAGGGCGCGGUGAAUUUGUCUGGCUUGUUGCCAGACGGUGCUAUUGAUACAUAUCCGCAUCUGAAUCGCCACAAGCUCGAGUGCAUUCACGUAGCACCCGCAGGUUAUCCCGGCGCAGGAGGCGUGUUCUUUUCCGUAAAAAGUGGUGCGUACAUCCGUCCCGUGACCCAACGGUGUCUCUUUGUGUCUAGGCUGUUACAUCAGGUGUGGAGCAGAUAGUGGCUUUUGGCCUGAGUCCUUAGAGCCGACACGGCGUUUGAUGAGGGUACUUAUUGGACUUCUCGUCCCGUUGUAUGAUAUAGCUAUAGUAAGCGUUGUUUGGCAUAUAAAUCUUCUAUUCUUCUUUACAGUUUUCUUGGCUACGUAUAAGUUUGAUAUUCCUUGUAUCUGCAUUGUACAUACACGUAGCGGGUAGUUGUGUUCAUAUAUAUAUCUCAUUCGUCUCAUUAUCGUUUUGCUACUGUUUUUACUUUCCCAUACUGUUUGUUUUAUCUCUUCUGAUUCCGGUGAGUACUUCUCGCCGUUUCUUUCGCUGUGUACCCACUGGGAGGGGAGAAAUGUUACAUGUUCUCGACCUCCCCGCACUAUUUUUCGAGUAUUGCAAACGUUGAGUUGGACGAGGCCGUGAGCUACGUUCGUAGCGUCAUAAAGCUUCUCGACACCAGAUUAUUUUUAUUUUAUCCCUACUAUUUGCUGUUGUUAUAGCUUUAGAUCAGUUUAAUAUGGUCACUAUUUUUAUUACAUUGAAUAUGUUGACAUUUCAUGAAUGUAAUAAACAGAAUUUCUGGAUUUGGUAAAAUAAAAAGGUUUUCUACGGCCCUCGGUAGCUUGUUAUAAAAGAUAAAAGUUUUCGCUAUGAAACAUUUUUCAAUAAAUUUUUCGUGGACAUUUGUUUAAACACCGAAUUAAAAACACGGUGUGAAUGGCUUAAUUAUGAAUUAUACUAUCUGAGAUCACUUAAUUGUGGUUGUAUAUCUGUUUGUACUUUUGUACUUGUGUGACGCCUGUGGCAGUACAGGGGAGACUCUGUCCUGAAUAAGUGGAUUCCCUGUAUUAUGUGGCGGAUCUGGCAUACUCCUGGGUCAGGUGCUUCAAAAAAAAAAAAAUCAACGCUUUCCGGCUUGUGUUUCAAACAAAAAGGGGACCCCGGGGCGUGACAUCAACGAACCACCUAUUCAAUUUUAUGGGACAACUAUCAUUCUAAUCACACAUCCAACGGCUGAAAAUUUAUAAGUAUAAAGAGAUCUAUACUUAUAAGAGUAUAGUAGCCCAAACCUAUAUAUAUAGAAUUAAGCUACUAUACUAUUAAUAGUACAAACCGCUUGCUAUUAGGUUUUUAGCCCUUGGAUAAAGGGAUGUGCGGUCAGGAUAAUAGUAGCCUCCUAGGGUUGAGUGGGUAGCUAGUUGAAUAGUAUGAUCUAACGGAUGAAAAUUGCCAAAGAGAUAGAUCUAACAGCAGAAAACUUGAUAGCACCAAAUACUUAAUACUAUCGAUAGUAUAAUAGUUGGACUCUAUAUAUAUAUAGACAGAUCUAACGGUAGAAAACUAAAUAGUACAAAGUGCUUAGUACUAUGGCUAGUAUAGUAGUAUAGUAGCUGGACUAUAUGUAUAGAGAGAGAGAGAGUCUGGUUACUAUAUUAUCGAUAGUACCAAAUGCUUAGUGCUAUUGAAUUUUGUGCCGUUAGAUCGUAUUAUUCAACUAACCAUUCACUCAACUCUAUGGGAUCACUAUCAUUCUAACUGCACAUUCUUUCAUCCAAAAGCCGAAAACAUAAUAGCAAGUGGUUGGUACUAUUAAUAGUAUAGUAGACUAUAUAUAUAUAUAUCUAUAUAGUCCGGCUACUAUACUCUUAUGAGUACAAUCGUCCUCGUACUCAUAAGUCGUUUUCGAUGAUAGAGCUUUCGAAUUGGUGAUCCAUACCGUUAAACGUUAUCUAGAGCAUUAAAAACUUUUAGAAAUUAAAUUUUAUAAUUUUUUGACAUUAUUUACUUUACGAUCAAAAGGUCACAAAAUUGACAAUUUUUAACGGCCAAUAUGGGAUACUUGAUAGUUUAACGGUGUAAAAGAAUCGAAAUUUGUUGAAUUUUUGAUAGAAAAUUCUAUUCACUAUCUAGAUAAAGAUCAAUAACUCUGAUCUUAAAUUGAAGGAUCCGAUCAUCCAUUUUUAGGACGUCGUUCGAUUUCGACCGUUCAUUUUAUACCCAUUUGAUGGACUUUAUUAAGAUUUCGAAAAGUACCGAUGAUAUGAUAAUACUCAUAUCUCGAGAAAUAUGAGUAUUCAACAAAAGCUAUUACCUCGAAGGCUAAGCUGUUAGGUGAGGCAAUUUAUACUAGAUCUCAUAAACUUUGAAAAUCUUUUAUUUAAAACAUUANUUAUACUUUUAAAAGCAUAAGAGCUCAUCUCUCUCUCUCUCUCUCUCUCUCUCUCUCUCUCUCUCUCUCUCUCAGCCGACCCCAUGAUAGCUAUCGUGGUUCUUAAAACACGAUAGCUGAAAAGGUGGCAUUCUAAAUUGGAAGACUAAUAAAAAUGAGCAAUCUAAGAUGAUAAGUUGGUUGGUGAUUGAGUUGGGAUCCCCCGGGUGUAGUAGGAUUGGUAGGUAAAAAGUUAGAUUCCCGAUUUUUUAGUUAUCACCGUUAUCGAACCACGAUAAUUAUCAUAAGGUCGGAUUAAUAUAUAUCUAUAUAUAUAUAUCUCAACCCGAUCUUAUGAUAGCUAUCGUUUGCCCGAGGCAACGGUGGUUAAAUAAAAGCUGCCAUCUCGGAGGUUUAGUUGCUAGCCGUGGCAACUUGUAUUAGAUAUGGUAAACACAAAUAUUUAGUUAAAAGUUAAGAAAAGCUGUAGUAAACGGAUUACUAGUUUUCCAAAGUUUAAAACAUUAAAAUUACCAGCUAUACUCCACAAAAGAGCAAAUUGCCGCAUUUCUAUAGGUUUAGUUAACUUAAAAACAAUCUUUUAAGAAAUUUGAUAAAUUUUAUUCUAGAUAUGAGAACUAGAAUUAAUGUUCUGAGGAUAGUAGUAAAAAAAUUUUUAUAAGUAAAAGUCGGCAAGUAAAAACACAGGUGAGCUACCUAUUCUCUUAUUAUAGCUUUUACAUACUUUAAACUAAAGAUUUGUGAAGUUCACCAUAUCUAGUACAAGUUGCCAAGGUUAGCAGCUAAACCUCCGAGGUAGUGGCUUUUGUUUACCCACCGUUGCCUCGGGCAAACGAUAGCUAUCAUAAGAUCGAGUUGAGAUAUAUAUAUAUAUAUAUAUAUAUAUAUAUAUAUAUAUAUAGAAUUGAGCUAGAAUACUUUUAGAAGCAUCAAUCCUUUGGUGCUUCUAAGUUUCUAGCCGUUGGAUCUACUCCUUAAUUACUAAUAGCCUUUGGAUCAAACACUAUUCCACCUACCACCAUCUACCACCAUCAUCUCAACCUUACAUCUCUCCAUCCAAUGGCUAAAAACUCAAAAGCACCAUUGUCACGCCACGCGCCCCGCCUAUUUGGUCGAAUUCGGGCACGCCAACAGACCGCCGAACGGACAGAGUUUUUUCUCUACGUUCUGGCCGUCGCAAUCAAUACAAUGUACGAAGUUUCAACCAGAAACACAUUUCAAUCAAAGAUUGCAUAAGGAAGUAUCCAGAACAUAAAACUAUUUGCUAUUACAAGCAUUCACAUUACAUGUAUUUUACAUCACAGAUUUCUUUUACAUUCAACUUCCAAAAUACAAUCUAGUCAAUACAAUUUAUUACAACUUGAUUCUUUGUCCUUUAAACCCCUAAGCUAGACCACCUCGGGGUACUGCUACUUCUGGUCUCUAAGGUAGGGCGCUAUCUACGGAGCUACGCCCUCGCCUCGCGCCGCUGCGCCGCUUACGUGUGUACCUGUAACACCCCAAAACAACGUGGGGUAAGAACCAACUUCAUGGUUCCCAGUGGGUACGGCCACCCAAGAAAAAAGCUCAACCAAUAGGUCUAAUGAGGCACUGCAACAGGUUAUUCCAAUAACAUAAAAUAGAUACUUAUAUAUUUACUCGAUAUUGAACUACAUGUCAUGCCUCACAAUAUGCAAUAUGAAAUUUAUGCAACCCACCAAGUAGAUUAAUUUAAUUCUACUCUUUAAUCUUAGUCAUUCUUUAUCCUUGACUAUCCUUUACUCAUGGCUAUUCUUUUCUCUUAGUUAUUCUUUAUUCUUUAUUCAUAGUUGCAACUUGCUCAUUGGCCAUUCUUUUCUAAGGUUACUCUUACCUUGGUCACACUAUGCCACUCGACUCGGUCUUGAGUCAAUCAAUGGUUGAUAAUCCACGCUCUGUCCAGCUCGAGGUGAAGGAACUCACACAUGCACCUCAGCCUUCCACAGCUCACUGCGCUCUAUGACCUAGCCACCCGGCGGCGAAAUCGUCGCACAUGCCACGUCAGUGGUUCGAGUCAACCAGCGGUAUGAUCCACAAACCGGCUCAACCGGUGUAAACCACAAUUCGGCUCACCCAUCCGACGGCGAAAUCGUCGCACAAGACACGUCGAUGGUAUAGCCCCGGACGGCGAAAUCGUCGCACACGCCCAACACCACUUUGGGUGUUCCAUAAGCUUUGGGAUUCCGGAAUCCAUUCCACAUAACUCAAGGGUUAGUCUUAACCCUAUAGUAUCGACCUACUUAGGUCCAAUGUCCUUUCCAUUCUAGGUCCACUUGACUCUAGGUUCAUUAUCUUUAUCUCACAACCUAGGUUUACUUUUAACUCUAGGUUCAAUCUUAACCUAUGUUCUCUAACAUUAGGUUUGAUGCCACUCUUGUUCGAUCUAUGUUUAUUAACACUAGGUUCGAUAUCAUUCUUGUUCAACCUAGGUUCACGACUCUAGGUUGAAUGCCACUCGAUCUAUAUGUAUAUAUAUGUCCACAUGCACAUGUCAUUCAACAUAGUUCUCUUGGUGUCAACUUACCCUCACUUAGCAUUCUUAUUAUGCCAUCAUUUAUUUUCUUAACAUUAACCAUAUGCAUUCAUCUAGCAUUCUCACAUUAUGUCUAUAUGCACAUGCCAUUUACUUUAUGCUUUCCACUAGCAUUAUUUACACUACGUCAUCAUGCGUUAUUUGGUAGCCCACGUAGCAUUCAUCCUAUGCUUUCACAUGUUCUAUCACUAGCUAUCACUACAUGCAUCAAUGAUAAAUAUUUAUCUUAGACAUACAAGCGUCCUAGUCGCUUUGGUAAACACAACCCAUCUUGAUUUACUCUCCGAUUGCUUGUAGCCACUUGCAAUCGGCCUCCCGCGGCACUCGUGACCCGGUUCGGCCCGAACUCUCGCGCGACCACCCGAACGGCCACCAAUCCACGAUCCGAAAAUUUUGGAGUUAUUCCUUGACACCACGAUGCUCCGGAUCCAAUCUCACGAUUUUUAGACGUCUGUUCCGCGUGUUGCGGCUAUCUGUACGAAAAAUACUAUUUCGUCAAUAACUUUGCGUACACUCGUCGGAUUGUCGAACCGAGUGCACCAACGCGUUCGUUAUACCCCCAAUUAGGUUUCCACAUAGUCAAAAUAGAUCAAAACCCCGUAUGAGCAAAACCCCUCUUUGGGAUGCCCUAGCAUGACAUUUGCUCAAAAUUCCGGAUUUAAUCUAUAAAACUAAGCGAAGCUAGCUUAGAAUUCCUCUAGAAGUUCUCUAGUAUCAUUUCCAAGCCAUUCUACUUAUCCCUAGGGCAACAAAAGACAACCCUAGCAUUUCACCAUGAGAGGGCUUUGAGAAACCAUGGGUUUCAAGGUGUUUCCAAGUCUCCACUUUGUUCUAAAGCUUGCAAGGAGAUCAUAUCCCUAAAUCUUAGGGUAAAAAUCCAAACCCUAGAACUACACUUGCAAAAGAACUCACCUUCUCCCAAAGCUCCUCCAAGUCCUUCUUAUGGGAGAGCUUCUCAAGCCUCAAAUCCUCCAAAUCUUCCCUCUAAUCACCACCGAUCCUCCUCCUUGAGCCUUGGUGGAGAGCCUUUUAGCGAGAGAGAGGGAGAGAAAAUGAGAGAGGAGAGGGUUCUCGCAGCUGCUGUGAAGGGAGGAAGUGUUUGGGGUAUUUUAUAGAUUGCAACAAUAGCAACUUAGCCCCCCAACAUUUCCUAUUCGCAACAGACCAAAUCUGUGCUGUCUGCCCAAAGUGUACCGGUACACGGGUAUUUGUACCAGUACAAACCUGCCCACAGGCCAAACCCGAGAGCAGCUCUCUCGGUUUCGUAGCAUCUUUACCGGUACACUUUCAAUGCUGUACCGGUACACUUUGCUGUACCGGUACACCCUCAAUGCUGUAUCGGUACACAUUUAUAUAUAUAUAUAUAUAUAUAUAUAUAUAUAUAUAUAUAUAUCAACUCGAUCUUAUGUUGAUUUUUCAUGGUACUUCCACCAACAUUGUAUGGCUUGAAGAUUUUCAGUACUUCAACGCCACAUACAUUCGAACCUUCUCUAUUUUCACUCAAGAUUUCCACAACCUUUCCAAAAACCGUAGUUGGCCGCGCCUCAUCUCAGCUCAGCCUCGGUUUUGUCGUAAGACCUUGCCCAGAAUGCUGUUUUGGCCUCCGACUCAGACAUCUACUCCGCGCCGGGUUGAUGCCUAACCUUUCCAACACCUUUAGAAACUCACUUUUAUCUCUUGCCAAGCUUACAUACACCGCAACUUCAUGACUUUUAGAGUCUCGGUAAUGUUACAACCACCUUCAGUGGUACUUUUUAGUUGUAUUCUAAGCUCACUAUAUAUAUUAGAAAUUGAAUUGUUAGCAUUAUAGAAUUUAAAAUCUUUGGCGGAAAAGAAAAAUUGAAAUUGUAAGUUUGAGCCCUCAAAGAUGUUACUAUUGAUUGAACUAGUAUUUGACCCGUACGAUGCACGACUAAUAUAAUAAUAUAAAAUAACAAAAGUUAUUAUGUGAUGAUAAAAGAAAAAUAUUCUAAUUAAUAUUAUUUUUUUUUUAACAAAUAAAGAAAUAUACUAUCAAUCUUAAUUAUAGUACACUAGUGAAGAUACCUACGCGAUGCGGCGGAUCGAUUUCAUAGAAGUAGAUGAUCAAUUUUCAUAGAAGCGGUAAAUCGAAAAGUAGUCGAUAGUAGUAGAAAUGAACAAAUGAGAAAAUAUAAACAGCUAGCAAUAAUUGGUGGUACACAAAUAUACCAACAGUUAAGAACCAAUAGUCAGCAGUAAUAAUGAACAAAGCAGCGCAUUAGCAGUAAACAAAAACAUAUAGUUGAGGAGAAGUAAACAAUGGAGCAAUUGAAGAACCCCCAAACCAGAUCUAAAACAUCAAAACCAAUCUAGUAACUUUACAUUAGGUAGAAAGUGAUGCAUAUCUGGAAGCUUGAGUGUUCUUGUUACCCAGUCAUCACUUCGAUCAACGGCAUUGCCUGCGCCAAGAUUGUCGUCCUCCACCUCUACCACCACCACGCCUGUGCCGCUGGCUCAUCCACCUCGUCUUCCUCCACCGUACGAUCCAACCCCUAUUGCUUCGGACCCUAUGCCCUCGCGCGUCACACUCGCCGCACCCACCAAAGGUUCCUCACUGAUGGCGGGGAGGAUGGGUCUAGCAACUCCUUUUUCGGCGACGGCAAUAGCAACGACAGCCCCUUCGGUAGCAGCGGGGCGGCGGAGGGUGGGGCUCUAGCGACGGCGGAGUGGGCAUGUAGGAGCGUGUCAAAUCUAAAGAGAGAGAGAGAGUGAGAGAGAAAAGAUGGAAGACGACAUAUCGUAAAAUUGCAUAGUAAAGAAAUUAAAAAUAAGAAGAAUGCGAACACAUUAAUUAUAAAAUAACGGAUAGGAAUGUGAAAAGGUGGCAACACUUCAUAGUAACAAAAUAAAACUUUUGAAAGUGAAACCUAUUCUAAUAUAUAAUUUAAAUAAGAAUAUGAAAAGAUGGAUCAAAAUAAAUUCGUAUACAUUUGAAGGUAUUGACACUAUCAUUAUUUUAUUUAAUUGAAUCCACAAAUAUAAAAAGAAUCAAAGCUAUUUUGUAAAAGAAUUUCUCUUUUUUAUAGUAUGAAUUUUAUAUUCACAAUUCACUCUUGAUGUGUUAAAAAUAAAAUUAUAUUGUUCAUAUAGGGUUGUGGAUUUUAAUUAGGUUUUUUAAAACUUAAAAAAAAAACCAAAAAUGCCUUUUGCAAUGUUCAUGUCAGUUACCCUGUACUUAAUGCACAAUUAAUAUGUUUCUCAAUAGUAUUAAUUAAGUUAUUUAAUAAAAUCUAAGAUUCAUCAGUUUCAUACAUUUUCUUAACUUUUUAUUAGCAUUAGUCAUUAGCAUUAACCUAUUCUCCCAAAAUAAGGAGGGUAUGCCAUGUCAGCUCAUGCUAUUGAGCUUUCAUAUAGUUUUAUAGAUAUAAAAGUACAAAUGCUAGAGAAACAAAAUUAUGGAUCAAAGUAAAUACUCACGUAAAGAGCAAAUUUCAACCAUACUCUAUUAUUUAUGAAUUUGUAUGCAAAAUAAUUUACAUUUACAUAUUGAUAUGCAAAACAAAAUGAAACAAAAUGAGAACUCAAAUUGAUAUGAAAAAUACAAAUGACAUUAAUAUUUAAGUAUAUAAUAAAAUUAACUAAACUUUCAUGUUUGACACAAAUUAGAAUAAGCACACGUAUAUGAGAGACAUACCAAUUUUCAAGAUUCAAAUAUAUAUAGAUGUUCGUUUUCAAGAAAAUAUGAAGAAAAAAAAACUUUGUUGCAUGAAUAUGGAAAGUACCUGCUCCAAUAGUAAUAUAGUUAAAUUGUUAGAUAAGUGAAAUGAUAAAUAUCAUAAUAUUAGUGAAAUUUUUCAGAAAAAGGUCUAAAUUUAUUUUAAAAAUAAAAUGACAGAGUUGAAUUAUUGAAAAUUAUAAUUUUUGAAAUAACAUGAGGAAAAUAAACCGCUUAUAUUAUAGAGAACUACCAGUUGAGAGGAUUGAGUUGAAAUUUUACUAAGCAACAUAGAUUGACUUAGUUCUCCGCUUACAAUCCUAAAUUUUAUUUUUUAAUGUAAGUGAACAAUAUAUAUAAAAAAAAUAAUAAGGUUAUUAGUUAACUUAUUUUUGAACUCCAAUAUUUCUGAUAUAUCAAUGUUGAUCAUCAUCUUGGUUGCAUAAAGAGAGUUUGAUAUUAUAGUGUCCCGAGGGUUUAGUGUCGGAUUGGUUUCAGUAUUAGCGUUUAGUCGACACAUCUGGAGAGUGUCGGACUGAAUCCGAAUUGUUUUUGUCCAAAAUGGAGGCAAAAACAGACUCGGCGCACUCAAAUAAGCAAAACUGGAGUUUUGCCAGUUUCGGGCGCCCAAAACAUGGUUUUGGUUGCCCAGAACUGAGUGCUGAACUGAACUGAAAUUGGAAUCCAAUUCGGAUCCUAUUUUCGGGCGCCUAGAAGUGGGUCUGAAUGUUCACUUUGGGAAUAUCGAUUGUAUUGACACGUGUUGGUGGUAGGUGAGUUCCGUUGGACCAGGUUUAGGGCGCAGCAGACCGCAGGCGGAGGAACCGAAGAGGGAGCUUUGUAUGGCCUGGAGGUUUCGGACGCACAGAAGUGGAUUUUGGGCGCCCGAAAGUGCAGACUUCUGCAGGAACAGCAGGUUUGCAUUUCUUGUUCCUGAGGCUUACUGUACCUAUCCUGCCCUUUAUAAAAGCUUGGGUGCGAACCCCUGAGAAGUUUUUUCACCCUUCUUCACAGAGAAGCCCUAUUUUUGCAGUUUAGCCCCUCUAAACCCUUCAAUUUGCACAAUUCCAUCUUGACGAUUGCAAUUCCAGUAGAAUUCCAGCAGCAACCUUCGGCGUUUUGGCUCGUGUGCGACGUAGGAAGGUCGGAUUGCUGCUAAACUUGGUUUGGUGGUUAGUAGACUUCCUAGAGAUUUCGUGGAGCCCAUUUUGACAACAUCUGAUUGAGGUUAGCAUGGUCAAUUUAGUGUUUUUCUGAGCUGCUGGUGGAUUUGAGCUUAAAUUGGGUUUUUCUUGGUUUUCUUGGUUCAAUCUUUGGAAGAAGCUGGGUUUUCGACAAAGAGGUCAUUGCUCCACCUUUCCCUACUGGUUUUGAGAGUGUUCUUCACCUGAAUUGUGGAUUUAAAGUUUGAAAGGUGCGUUUUGACAUUGGAAUUUGAGGAAUUAAGCUUUAGUACUGAAAUUUGAGGUAUUGAUGCAAUUUUGGUGUUCUUGUGGUAGGUCUUUUGAGAGGAGUGUGCUGGUUCGUGGCUCAGCUUGGCAGGACUUAUUCUAGCGACUUCCUAACCUUGCUGGACUCGCGCUUAAGGUGGGCUAAUGUGAAGCUUUCCGGAUUCUACGGAUUAUCUCCUAAGCCUAGUUGUUGUCAACACGUAUUGUUAGUUUUGUAGAUUAUGUUAAUUAGCUCAAACUCAUUGAUUUGUAUACUUUGAAAAUCUGAAUUUCGAGCUUAAAAUAUUAGCUAACUUAUACAUGUUGGACUUGGAAUUGACUUAGGAGAAAACUAUCGAUUCUAUUUCGUCAUCUUUUGAAACUACAAGAUUUAGCUUUAGGAGCCGUAGUUUGUUUGUAUCGCCGUAGUUUGUUUGUAUCGCCGCAGUUUGUAUGCGGUGGAAAUCCAGAAUAGUGUAAAAUAUAUUUACGCUCAUGCUUGGAUGCCGAGCUUAUUUUACACCAGUGUAUAGGCUGUUCCGGACUGUCGGGUCCCGUCGCGGUUGACGGUGGACCCAUUUGGCUGUUUUUGCAUCAGAUUGUGCCGAGAGCACGUGAGUUUUGGUUGUUAGACCAAUUUGACCCUUUUGUUUUGAUAAUAGUCUGUGUGAGCCUGAUUGAGCUCGACAGAGAUACGCUUGCAUACUCGGUUGGGUAGCGCCCACGAGUGCCACUCCGGAGUUGGGCUUAGUGCUUUUGCGCUGUUGUCGGUUUGUCCUGGUUGGAUUUGCUCUCCACUGACGACCCAGCAGGUGCUAGUUAGUGUAGCUUCGGCAGGCGAGAUGGGUGUGUUCACAGUCCCCAGUGAGAUUGGGUCUGAGUUUGCUUUUUCUACAGAUAUUAGUAUUUGGAUCGUGAUAGAAUAGUGGCAUAUAGCCGUAGAUUUGUUCCAGCUUUAUUUACUAUUUCUGAGCAUACAUCUGUAGACUUAGUGGGUGAGCCGUUGAGGUCGGUAAUGGUACCCACUGAGGACUACUUUUUUUUGCAGUAAUUUUCACACUCAGUUGGUGACUCUUUUUACAGAGCCUUCUUCUUCGGUUGUUGCUGUUGCAGAUACUGAUCGUGGAGAGGGAGUCGCGAGUUAGAUCCCUUCCCGUGUUGCUGCUGAGUUAGAGACAUACACGCUACAGGUAGUGUUAGUUUUUGGGUUCUUAUACAUACUGAUGUUAGUAACUUGCUGGAGCGAGUGUUUUUUUAUCAGGAUACCACUACAACAAAACUGCUUUUUAGUGGCGACUUUUUGGUGGCGACAAGCACUGUCGCCACCAAUUUAUAGAAAAUGGCGGCGACAUAUAGGUGUCGCCACCGAUACAGAAUACUUUAGCGGCGACAAAUAAGAGUCGCCACCGAUACAGGAUUCUUUGGCGGCGACAAAUAAGAGUCGCCACCGAUANGCGACAUCAUGUCGCCACUAAUUCUCUAAUUUUUCGUGGCGACAGUUUGUCGCCGCUAAUUAUCUAACUUUUAGCGGCGACACAUUGUCGCCACCAAAUAGUUUUACCGACGGGGUUUUAGGCGGCGGGAUGCGGCGACGAAUUGUCGCCGCCAAAACACUUUUCGUGGCGACAAUUUUGGCUAUGGUGGCGACAUUUGUCGCCACUAAAUCUCGUACCUGUUGUAGUGUACUAUGUAUGUAUGUUGAACCGAUGUUAUAUUUACAUGUUUUUCUUUUUAGCAGCUCUAUACUACUGGUUGUGGUAUUGUAUGAUUACAGGUACGUACAGGUACAGUUAUUGCUUCGUAUACAGAAAAAAUUUCUUUGUAUACGGCGGAUUUGUCGGCGUACCCGGGAAAACGAGUAAUCCGGGGCGUGACAGAUAUACUACGUGGACCUAUGUUGCCCAUAGAUAUACAAUAAUUAGUAUAAUUAGUAAGAUAUACAUAAUAUCCAAAGUUUGAAUAAUGAGAUACCGGCAAAGUCUUUUAUCUUGUACUAUUACAUUAUAAUUAUGACAGGGCCUUUAUCCCAUACUUGUCUAUAAGUAUGAAGUUCUUCAGCAAACCUUUCCCACAAUGUGCAAUGCAGCUUCUUGUUGCUAUAAGUUUUACGAAAAAAAGUACUAAAUGACCAAAAGAUAAUAAACACACAUAUAUAUAUAAAUUAUACAAACAAAUUAAAAGGACCAUUGUAGUACAAAUGCUACUUAUAAAACAAUUCAUUUUAUAUCAUAUAUGUGCCUACUUAUUUUUAGUUUAUAUUUAAUCAGAUAGAUAAUUUUUAUAUUUAUAUUUAUAUUAGCAAGAAAACUCCAAGAACAUAAAGUGCUGUUAUUUAAGAUGUAAACAUGAGUGUCGUAUUAUAAAGUUAUUAAAUUGAUAAAUACAAAAUACUUUUGUUUUGGAUAAAACUGUCAAUCUAGUUAUUACUUUAUAAUAAUAAGCAGCUAACUGAACAAAAACAUAUAAACAUUCAAAAGACAUAUUUAUAAUUAUGAGCACCUACUUGUCAUCCUCAAGUAGAAUCGUAAUUUUUUUUGUUUCUUUACUGUCCUUGCAGCUUUCUUCUAUUCUACUAAUUCCAGAAAGCUUCCCAAUGAUAUAUAAUAAAUUAGAAAAAUGAAAUGUAAUAAUCAAUAUAGUAGGUACACAUAUUAAAAAUUGAAUUUUAAAAAUCAAAUAUUUAAUGCAUGUAACAACUCCUACCUACUAAAUAUUUGUCAUCAGUGACAUUAGCAAGUAUUCAUCAAAAGGGUAAAUAUAAAUCCAUACUUUGAUAUUGUCAAAACAUCUUGCAUCUCACGUACAGCCGUAGAAUAUUGAAAAUUAAUUUUGUAAGGAUGUUUAGUGGUCCUGUAGGAGCCACUGCUCUAUCCCACUCCAAACUGGUUGAUCACAUAAACUUUUUCUUCUGUAAAAAAGCCUUUAAAUUUGUUCAGGAAAGCUUUUCUUACCGUUGUAUAAUCCUAUCUCCCUAAAAUAGAAAAUAAACCAAUUUGUAGUACUUUUUGUAAAAUCAAAUCAAGUAAUAUUUCAGCAAAUAAAAGUUGUAACAUCCUAAAAGUUAUAAAUACUCUCGAGUCAUCAUCACCCAUUUGACGUGCAUCAUGUAACACAGAAAAUAAAUAUGCCCUCAAUAUAAAUAAUGGUUUUCACCAAAUAUCAUAACACGACAAUUUUAUAUGCAUGCAGGGACUCAUGUUACAAGUAAUUCAUUAACAAAAUAUUUGGGUCAUAUCUUUUGUUAGUGAAAAAUAAAAAAAAAAAUGAAAAAACUAAGUAGCGAUAGUAGGUUUUCAUGUUACAUGAAAACGUAUGUUCAAUUUGAAAAUGAAAGUCGUAUCUUACAUUUUGAUCAGAAAAACUAACUCUAGGCUAUUCACCAUCUAUGGACGAUAAAAUUCAGGCAUAGUAAACCGACAAAUCACUCUGACUUUGAUCUUCCAUUUGUCUCCAAGUGGAGUGAUGUCACUUAUAGAAUCAAACCAAAAUGCCAUAUCCUGAGAACAAUAAGUCAUUCAGGAAAAAAAAAUAGUACUUGCUUCGUAUUUAAGUAAAAAAAUAAAAAUAAUAUGUUCUAUUUUAAAUCAUCAAUAUUUAAGAACUAAGAAACACUGCUCAAUAGAUACUUAAUUGAAAUGUGCCGAAUAAUAUUAAAACAAAGUGAAAAUUACAGAAAGAGUAAUAGUAGGGAAGAAGCAUGCAAUAUUAAUUGUAUAUAUAAUUAUAAUUUGAUUUAAUAGUGUUUCUUAGUUCUUAAAUAUUGUUGCCACAUGUCAAACUCAAAUAUAGCAAUUAAUUGGUAUAAUUUGAUUUAAUUAGAUUUAAUAGUGUUUCCUAAUAAAAUUCUAUUUUUAACCACCUAAUUGCUAUAUUUGAGUUUGACAUGUGGCAACCAUAUAUAAAGAUACAUGAUAAACAUUUAAUUUGAUUUAAUUUGAUUUAAUUGUAUAUAUAAUUAUAAUUUGAUUUAAUAGUGUUUCCUAAUAAAAUUCUAGUUAAUUAUAUAUAUAAUUAUAAUUUGAUUUAAUAGUGUUUAAUAGUAUUUCCUAAUAAAAUUCUAGUUAAUUGUAUAUAUAAUUAUAUUUAUUAGUAUAAUUUGAUUUAAUAGUGUUUCCUAAUAAAAUUUGAUUUUUAACCAUCUCAUUGCUAUAUUUGAGUUUGACAUUGUAUAUAUAAUUAUAUUUAAUUGGUAUAAUUUGAUUUAAUUUGAUGUUUCCUAAUAAAAUUCUAUUUGAGUAUCCUAAUAAUAGUGUAUCAACUUAAUUUGUCAUGCCCCGGAUUACACGUUUUUCCGAGCACGCCAACAGACUCGCCGUAUACAUAGGAAUUUUUUCUAUAUACGAAGCGAUAGUUGUACCUGUAAAUAAAUCAAGUUACAACCACAAGGUAAAGAGCUGCUAAACUGAAAAUAUAUAUAUAUAAAAACCUCGUGGGGUUCAAGUACAUACAAAAAUUUCUACUACAUCACUCGCUCCAACGAGUACCCAGACAACAACCAUAUGUACAUAAAUACCCCAAAACUAUCUGUGGGAGAUACUCCUCUAGCCCUGCAACUCGUCUGGAAAGAAUCUUGCUCGCAACUCACUUCCUACGAUCAAUAUCAGGAGCAGCAGCAGCCGCAGAAGAAGACUCUGCAAAAAGGAUUCAACAACUGGGUGUGAGAACUACUGCAAAAGAAGUAGUCCUCAGUGGGUGCCGCUACCGACCUUAAUGGCUCACCCACUGAGUCUACAGAAAGUAAGCAGGAAGAUAGUAAAGGAGGUUGGUACAAACUCUACAGCUAUAUGCCAUUAUAUUAUCGGUAACCAACCCUAGCUAUCUGUAGAUGUAAACAUACUGCAAUCUCCGACCCAAUCUCACUAGGGACUGUGAACACACCCGUCCCGCCUGCCGAAGCUACAUCAACCACCACCACGCUGGGUUGUUCGUGGAGAGCAAGUCCAACUAGGACACUACGACAUCAACGCAAACGCACUAAGCCCAAUUCCGGAGUGGCACUCGUGGGCGCUACCCAACCGAGUAUGCAAGCGUAUCUCUGUCGAGCUCAAUCAGGCUCUCACAGUCUAUAAUCAAAGCAACUGGGUCUAACUGGUCUAACAACCACAUCUCACAUGCCCUCGGCAAAAUCUGAUGCAAAGUAUAGGAAUCUGCGUCCACUGUCAACCGCGACGGCACCCGACAGUCCGAAACAGUCUACACACAACUGUAAAAUAAGUUCGGCAUCCCAACAAGAGCGUAAAUUCAUCCUACACUAAUCUGAGUAUCCACCGCAUACAAACUGCGACAAUAUAAACAAACUACAGCUCAUAAAGCUAAAUCUGAUAGUUUUUAGAAAAUGACAGUGUAGAAUCUAAUAGUUUUCUCCUAAGUCAAUUCCAAAUCCAACAUAUAAAAUUAAACUACUAGUUUGACCCCAAAUUCAAAAUUAAACACUAAUCCAUGAAUUCGAGUACUAGCAAUAAACAACACGAUUAAUACAUGUCGACGAUACUAAACCUUAGAAGAUAUUCCGACGAUUUCGGUAAACUUCAACUUACCUCGAAAAGCUAGUCCAACGACGGCAAGAAGUCGACAGGAGAGGAACCACGCGCUCGCCCAGCCUCCUAACAACGCUACCAUGACACACGCACGCUCGAACAACUCCCCGGCGCAACGUCGACGUCGAUCCGAACUUCAACCAUGGCCUCCACCAAGCUCACAACUCCAAUCUAGAGAGAGAGAGGGAAAAGCAACAAAAGCUCACUCUCUGACGCUCUAUCCUAUAUAAAGCGGUGGUGGAAGGAUGGAUAACUACGAGACAACAAUUGACCAAAAAGCCCCUCACCUACCCUGGAGUACCGGUACCAGCCUGAUGCCGUACCGGUACUCAGUAUCAAUUAUCGCAACCCGAGAGCAGCAGUUCAGAAAAAUGUACUGGGGUACCGGUACUCCCUUGCGUGGUACCGGUACUCAAUACUGAAAAUCUGCACUUUGCAGAUUUCAGUGCCAAAACCCUACUCUCGCGUUGCACUGAGUUUGUUUUGCGUCUAUUUCGCGCUAUAACGACUCAGACUUGUCCCGAUACUCUCCAGAUGUGUCGACAAGUCUCAGAUGCUGAAAUCUUAUGGCUGCAGAAUACCAAGGAUACUAAAUCGUCCCCCGCUACAAAAAAGUUUAGUCCUCGAAACUUAAUACAUACCUCAAAUCUGAGCUUCAAACAAAUAAGAGUAGGACUCCCGCAUCACCGUCUCCGGCUCUCACGUCGCCUCACGCUCCUCGUGAUGACUCCACUGCACCUUUAUAUAAGGGAUGACCCAGUUGCGCAAUUCUUUCGUCUCCCGAGCAAGAAUCCUCACCAGUCACUCCUCAUAUCUCAGAUCCUCGCCAAGCUCCAGUGGAGUGAAGUCGAUCACGUGUGAGGGGUCAAACACAUAUCUCCUCAGUGCCGAGACGUGAAAACAUCAUGAACACCGGCCAGUCGUGGGGGUAGAGCAAUCAUGUAGGCAACUGGUCCGACACGCUCCAAUACCUCAAAAGAGCCUACAAAGCGUGGACUAAGCUUUCCACGAACUCCGAAUCUGCGUAUCCCUCGGGACGGCGAGACUUUCAAAAACACAUGAUCUCCAACCUAAAACUCUCAGUCUCGUCUCCUGGUAUCGGCGUAGCUCCUCUGUCGACUCUGGGCUGUCAAAAUGUGUCGUCGCACAACUUUGACCUUUUUCUCUGGCUCCCUCAGAAUCUCAGGUCCCAGAGUCUUUCUUUCACCCACACCACUCCAAUGCAAAGGGAAUCGACACCUGCGUCCAUACAACGCUUCAAACGGAGCCAUCUGAAUGCUCGUUUGAUAGUUGUUGUUGUACGCAAACUCAACCAGUCUCAAAUGUCGAUGCCACCCUCCUCCAAAGCCCAGGACACAUGUUCUCAGCACGUCCUCCAAAGUCUAAAUGGUCCGCUCUUACUGACUAUCUGUAUGUGGGUGAAAUGCUGUGCUAAAAUGUAGCUGUGUACCCAAGGCCGUCUGAAGACUCCUCCAGAAAUGCAAGACAAACUUCAGGUCUCGAUCCGAUACUAUCGAGGUAGGCACACCAUACAAUCUAACAAUCUCAUCUAAGUAUAGCUGAGCGAGUCUCUCCCUGGACUAGAUGGUCUGUACUGGUAGGAAGUGAGCCGACUUAGUCAAUCUGUCCACUAUUACCCAAAUAGUAUCAAAACCACCCUGUGCUCUAGGUAAUCCCACGACAAAGUCCAUCGUGAUCUGCUCCCAUUUCCACUCGAGCACUGGCAGAUUCUGAAACUUGCCAGUAGGUACCUAAUACUCUGCCUUUACUUGUUGACAAGUCAGACACUGAGCCAAACAUUUGCCAAUAUCCCGCUUCAUUUUAUUCCACCAAAAGUGUGCCUUCAAAUCCUUAUACAUCUUGGUUCUACCGGGGUGAACUAUAUAAGGUGAGUAAUGAGCCUCACUCAAAAUCUCCUCUCGGAUCCCUGCAUCCAUAGGCAUACACAGUCGGUCCUUGUACCACAAUACUCCUGAACUGUCCACAGAAAAUACCUCUGCAUGUCCCCUCUCUGACUGCUCUCGAAUCCUCAACAAAUGCGAGUCUCCACUAUGUUUCUCCCUAAUCCUGUCCAACAAAGUGGCCUGCAAGACCAUAGGCAUCAGUUUCGCAGUAGAUCCAGGGGACACUACCUCAAGCCUCAACCGCUGCAGCUCCUCAAGUAACGGCUUCUGCUGAGUAAUCAACAUGCUCAAACUCUACACUGAUUUGCUGCUCAAUGCAUCUGCCACCACAUUCGCCUUACCGGGAUGACACUGAAUACGAACAUCAUAGUCCUUCAAUAACUCUAACCGCCGGCGUUGCCUCAGGUUCAACUCCUUUUGGGUGAACAGAUACUUGAGACUUUAUGGUCAGUAAAAACCUCACUGUGCGAUACAUCACUGUAAAUCAUAAAUCCUUCCCCCAUAAUUGGGAGGGCAAGGAUAGGAGCCGAUAUCAACCUUUGUCUUAACUUAUCAAAACUCCUCUGACAAUCCCCACUCCAGAUAAACUUAAUUUCCUUUCGAGUCAAUCGAGUGAGGGGUGUGGAAAGCUUCGCAAAGCCUUCCACAAAUCGACGGUAAUAUCCUGCUAAUCCAAGAAAACUCUUCAUCUCUGUCACCGUCGUCGGUCUGGGCCAAUCCUGUAUAGCAUCAAUCUUCUUCGGGUCCACUGCUACUCCCGCUGCAGAAAUCACAUGGCCCAAGAAAGCAACCUCCCGAAGCCAAAACUCGCACUUCUUCAGCUUAGCAUACAACUUCUUCUCCCUCAGAAGCUGUAACAUUAUCCUCAAAUGCUCCUCAUACUUAACAUCACUCCGGGAGUAUAUCAAACUAUCAUCAAUAAAUACAACCACAAAUCUAUCCAAGUACGGUUUGAAUACUCUAUUCAUUAAAUCCAUAAAUGCGGCAGGGACAUUCGUUAAUCCAAAAGGCAUCACAGUGAACUCAUAAUGCAUGUACCGAGUCCAAAAAGCCGUCUUGGAAUAUCCUUAGCCUUCACCCUCAACUGGUAGUAACCUGACUGGAGAUCAAUUUUCGACAAGACACAAGAUCCUUACUGUCACGCCCCGGGGCCGAUUUUAAAAGCCUUUUGAAAACAGAGUUGCGGAAAGCGUGCCAUUUUUCUNAAUUACCAUCUUUUCUUCUCUCUUCACUCAAUCCACUGAAAUUCUAGACGAAGAGCCUUUCCUGUCAUCCUCCUCCGCCACCGCAGCCAACGAGAUAGAGUUUCGGCGGUUGCUAAAUGUUUAAAUAAGUGUUAGUAAAUUAGCAGCACUCUUUUACGUUAUAGCGACACUCUUUAACUGUCACUAUAUACCUAGCGACCCCACAUAUAGCAACACUUUUUAAAAGUGUCGGUAAUUUUAGUUAGCAGCACUUUUUUGACAUGUACCUACAUUUAAAAGUGUCGCUAUAGACCGUUUUUGUUGUAGUGAGUUCUAAGUCUUCAACAUGGUUGCAGUAAUGUAUUUCAGUUGCAUUUCUUUUUUAUGAUCUUAGUUAUUAUUAUUAUUUCUGAACCCUUUUCUAUCAUAUCGAUAUUUUGAAUAAUUAGGUAUUAAAGCCGAUCCUAAGUGCUUUUUGCUGCUUGGAUGACACAACUAAGAGGCAACAUAUAUAGGUAGCGAGUCUUGCCUUUUUUUUUUGUUUAAGAAAGGUAGCAUACUGUUCGUUUUGUUUUUUUUUUUAAAAAAAAAAUGAAUUCAGUUAGAAAUGUAAAGCAACUAAAUUUUAAUCUUUGAAUUUUCGAUAUCAAUUAUUAAAUUUUUAACCAAUUGUACUAUAUAUGGUCGGUUUUGGAGAUUUUGAUUUUACUGUUCCUUUUCUAAGGACUGGUUUGGUAUUCGGUCAGAACUAUGUAGAGAUAUAUUUUUUUCAUUAUUUCAGUCCAACCUCAGAAAUCCUAUCUUAAUCAAACUCGUGCAAUCUACGGGACAUGUUGGAUUCGACUCCACUAAUUGAAAACCCAUGAACUACUGGGCUUUGGGGUUUGGGCUUUUGGGCAUUAGUGGACCGUUUCUUAUUCCGUACUAUAUGUUUUGGAUUACCUCCAAGCCUAUUGGUAUCUAUUAUCUUCGGAUUCUGUAAUUUUUUUGAUUAAAAUGUAUGGUGGCCUCCAAACCUUUAAGCCAUUUCAAAAUGAGUAAUGCUACCUGUACAUACUCCUAUUCUAUUCACCAUAAGACUAUUAACUUUCACUACUUUUACUAAUUCUAUUUUUUUUAAAAAAAUAUACCAAAACUCACGAGGGGUUUAUAAACUCACGAAUGAAUAAGAUGUAAGAUUUAGACAUUGUUGAGCCAAUUAGGCGCGGACAGGUGGUACGCCGGUGAUCCAGUCAGAUGCAUUGAUUUCGCUGUAUACCAGGAGUACUAUGAAAAAACCAACAAUUUAAAACGUCGCGCCAAUCAAGAGAAGUUAUAGCAACCGCAAGCAGUUGCAAGCAGUUCUGAUCGGCUGAAGGUGGUCCGAAUAAUAAGGAUAGUGGCCGAUCAUGGAAUAGAAUAACUAAUCAGCAGGGCGCGACCUAUAAAUAGGGCAACAAUGCCCUAAAAAGGGGUCUUUUUCCCUGUGAACAAAAAACCACCCUUAUAUUCUCGCAAUUUUCUAUAUUUUCUAUGAGUAGAUUACUUGUAAUUUUACUGCUUUUUUCUAAGAGUAGUUCGCUAAGUAGAACCCUAAAGUCUGUCUACCCUACGGGUAUCACUCCGUUGUAAACUACAUAUCCAUCCUUAUACUUCCUACCAGUCAAUCAAUAGAAAGUCAUUUCGACUCUUCAAGCCGACCAAAUCCCGUGUUGCUUUAGCUAUUCAGCUUUUCUUCCGGCUUAGUUUCCGGCCUGCUCUGUACAUUCAGCUCAUUCCAGCCGAACCGAAUAGAUAGUAGUGGUUUUCGAACCCGGCUAGCUCGAUCCCUCGUCAGCCGAAUCGCUUAAUCUGUCGAAUGGCGCAAACUUCGACGGUCACUAUCCGCAGCCGUUCCUCACCCCGACGCGCUUUCCGAGGAGGAUCUUUGACCGGAUCAAGGGUCGGGAAAUCCGGCUACCAACAGACAUACUUAUAGGUAUAUAUAUAUAUAUUGCUUUUUUUUUUUUUUUUUAAUGACACUCUCAAUGUUGAUUUUUAUUUUUUAUUAGCAUUUCCUCAACUAAUAGCUAAUCAAAUUCUGAAAUUUGAAAGAUUUUUCUGUUCAAGUUUUUCUAAUUAGUUAAGCAGAAAAUUCUUUCAAAUUUCAGAAUUUGAUUAGCUAUUAGUUGAGGAGUUGUUAAUAAAAAAUAAAAAUCAACAUUGAGAGUGUCAUUAAAAAAAAAAAANUUUUUUUUUUUUUUUUUAAUGACACUCUCAAUGUUGAUUUUUAUUUUUUAUUAGCAUUCCCUCAGCAUUUAUUUUUCUAUUCAAGUUUUUCUAAUUAGUUAAGCAGAAAAUUCUUUCAAAUUUCAGAAUUUGAUUAGCUAUUAGUUGAGGAGUUGUUAAUAAAAAACACACAGACCAAAAAAAAAAAGUUAAGGGGUUGUUUCCAAAUGACCUAAAUGUGAUGUGAGGGGAUCUUUAUAGACUUUUACAUUUUAUUUUUCCUUUUCUUCUCCCUCUCUCUCUUCAAUUUGUAUGUCUACAGUAUUGUUUCUUUUUUUUUUUGAUUUAGAUAUCGUUUAUUUUAUUUAAAAAUAAACUUAGCUGAAAAUGUGAAUCAACUAAGAUUCGAACUCGGAACCUCGGGUACCAACAACCAAAUCCUUUGCGACUUGCACUAAGAACAAUCGGUUAUAUCUACAAUAUUACUAUAUUAAGGAGUUACUUGAUUCUUUAUAUUUCAAACAAUAAUGAAAAUUUGACUGCAGAUAACCCUAAGGGUGCGUUUGGUUCGCGCUAUCUUUUUAAGAUUCCUAGUAAUCCAAUAAAAAUAAAAAAAUAUGACGGUAUUUGACUAAACGCACUAAGUAAUCUAGUUGGUAAUAUUAGAUUUACUUGGAAAUGAGAUUCAUCCCAAAAUACUAAUCUCAUUCUCUUGAGGGAGGAUGGGUAUCCUCAUAUUAAUGGAUUUGGAUAAUCAUAAUAUGUCUAAUCUCUUUCUUUCUCCCUACCCGCUGCCGGCUAGUUGGUAUUAUUUUUCUUUACACUCUAACCUCAUAUCUCUCUCUAAACUUAUUUUUUUAUCUCUAAACUUCAACUCUUUUUCUCUCUCUAAACUAAGCUCUCUUUCCCCUCUUUUUCUAAAAUCUCAACUCUCUCUCCCUCUAAUCUCGACUCUAUUUCUCUUCUUAUUUCUUUAAUUAUGCUCUCUCUCUAACCUAUGUUCUCUCUCUCCCUUUUUCUAAAAAGAUGUUGAAAUUUUUGGUCGCAUUAUCUAAAAUUAAUUAAAGAAAUAAAUAAAUAAAUUGUAUAUUUUUUGUAAACUUAAAUAACAUGACUAAAUAAUAUAACCGUGCGAACCAAACACAGAAAUGGCACAUUCUUAGUAAUAGGAUGAAUAGGAAUAAGAUUCUCGGACAUCUUUUUAUUGCUAGUAAUCUUUCAUAGUGCGAACCAAACGCACUCUGAAUAUUAUCUUUGUCUUGCUGUAGUAGUACUUAUUACUGCAUUUGGACCUAUAGAUAAAGGCUAAUCUUCUGUAUUUGGUGUUAACCUUAAUUUGGAUAUAGCUCAAAAUAUAGCCGUUGCAUAAAGUAAUUUUUUUUUUUUAGAGAUAGAUAGCACGCUACCCGCUUUAUUUAUUUCAUUUAGAAAUAAACUUAGUUGGAAAUGUGAAUCAUUUAGGAUUCAAACAUGGGUCUCAAAUACCAAUUACCAAACCCUUUACCACUUGCUAUAGGAACGGCCAGUCAUAAAGUAAUUUUACAUAAGAGAUAAUCUUGUCUAUCCACUCAUCUGUUAAACAAACAAAAAAGCUAGAUUUUUUGGGGGGCGCUAAUUAAUUUUACUAUCUCCCAUAUAAAUUAACAAAAUAAACAAAUGCAGUAUACGUAGUUGCAAUUCGCAAAUAACCAAUAUAAUUGCAGCCCUUUUAACUGCAAACUUCCAAAUUUGUUGAUAAAAAUGCAACUGUGGCAUGUUCAACUACUUUUGUCUCUAAUUACAUCAUAUAGUUUUAAUUACACUUUUAUACAAUUAAAUUGCCUCUAAUAUCACGUGAAAUAGCUAAUUACUUUAAAAUCUUAAGAUAAUUAAGAAAAAAUAAUAUUUUAAGAGUUAAGUUCGAAUACUUUUAAAAGUGUUACUAUUCAACAUAACUUUUCUAUUUUUGGAUCUAUUACUAAACUGCAGACAUCCAGAGGGUAGAAAGGGUGAAAGCAAGUGAAUAGUUAUAUUUUUAGAAAUAUUCCAACACAAUUUAUAUUUUAAUCAAUCGUAUUUGUUGGAAAUAACCCGCCAAUAUGGACACACCAUAUGGCAACAAUAUUCAACCUCUCUAAAAGUACAAUGAAUUGCUCAGUUGCAUUAACUUUUAAACAUUUUUGUAAUUUGAAACGACAAUUUGAAACAAUAGCUUUUUUCUAAAAGGUUAAACUAUCAGAGAAUAAUACUUUUAAUAUUUAUAUUCAAUACUCAUCUUACCUCCGGUCUCAAGACUUUUGAUAGGCUCAAAAGGUAAACUUUAAUUAAAUUUUUAUGAGAAAAUUAAAUGAAGCUUGUACCCUUCUGCUCUCAUACAAUAUCAAAUUAGUUUGAAGCAAGUGUUUAUAUCCAGAAUCUUAAACUACUUAAGAAUAAUAGUUAUAAUAUUUAUAUGCAGCGCCACUGAACAACCAAUCUAAAUGAUCCAUUGUAUUUUUGUGGUUAAUAAAAUUCCCAAUGCAAAUCUAAUCACAAUUAUCAUGCAUGACAACUUAAUCUAUUGUCACGAUAAUUUAUUUAUUCAGAUUUAAGCUCUUGGAUCCAGAGGCAGAUCUCGGUUUGUUAUUUGAUUUAGUACAUGUACUAAUUCCUCGAAAAAAAAAAUAAUGAAGACAAUUACCUGAAACGUACAAAGCAAUCAUACAAUUUAAGAGGAAUACUACAUGCUGGCACCUGCCAUAUUAAUACGAUAGAAAAUGAUUUAAAAAUAAUCUAAAAAUUUAUACCACUCUUACUAGAUCAAGCAAAUCAUAUCAUAUAUCUAGAGAGAUAGGCUGGAAUACUAUUGAUAACAAAAAUUUCUUUUUGCUAUUAAAUUUUUAACCCUUAGAUGAGAAAUUGUAGGGCUAGAAUAAUAUUAGUUCUUAGGGUUGAGUGGUCCUUACUAGAUUAUAAUAUUUAAUCACCAACCCGUAGUGGAGUGUUUAUGGGAGCUUAGGGCCCACACUUAGUACCAAAUUAUUCAAAAAAGAAUGAUUUAGUAGGAAACGGUAAAAAAAAAAUAUCGUCAAAAGAUGUGAUAAUUAUUUGUAUCUGAUUUCUUUUCCAUAUUUGGGAAAUGCCAUGCACUUCUUAAUUCCAUGUCUAUGUCGUUGUUAAGAUGACGUACGAUUGAUUCUCUUAUUUGGUGUAACCACCGAUCCUACUCAACAGAGGACGCUUCUAAUUAAUUUGUACGAAAAAAUUAAGAAAUUUGAAGGCAUCUCCCCUAGAAUUCUUAUACGUAAAUUUCAGAACACAAAUCCCAAAAAAAGUCUAAUCCAACUGGGUUCGUAGGAAAUCAGUCGAUAUUCUAUUUAAAUUUAUAUAGGAGGAAAAUGAUACUAGAGAGACUGUUUAGUCUUACUUUUAUGGGAAAACUUUAAAUACCUUCCUCGUAGUUUCACUUUUUUUCAUUUUAAUAUUAUUUAGUUUAAAGUGUAACAAGUUAGUACAUGUGGUUUUACACUUUUUCACUUUAGUACCCUGUGGUUUAAAGUGUAUCAAUUUAGUAUUCUGUGAUUUCGCACUUUCUCACUUUAGUACCCUGUGGUUUCGCACUUUUUCACUUUAGUACCCUAUGGUUUAAAAACCACAGGGUACUAACUUGAUACAAAAAUAAAACCACAGAGUACUAACUUGAUACAAAAAUAAACCACAGAGUACUAACUUGAUACACUUUAAAUCAUAGGGUACUAAAGUGAGAAAGUGCGAAACCACAUGAUACUAACUUGAUACACUUUAAACCAUAGGAUACUAAAAUGAAAAAGUACGUAACAACAGGUGGGGUUUUUGAAGUUUUCCCUACUUUUAUUACAGUUUUGCUAUGUAUUUUCUAUAACCAAAAAUAAAAGAUAAUGCAUAUUUUUGAAAGAAAUUUUGUUGUUCAUAAUUUCAUAUAUGAUAUAUCAACCAUAUAUUCUGUAUUUACCUUUCAAAGAAAUUGGUUAAUAUAUACACAGAGAGCGCGAUUAACUGGGCUACUAUUAGUAUUAAAUGGUUUGAUUUACUACCGAUUUAUUGUCGAUGACAUAGCUUGCAAAUCGAUAAUCGGUACCAUUGAACAUGAUUAAGACUAUUUAAAUUAUUAAAAAAAUUAAAUUUAAUAAUUUUUUGACAUCAUUAAUCGAAAAAUCAAAGAGUCACAAAAUCUAUAAUUUUAAUGGCCGAUAUGGUGUGUUUGCUUCUUUAAUGAUAUAGAAGAGUCCAGAUUAACUAAAUUUUUAUUAAAAUUUUUUAAAACUAUUUAAAACAAGAUAUAAACUAUAGAUCUUAGAUACAAAAUUGUAUCAUCACUUUUUGAAAGAUAGUUAUUUUCGGUCAUUCAUUUUUUGUUCGCUUGAUAGACAAGAGAACAAUAUCGAAAAAACGUAAAAUUUGAUUUCUAAAUAGUUUAAAUAGCUUAAAUUAUGUUUAAGAAUAUCGAUUAUCAAUUUGAAAAUUGUAUCAUAAAAAAUGAAUCGGUAGUAAAUUAAGUUGUUUACUCCUGAUAGUAUUUUAGUAAAACUCUCUCUAUAUAUAUGUUACACAUUCAAAAUUUGAAAAUUUGCCUUCAGUAAAUUUUAAAGAUAGCACUACAACGAAGAUCAGGCCGGCCAAAUUCUACUUGAAUUUCCAGUCACAAAACGAAAAAUUUUAUCGAAAAUAAAAUUCGUCCAUAGCGUAAUGGUUUUAAUGGUGAAGAAAAUACUAAAUAUAUAUAUGGUUUGUUCUUAUGAGAAAAGACUACAUAUAUUAUGCAAAUAGAUAAUCAUAACAUAAUGACCGACAAAAUAUAUAUAUAUAUAUAUAUAUAUAGCUGAUUACUAUUCUAUUAGGAGUACAACAGUUUUUUUAUUUCUAACUUUCUAAUUAUCCAUCAAAUUUGAUGAUCAGUUAGGGUGAAAGAGCAAAGAUAAAUUGGAGAGAAAUUGAAUAUCUCAAUUUCUCUUCUCUUUUAAAUUUCUCUUAAUUAUUCUCUCUUUCUCAUCCUAACCAUCUAUCAAAAUUGAUAAAUGGUUAAAAAAUUAGGAUCACAAAGACUAAAUGUUGUGUUCCUAAUAGCACAAUAGCUCUAUAUGGCUUGGUAGCGACCCUUACAAUCAGCGUCAGCGUAUAUAGUAGUAGGAGUGGCAGGCGGGAAUGAGCGGCGCGGCGGCGAAGCAGGAGUAGGGCAUGAUCUGCGACGUCGGCGCCUUCGCCGUCGGAGCCUCUAACGCCGCAGCCUCUGCGAUCAGCGCCCUCAUCGCCGCCGCGUAGUGCUCCCGCAGCCGCCGCACGGCGCGCCGGUACUGCACCGCCAGCCACCGCAGCCGCAGCCGGCGCCGCAGAACCCCCAGCAGCAGCAGCCGCAGCCUCCCGACGACGCCGCCGCCGCCUCGCCGCCGCCGCCCCCCGAGCCGCGCCACCGCCAUCCUCCGCCGCCGCGGGCGGGCUGCGCGGCUCGGCACGCGGAAGAACAUGGCCCGGUGCGGCUCCUGCGGCUCGGCGCAUGGUGGUGGCAUUCGCACGGCGUGUAUAUAUAUAUAUAAUAUAUAUAUAUAUAUGGAGCGAGGCUGCAAAGGAGAGAGAGAGAGAGAGAGAGAGAGAGGGGGAGAGAGACCAAAAGAGAGGAUGGGAGGAUGGUGAAGCGUUGUUAUGCAGGGAGAAUUUAAUGAUUUUGGUUUCUCGAAAAUCGUGGAAAAGAAAAUUAUUUUGAGAAAAAGCUUUUUAUAAAAAAAAAUCUUAUUUUUAUCAUUUUUACUUUUUAGAUAAAAAAAAUCAGAAAAACUAUCUAACCAAAGCAAACGGGCUUUUUUUGCAUUUAGACCCCUGACAAAUUUUUAUUUUAAAAAUAGCCCUAUCAAAAUUUAAUUUGCAAAAAUGGUCCUGGGCCUGCCACGCAGGCGCCACGUCAGCGCCACGCGGGCAGGGCUGGGCCCGUGUGUUGAGUUGAACACGUGAACCGUUCACCGUGUUCAAACACGGUGAAUGGUUCACCGUGUUUAGUACGUAUUUUUUGUUACGUAUUUUUGUAUAUUGAAAAGUGGAAUAAGGAUAGGAUGUCAAUAGAUAUGGAUAUCCGAAAUAUUAUCCGAAUUCAAACCCGAAUAAAUUAUAUAUAUAUACAUAAUUUAUUUUUAUUUAUUUAUACAAUAUAUAAAAUAUUUAAUAAUUUUUAUUUCUUAGAUCUUUAUCUAACUCAACGGGUUUUAAAAAUCUAUACCGUUGGAUGAAGAUCUAAGAAAUAAAAAUUAUUAAAUAUUUUAUAUAUUGUAUAAAUAAACAAAAAUAAAUUACGUAUAUAUAUAUAAUUUAUUCGGGUUUGGAUUCGGAUAAUAUUUCGAAUAUCCAUAUCUAUUGACAUCCCUACUCCUUAUUCCACUUUUCAAUAUACAAAAAAUACGUAAAAAACACGGUGAACCAUUCACCGUGUUUAGACACGGUGAAUGAUUCACCGUGUUCAACUUAAUAUCCUGACCCCAGCCCUGCCCGCGUGGCGCUGACGUGGCGCCUGCGUGGUAUAGACAGGGUCAUUUUUGCAAUUUUAAUUUUGAUAGGGCUAUUUUUAAAAUAAAAAUUGCUUAGGGCGCUAUUUGCAAAAAAACCCCAAAGCAAACACUUUUCCAUUUUAAAAAGUCUUUUUUUAUUAUUUUUUUUUCAGCCUACCAAACAACUCUUAGCUCUUUGCUCACUCCUUAGAGUAGCCUCUCCCCACAGUUAUUAGACAUAACAUUGGCAUGAUAUCCAAUCAAAUAUUUUUAUAUUACAAAAACGCAUAACAAAAGUCUUUUUAAAAAUAUUUUUAGUGUGCAAUUAGUAUACUAUUUUUGAUUGGACACUUUUUUUUAUCUCGCUUUAUAUGAUAUGAUUGGUUCGAAACAUAUCUUAUCCGUUAUAAUUUAUAUUGAGAAUUUUUUUUUUAUCCGUGAAGGUGAAAAUGUUAAAAAGAAUAUUUUUCAAUCACAGUUAUUCUACAUGCAGACAAAAUCCAAAUAAAUAAAUCCGCAUAAGCCUAAAAGUAAAUUUUGUUUUACAUUAUAAUAUUAAAUGGUCUGUUGAAAAAUUUUAAAUAGUAUUAUUCUGGUAACAGAAGACAAGCUCACAAUAUAGCAUCACAUUUUGUAAGAAAGCUAAAUUGUGAGACCAGUCCAAUAUAUAAGAUAUAAUAAAACUAAAACUCUAAAUUCGGCUUAAGCAUUUUGAGUUGUGGCUAGACCCAAGAGGUUAAUUAAGAGAGUUAAGUAUGGUAGGACGGGAGUAGUCCUAGGAUGGAUGACCCCCUGUGAAGCUGGGCCGUCACAGUUGAUAUCAGAGACAAUUAUCAGCCGAAAGUGUGAGAUGAGUUUCGGUUGAAUCAGAAUUAUACAACGGAGAGAGCAAAACUCUCAUACUGUUGACUGUUGUGGGUAGAGCGCGGCUCUCCUAUAAGGUCGGUUUAGGUUAGUGAGACAAAUCUCACAUCGCCUGAUAUUUGUGAGUCUGAGCUUGACAAAAACGUCAAGGCUUAAAAGAGGGAGAAUGUGACUAAUCCUAUACAUAAGAUAUAAUACGGCUAAAACUCUAAAUUUGGUUUAAGCAUUUUGGAUGAUGGCUAGAUCCAAGAGGUUAAGAAAGUUAAGCGUGUUAAGACAAGAGUAGUCCUAGGAUGGAUGAUCUCUUGGAAAGUUGGGGCGUCACAUAUAAUAUAGCUUUAAAUCCAAUAAGCACUAAUCUAACAAAAAUAUUAGCAUCACAUUCUACUGCAGAAAGUAGAGUUACUGUGCUAUUAAGACCACAACAACCCUUAUACUUCUAACUUCUUAACUAUCCAUCAAUUUUGAUGGGUAGUUCGGAUGAGAGAUAGAAGAGAAAUUAAGAGAAAUUAAGUGUCUCAAUUUUUCUUUUUUAAAAAUUAUUUUUUUCUAAUUUAUCAUCUCUCUCUCAUCUUAAUCAUCCAUUAAAAUUGAUAGAUGAUUAAAAAUUAGAAGUAUAAGAGUUGUACUCUUGAUAGCACAGUAAUCCUACUACUGCAGAAGCCUACUCCCACUGCAGAAGCCAUUGUAAUAUUAUAUUUUUAAAAUAAAAUUUUAAUAUUAAAAUAAGAAUAAUAAAUUAUUUGUAAUUCUUUCAUUUAGAAUACUUAUCUAAGAUAUAAAGAGAAAAAAAAAGACUUAAAAACAAUUGGUUUCUGCAGUAGUGAUGCCCAUACAUGCCCUAAUUUGUAAAGAAUGUUAAUUUUUUCUUUUUGUUUUUUAAUAUUCUUAUUGAGGGAGCUAGUAAAGUCCAUAAGACAAAGAGUGUGAAGUCGAAAAACAUACUAAAAGAGUGUGAAGUCGAAAAACAUACUAGUUAGGUGAGAAAUGGAGCAGGUAAGGGGACUCAGUUAGCACGAUUGUUAAAGCAAAAAAUUAAUGAACACAAACAUAAGAGGCUAAUUAAUGAUAUUUCUUUUUAUUUAUUUUAGUUGGUGAUUGCAUAUCUCACAUUGGUUUGAUGGAAUAAUCAAGUUUUCGGAUAUGCCUUGUUUCAGUCGAGUUUAGGUUUUGGGUAUUAUCCUCUUAUAUUCAGAGUAAAAAACAAAAAGCACAAAAAAAAAAAAACAAAGAUAUGCUGCUUAUUUAUUGGAUCACUUGCUUUUACACCUAACAUCAAAACCCAUUAUGGCUAUGAUGGUGAGCUACCAGAAAAAAAAAAAAGACAAAAGUGAAUAAAAAAGGUCAAACUUACUGUCCCAAGAGCAAGUGGCAAAAAGUUUUGUGGUUGGUAUCCGAGAUUUCAAAUUCGAAUCCUAGUUGAUUUACAUUUCUAGCUAAAUUUAUUUCUAAAUAAAAUAAACGAAGCGGAUAGCGUGCUACCUAUCUCUCAAAAAAAUAAAUAAAUAAAAAAGGUCAUAACACAAUUUUACUAUUCAGAUAAAUAAAAUUACAUUGAUGUUGUGAUUAUGCUCUGUGAUACAUGAAGAGAUUUGAUUGAAAAUGUUGUUAUUUCUAUUGUGGACAUUCAAUCAAAAGUACAGUAAAUUUAUCAUAUUACUCUAAGAUACCGUUUGGAUGGAGUAUAAAGAAAAAAUAAAGGCUAAAUUACAGAAAACCCCCAUGUAAUAAUCCGCUUUUUCACUUCCCCCCCCUGACAUUUAAAAACCUACACUUUGCCUCCUUGUAAAAUAAAAAAUGUGCACUUCGCCCCCUACCGUUAGAGUUCCGUUAUAAAAUAUUUUUUUAUACCGAAAAUACCCCUCCUCCCUCUUCCUUGCUGCUUUGCCUCCCUCCGGCUUGCCGUCUCGCUGCCGCCUCGCCGCCUCGCCGUCCUCCACUACCUCGCCCUCGCCUACAUCCCCUUCGCCCUCCUCCGCCGCCUCGCCUUCGUCCUCGUUGCCCUUGCCUACCUCUCCAUCAACACUCACCUCAAUUUCCUCCCUACUAUCGUCGAAAUCGAGGGGCGGCGAGGGUGCAGGAGGAGAAGGGGAGUAGGUGGAGAAAGAAAUGGAGAGAAAUCGUGGCCGAUUGAAGUGGGAAUCGCGACUGAUCGAAGGGGCGGUUGAGGAAGAUGAGCAAGAAGAUGAAAAUGGCGAGAGGCAAAAUGGUCAUUUUACACACCGUAACUCCCCUGUGAACAUUUUUCAUUUUACAGGGGGGCAAAGUGUAGGUUUCUAAAUGUCAGGGGGGAAAGUGAAAAAGCGAGUUAUUAUAGUGAGGUUUUCUUUAAUUUAGCCAAAAAUAAAAGCUUAUUUCCUCUCUCAUGCCCAAACAAAAAAAAAAUUGGUGGGACCCCUUAGGAGGAACAAUUGCUUUUUUCUGAAACAAGCUUUGUUCUAGGAACGAACCUGGGGAAGAGAGAGAGAGAGAGAGAGAGAAAGAGAGAGGGGGAGAGAAUUUUAAAUUUAUUACAAUAUUUUUAAUUUUAAUUUAAAAAUAAAAAUAAUUUUUUUAAAUUUUAAAUUUUAAAUUCUAAAUUUUCUAAUUUAAUAUUUUAUAUUAUAUAUUUCCAAAUUUAAAAUUUGAUAUUUUAUAAUUUUAAAUUUAAAUUUGAUCUUAAAUUUAAAAUUUUAAAAUUUGAUAUUUUAAAUUUUAUAUUUUAAAUGUGAAUUUAAAAAUUUAAAAAUUAAAAAUUAAAAAUUAAAAAUUAAAAUAUGAAAUUUAAAAAUUCAAAUUUAAAUUUAAUAAGAGGAGUAAUAUCAUUAUUUUUAUUUAUAACUGUAGUAUCUCUGGUGUUCUGCAGUCGUGAGAUUUCUGUAUUUGCGGCUUAUCCACACAUCUGGAGAGUGUCGGGACAAGUCAGAGUCGUUUUGACGCGAAAUAGACGCAAAACGGACUCAGUAUGACGCGAGAGCAGUAUUUAAGCACUGAAAUCUGCAAAUUACAGGUUAUCAGCAUUGAGUAUCGGUACCACACAGGGGAGUAUCGGUACCCCAGUAUAUAUUUUUCGACUGCUGCUCUCAGGUUACGAUGGCAAAUGCAGGGUACCGGUACGGCAUCGGCCUUGUACCGGUACUCGAGGGUAGGUGAGGAGCCUUUUGGUCUUUUGAUGUCUCGUUGUUGUCACCCUUAUCUCCCACCGCCUAUAUAGGAUAGAGGAUCAGAGAGAAAGCUUUCGUUUGCUCUUUCCUCUCUCUCUCUCUAGAUUGAAGCUGUGCGUUUGUUGGAGGUCGCGGUUGAAGCUCGGAUCAAUGUCGACUUCGCGCCGGUGAGCCGUUUGAGCACGCGAGCAUCGUAGUUGCAUCGUUGGGAGGCCGGACGAGCGCGUGGUUUAAAGGUGUCCAAAAUAUCCGAUAUCCCAUACCCGACCCGAACGCUACCCGGACCCGAACCGGACCCGAUAAAAAAUGAAUAGUAUACGGAUAAAAAAAAUUACCCAUUAAAGUUUCGGGUAUGGGCCCGGAUAUUUUAUACCCAUACCCGAUUUGGACCCGACCCGAACCUAACUUUUAAAUGGGUAGGGUCCGGAAUAGUUUUCAAAUCCGGAUCCGGACCCGGACCCGAUGAAAUAUCCAAUAGUAAAUAAAAAUAUUUGAAAUUUUGAACUUGAAGGAUCAAUUUUAAUAUGACUUAUAGAUGAUGAGUCACUACGUAUUUUCAUCCUAAUGAAACCCUAGCCGUCUCUUUUACUCAUUACUUUUUUCUAAUUUUUUUACUCUUUGUUUUCUACUCCUUUUUCUUUUUAUUUCAUUUCCGCCAACAAUAUUUCAUUGUCAUCAUCAUCAUCAGUGUCAUCAUCAUCAUCAGUGACAAUAUUUCUUUUGAAUGAAUUUUAUUGGACGGUUCAACUUAUUAGAAUGCGAGUUUUUUUAUGGUGAGCUUUAUAGUUUGUCUAUUGGCUAUUUAAUAAAGUUUAUAAAAAAAAUAUAUUUAUAUGGAUAUCCGUACCCGAUCUAGACCCGAUCUAUAUCCAGUCUUGAACGGGUAGUAUACAGGAAGUCAUUACCCAGAUCCACUCAAAUAGAGCCGAUGGGUAUAUUAGUAACUUUAGUACCUAGAUCCGGACCCGACCCGAAGUUAAAUGGGUAGGGUAUAUAUAUUUUUUUGUAACCAUUUCUUUUUAGGGUAUUGGUACAGUAUAUUAAUUACCCAGACCCGACCCGGUCCAUGGACAUCUUUAGCGUGGUUCCUCUUCUUCCGAUUUCUCACCGGAGUUGGAUUAGCUUUCGAGGUGGGUUGAUAUUUACCGAAGUCUUCGGAUUUCCUCCUAGGCCGGAGUUGACAGCAUGUGUUUUUGGUUUCAUAUUUCAUGUUUAGUAGCUCGAUUUGUUGAUAUGCAUUGUUUUUAAAUGAAAUUUGAAUUGGAGCUUUAAAUGCUAGUUUUAUUAUACAUGUUGGACUUGAACUUGACUUAGGAGAAAAUUAUAGGUUCUACACUGUCAUUUUCUGAAAACUAAAAGAUUUAGUUUUAGAAGCUGUAGUUAGUUUGUAUCACUGCAGUUUGUAAGCGGUCGAUAUACAGAAUAGUGUAGAAUAAAAUUACGCUCGUGCUGGAAUGUCGAGUUUAUUUUUACAGUAUUGUAUAGACUGUUCCGGACUGUCAGGUGCCGUUGUGGUUGAUGGUGGGCCCUGUUUGCUGUUUUUGCAUCAGAUUGUGCCGAGGGUAUGUUUAUUAUAGUUGUUCGACCCUUCUGCUUUGAUUAUAGCCUGUGAGAGCCUGAUUGAGCUCGGCAGAGAUACGCUUGCAUUUUCGGAUCGGUAGCCCUUCACGAGUGCCACUUUGGAGUCGGGCUUUGUGUUUUUGCGUUGUUGUCGUUGUGUCCUGCUUGGACUCGCUCUCCACUGACAACCCAGCGUGGUGGUAAUUAGUAUAGCUUCGACAGGCGGGACGGGUUUGCUCACAGUCCCUAGUGAGAUUGGGUCAUUGAUUGCAUUUUUUUCUGCAGGUAGUUAGUGUUGGAUCAUGAUAGUAUAGUGGCAUACAGCUGUAGAUUUGUUCCAGUUUUCUUUACUAUCCUUGAGCAUAUUUCUGUAGACUUAGUGGGUGAGUCGUUGAGGUCGGUAGCGGUACCCACUGAGGAUUACUUCUUUUUGCAGUAAUUCUCACACCCAGUUGUUGACCCCUUUUUGCAGAGUCUUCUUCUUCGGCUGCUGCUGUUGCAGUAGUUUUCACACCCAAUAAUUCUCACACCAAGUAGUAUAACAUGAUUGAAUUGAAAUAUAAUUUGAAAAUUACUAUUUGUAAUGUAAAUUUUACACUCAAUUCAUCUUAUAGUUAGAUAAUUUUUUUGAAUUCUUAAAAUUAAGAUAUAAAAAUGUGACAAAAUUAGCAUGAAAAAAAUAAUUUUGUGGAUGGAGAUAAUACUUUUAAGUGCAUACAUAGUAUUACUUAUUUGAUUUAUGUGUUUUAACGGUUGGCAUAAAUUACACUUUUGGUCCUCAAACUAUGAGGGGCGUAACAUUCUAGUCCUUAAAUUUUAAUCUAUUAUAAUUUUUUAUUUGAACCUUCUGAAUUACUACAAUCAAUUCACACAACCUAACUUAGUUGAUCAAAUAUCGACAAUUUGUUAAUAUAGAAGUAAUAUAUCCUUUUAAUUCUUGUUAUAUCAUUAUUCACAUUAAUUCUACAUUACUUUUGUAUCCAUAAUUUAUUAAUAUUUAGUUAACUAAAUUGGAUUAUAGGGCUUGAUAGCAAUAAUAUAGAAAUUUCGAGUUAGAAAUUACAAUAAUUUAAACUUUUGAGGCUAAAGUGUCACAUGUCUUAUAAUUUUCAAUAUUUUAAAAAUCGGUUCAAACCGGCUGAUUUGAAUGGUCUAACUGUAACACAUUCACAGUCUAUAAAAUGGUUUGGUUCAACUAUUUGAACCGGAUAACUAAAAAAAUUGUUUUAAACUGCUCGAACCGACGACUCAACCUUUGAACCGGUGAAUAAUGUAUCCAUACACUCCUUUUGUGGUGUACCAGAUGUAUACCUCACCCAAGUAGGUGAGGUUAUUUACAAAGCUUAUAUACUUGGCAUAUAUAUUUUACUAGUCAUAUCAUGUGAUAAGUAAAUAAACUUCACCCAUUAGAUAGAUGAAUAUGGUAUAUACAUUGUACACCCCUUUUGGAGUUGUUUGUAGCCGAAUUUUUCGACCCUUGACCCGGUCAAAGAUCCUCCUCGGGAAGCGCGUCGGGGUGAGGAACGGCUGCGGAUAGUGACCCUCGAAGUUUGCGCCCUUCGACAGAUCAAACGAUUCGGCUGACGAGGGAUCGAGCUAGCCGAGUUCGAAAACCUCUACUUUUGAAUCGGUUCAGCUGGAUGAGCCGAAUGUACGAACUGUGCAGGGAUCAAUGUAGGCAGAAGAGCCGAAUGGAAGAAAUACACAGUAACUGGUCGGCUGAAAGAGCCAAAUAUCUUUAUAUAUAUUAAUAAAACAGAGUGUGCCCGAAGGGCAUACAGACUCUGCAAAUAUGUAGUUUAUAACAGAGUGAUAUCGGAUCAAUGUCGAAGUUUGCGCCCUUCGACAGAUCAAGUGAUUCGGCUGACGAGGGAUCGGAUCAGCCGAGUUCGAAAACCUUUACUAUAGAAUCGGUUCGGCUGGAUGAGCCAAAUAUAUGAACUGUGCAAGAAUUGAAAUCGGCCGAAGAGCCGAAUGACUAAGAACGUAAGAAUUUGUCGGCUGUGCAGGGAUCAAUGUUGGCAGAAGAGUCGAAUGAAAGAAGUACACAGUUACUGGUCGGCUGAAAGAGCCGAAUAAAUGAAAUACACAAUGACUGGUCGGCUGAAGGAGCCGAAUGCCUAUAUAUAUAUAUUAAUAAAACAGAGUGUGCCCGAAGGGCAUACAGACUCUGCAAAUAUAUAGUUUACAACGGAGUGAUGCCCGUGGGGUAGACAGACUCUAGGGUUCUACUUAAAAGCUACUCCUAGGAAAGCAGUAAAUGCGAAAAAGAAAAGAUUACAUUUAGACUACUGCUAGAAAGCAAUAAAUGCAGAAAAGGAAAGGUAUGAAAAUGCGGUGGUCUUCUCGUUCAUGGGAGAGAAAGACCCUUAGUACAGGCUUUGAAGUUACUAUUUAUAGUGAUGUCUUCUCAGCCCACAUUAUUUAUCGGUUGAAAGUAGUGGGGGGAGUGAUUGUAACCAUGAUCGUGGAAGUUAUGCCCACUUCUCAUGGAAGUUACGCCUCCACUUCUCAACCGGUCCCGCCUAAACGCUCUUGACUUUCAGGCGCUUUAUUGCCGACUCCUGGUGUACCACGUGUCCUUAUUUUUUUGGCUCAUACGUGGGCUAAGUCAGCGUGUUAAUUUUAAUUUUGGCAUCAACAAUGCCCCCCCAAUAGUCUUUCGAAUAAACAUUCGGAUGACUAUUGGUGCCAAAUCGACUACUCAAAUGACACAGCCGAGACCCAAGCUUUAGUUCGCUGGUCUUGGUCGGCUUAUAGAAAACGGCUCUUUAUCGUCCCAGCCGUAUAUACCUCGGCUUCAUCAGCCGAUUCUUUACUUUUACUUGAUUGGUUCGACUCUUUUUGAACCGAAUGUUCUUCUAUCAAGGAUUUCUCCUUGAAGAAAGUGGCUCUUUACUAGCCGCAUAUACCUCGGCUUCAUCAACUGAUUCUUCACUUUCACUCGAUUGGUUCGGCUGUUUUUGAAUCGAUUGUUCUUCUACCGAGGAUUUCUCCUUACCUUUACUUUGAUUUUCAUAUCGGCUCCAUUGCAGCCGAUCGUCCUUACUUUCCUUUUGGAAUUGCUCAUAUUGGGCAACUCGAACACCUAGAUCAAAUAGGUUAGAAAAAUACUUAUCUUCAAAAUGAUCUUUUAUCUUAAAAUGUAGACCAUUUAACGCCAUUUUGGUGAACUCUAAUUCCGGCAUUCUCAUAAAGCACCGGAUUUUGGCUAUUUUGAAACAGUUCAAAUACUCUUUGAUCGUUUCACCUUGCUUUUGUCGGUAUAAAGUUAAGAAGGCGACCGAUAAUUGUGACUCCGACCUAUAGAAUCGCUCAUGAAAUUUUCUUUUCAAUUCGUCAUAAUCUUGGACGGAAUUGGCUGAUAAACUUGUAUACCAAGUAAACGUCGUUUUAGUUAACGACGUGUUAAACAAUCUUAAUUUUAAAAAUGGAUCUGUCGUGGCUUCCUGGCACUGUGCCGUGAACCGUGCCACAUGUUCGACCGUGUUUUCGGUCUCAUUCCCAGAAAAUUUAUCAAAUUUUGGCAUUUUUCAGUUUGCCGGGUAAGGAUGCUUUGUGUCUAUAUUUGCAGGAUAAGGUAAUCUAAAUAUAGGCCGCAUUGCCGGCCUUGUGCCUACUCCAAAAGUAUUUCGGAUGGCUUCUUCGAUUUGCGCAUAUAUUUCAUUAUUGUUUGCUUGCAAAGGAACUUGUGCUUGUGCUGCAUUCGUUUCUUGUAAUGGUCUGAAGUUAUGUGCUAUGGGAUUUCCUCCUUGAAUAUUUGGAGCCUGCCCCCCAGCUCUAGCCCCUAUAUUUUGAGGCUGGUAUGUUGCCAUCGCCGGAGGUGGUGGCAAUCCCCAUGCAAUUUUCGGCUGUUGACCGGUAUUGACGACGGCCGGUCUGUAAGCCGCUUGGAAUGGUGCCCCCUGGUAUUGGGGCUGUCCAUUUACCGGUGUCAUAGGAUUUUGCAACACUGGUGUCAUUAUAGGCCCUUGUAAGCCUAUCAUUGGUUGCUCAUUUCGAGUCAAUAAUUGCCCUAUUCGGGCAAUAUUUUCAUUGUAGGCCGUGAUGGCGGCCAGCACGGGUCUAAUCGAGCGAUACUUUAAUGGAUAUUUUGAUCUAAAGUUUGCAGGACUCGGGCCAUUUGGCCGAGUGCCUGAGUUAGACUCGGCUCUUGAUGAGCCGACUGUCCACUAGUCUCGCCCUCAACUGGCAAAACUGCUUGACAUUCGCCAGUAUUGUCUUAAAAUGUGUCCCACCGGACGUGCCAAAAAUUAUUGGUAGUCGAAUUUUUCGACCCUUGACCCGGUCAAAGAUCCUUCUCGGGAAGCGCGUCGGGGUGAGGAACGGCUGCGGAUAGUGACCCUCGAAGUUUGCGCCCUUCGACAGAUCAAGCAAUUCGGCUGACGAGGGAUCGAGCCAGCCGAGUUCGGAAACCUCUACUUUUGAAUCGGUUCGGCUGGAUGAGCCGAAUGUGCGAACUGUGCAGGGAUCAAUGUUAGCAGAAGAGCCGAAUGGAAGAAGUACACAGUAACUGAUCGACUGAAAAAGCCGAAUACCUAUAUAUAUAUAUUAAUAAAACAGAGUGUGCCCGAAGGGCAUACAGACUCUAUAAAUAUGUAGUUUACAAUAGAGUGAUCGGAUCAAUGUCGAAGUUUGCGCCCUUCGACAGAUCAAGCGAUUCGGCUGACGAGGGAUCGGAUCAGCCGAGUUCGAAAACCUUUAUUGUAGAAUCGGUUCGGCUGGAUGAGCCGAAUGUAUGAACUGUGUAGGAAUUGAAAUCGGCCGAAGAGCUGAAUGACUAAGAACGCAAGAAUUUGUCGGCUGUGCAGGGAUCAAUAUCGGCAGAAGAGCUGAAUGGAAGAAGUACACAGUUACUGGUCGGCUGAAAGAGCUGAAUAAAUGAAAUACACAAUGACUGGUCGGCUGAAGGAGCCGAAUGCCUAUAUAUAUAUAUAUUAAUAAAACAGAGUGUGCCCGAAGGGCAUACGGACUCUGCAAAUAUGUAGUUUACAACGGAGUGAUGUCCGUAGGGUAGGCAGACUCCAGGGUUCUACUUAAAAGCAACUCCUAGGAAAGCAGUAAAUGCGGAAAAGAAAAGAUUACAUUUAGACUACUCUUAGAAAGCAAUAAAUGCAGGAAAGGAAAAAUAUGAAAAUGCGGUGGUCUUUUUGUUCAUGGGAGAGAAAGACCCUUAUUAUAGAUUUUGAAGUUACUAUUUAUAGUGAUGUCUUCUCAACCCACAUUAUUGAUCGGUUGAAAGUAGUGGGGGGAGUGGUUGUAACCAUGAUCGUGGAAGUUAUGCCUACUUCUCAUGGAAGUUACGCCUCCACUUCUCAACCGUUCCCGCCUAAACGGUCUUGACUUUCAGGCGCUUUAUUGUCGAUUCUUGGUGUACCACGUGUUCUUAUUUCUUUGGCUCAUACGUGGGCUAAGUCGACGUGUUAAUUUCAAUUUUGGCAUCAACAGGGGUGUAUGAGUAAUAUUAUUUUUUUAAUUAAGUUAUAUUAAAAUUUAGCAGUUUGAAAUUAACUUAGUUUAUUUUAUUUUCUAUUUACCCAUAUUAGUUUUAUAAAAAGUGAAACUUAAAAACUUAUAUCCACUUAGGGCAUGUUUGGUUCACCUAUUUUAGACUAUGGAAUCGGAAUGGAAUUCAUUGAUUCCGAUAGCUGCCGUUUGUUUCGUAGGAAUCGGAUUCCCAUUUCCAUUCCACUCCGGAAUGGGAAUGGCCAAAUUCAUUUAUGAUCCAAUCCGGCUUUGAAUUCCGGAUUAACUCAUUCCAAAGUAAACUAUUCAAAAUCUUCUUUCAUCAACACCUACUUCCUUUCCUUCAUCACUUUCCUCUCUCUUAAUCAAAACCUUCUCUCAAAAAUUUUAAAUUUUCAUUACGAUUUCCCUUCCGGUUUCCAUUCCAAUAAUGAACCAAACAUUUUUGGAUGAUUCGUCAUUCCAUUUUCCAUUUCAAAGCAAUCCAAUUUCAUUUCUCAUUGCUAUUCCAAUCAUGAACCAAACAUGCCCUUAAUUUGGAUUAGAAAUCAGUAUAUCAUAAUUAAGUAUGAUACUAAAAUAAUAAUAAUAAUAAUAAAAUCAACUUAAUUUAUUUUAUUUUCCAUUAGUGCAUUUUUUUUUGAGAGAGAUGGGUAGCACACUGCCCGCUUCGUUUAUUUUAUCUAAAAAUAAACUUAGUUAGAAAUGUGAAUCAACUAGGAUUCAAACUUGGAAACUCGGAUACCAACCACCAAGCCCUUUGCCACUUCGUUUAUUCCUAUUAGCGCAUAUUAGUUUUAUAAAAAGUGAAACAUGAAAACUUAUACUCAUUUAAUUUGAGCUAGAAAUUAAUAUUUUAUAAUUAAAUAUGAUACUAAAAUAAUAAUAUUUUUUUAUAUAUUUGUGACAUUAUGCAGAUGUUACAGUUUCAAUCGGUGGAUGAUCCUUGAUCCAGUAAGAUUUUUGGACUCUUGUUUGACUUGAUUUUUACAUUAUUAAUAAUUUCAGGAUCAAAAGUUAUUAAUUUCAGGAUCAAGAGUAGUGUAAUGUUAGAUAGAGGAGGCAGGGAGGAGGCGUGAGUUGACGAAUUGGACAUGCGCGGCGGAUUUUCUUGGAAAAACUUUAGAAUGCAACGCUUUAUAUUUUUAAUGUGGUGAUCACAAUCAAUCUGGGGUUAGGCCAUCCCAUCAUAAUUUCUAAAAUUUAUUUUUAUUAUAUUUUAUUUAAAAAAAAUAUAAUUAGCUAGAAAUAGACGACGUUGCAUAAGUAUUACAUAAUAAACUUUCUCGUACCCUGGAUGAUGGGGCCACCUCUCAAAAGUGUACUUUUGGGACGUACAUAGCCAACACGGGGAGGCCUCUCUGCAGUUUUUUUUUUUUUUUCCUUUUCUUUUGUUUUGUUUUGUAUUUUUUCUUCACGAGCAAUUUAUUUAUAUAUUUUUGAAAAAUUAUUGACUUUUUUCUUUAUUCUUUUUAGAAGGUUAAUAUUAAAAAUAAUUUUUUACAUUAUUUUAAAUAUACUUUUAAAAUUAAAUUUUGUUAGUGAAUGAUUACCAAUAGUCGUUAUCUCUAUAAAAUUAUUAUUUUAUUCUUUUAAAUAUACCUUUCUAUUAUUAUCAAUUUUUUUUAUUUGUCUUUAAGUUAGAGACAAAAUAGUAUUUUGAUUUUUUAUCUUUUCAAAUAUAUACUUCUACCAUCAGUAACUUUUUUUAUUUAUCCUUAACUUAAAAGUAAAAGAGAUAUUUUAAUUUUUUAACUCUAACGAAUAUUUAACUCACGUUUAAUUGGGGAAUAAUUUAACAAGUGGUAACUGUGGAAAUAAUUUUGAAUAACGAAGAAAUAUAUAAAGGGUAUAUGAAAAAUAAAAAAAAGAAUAAAUUAGAUAUUUUUAAAAUUUUGAGUAGCAUAUGAGUAAUUAUCUCUUUUUUAUUUUAUUUUAGGAAAAACUUCAAAAAGCCCUCCUUGUGGUUUCACUCUUUCUCACUUUAAUAUCCUGUGUAUCAAUUUAGUACCUGUGGUUUCGCACUUUCUCACUUUAGUACCCUGUGGUUUAAAGUGUAUCAUGUUAGUACUCUAUGGUUUCGCACUUUCUCAUUUUAGUACCCAGUGAUUUAAUAUUUCAUUAAGAGAAAAAUAAAAUCACAGAAUACUAACUUGACAAAAAAAUAAAACCACAGAAUAUUAACUUGAUACAAAAAUAAAACCACAGAGUACUAACUUGAUACACUUUAAAUCACAAAGUACUAAAGUGAGAAAGUGCGAAACCACAGAAUACUAAUUUGAUACACUCUAAACCAUAGGAUACUAAAAUAAAAAAGUGUAAAACCACGAGGGGUUUUUUAAAGUUUUUUCUUUAUUUUAUUUUAUUUUUUUAAUUUUUGGCAUCUUGAGCAGUUGUUGUGCAAGUGCAACGCUGUUGCGCCCGUGGAGCCCGGAAUCUCUUCGACUGUGGUGGGUGACCUUCCAGGAAACAACGUUAUCUCUUCAGUACAACCUCGUGACCCAAAUUUUUUAAUUUUCUUCUGUCCUUUUUCUUUUCUUUUCUUUUCUUUUUUUUGGUGUGCAUGAGAAAGAUAAUGCUGUCGCUCGUUCUGUCCUAUAAUAUGUCUGGUCUCCGCCUGCCGACGAUCGAGAUGCAUUCUGUCAUCGAUGGUACAUAUUGGAUCACCCAAUUUACGCAUGCGGCAGUAUGAAAUAUGAGACCUUGUGUCGGAUCUAGGAUGCAAAUGGAUGAUUUAGAAUGGUAGAGCUCUUUUUCCGAUCCGCUCUGGAUACAGAGAAAAGUAUAAGCCAAAAAAAAUACUGAUAAUAAUAACCGAUCUGUACGUACUUACUGUAAAAUAAAAUGGAUUUCUUUCUUUACUAAUCUAUUCGUACUUACUAUAAAUCUGCUCAUGUUCUGUCCCGUCUCAAAUGGAGCAAAAAAUAAAAUAAAAAUUGAUCUGCCUAAAGUCUGCGUCUGACCCGCCAAGGAACCACCAAGGAAGGAACCGGGGCGGGCCGUGAGCGAUUCCUCCCGCCCCCAAAUCCGCCCCCUAUGCAUCUCUCACAUCCUGACUCCAGAUCUGUCUUUUUUGCAUUCUUAAUUGAAUCAUCCGUGUGCAGAAAUAUUCUGUAUAUAAAAUUGAAUAGGAUAAGUUGGAAGCUUUUUGUUGUGAUAGGAGGAUGAAAUAAAAUUAUGAUGUCUAAAAAUGUAAACUUUGUUGUGAAUUAGAUCCUGUCUAUAUUGCAGAAAAAAGUGAUUGAUAAAUUUUUACUUUUGAAAAAGACUUAUAUAUUAGUAAAAAUAUAAAACUUAUCGGAACUAUGGGUUUUAUUGAAUCAACUAUCCAACCUUUCAAAGUUUUAAUUUUACUAUUCAAUCUUUCUAAUUUAUUUGGUUUGCAACAUUCAACGGCUUUUCUUUAAAUAGAAAAAAUUAUUUAAUGGUACUUGAAUUUUAAAAUUUGAAUGUGUCGUUCAUCUUUAUAGAUUUAGUUAGUAUACUUCAUUUAAUUAUUACAACUAUAAAUUUGUUAAAACAAGUAAUUACUUUAAAUUUCAAAGUCGAAAUAUCGUUGACUAACUCAAAUCAAAUAAAUUGAGAGGUUGGGUGGUAAAAUUAAAAUUUUGAAAAGUUCGAUAAUAAAUUCAAACUAAUCUAUAAUUUAUAUAUAUUCUAAAUAUUUUUACCUAAAAUAGUUUAUCAAACACCAUCAAACAAACACCAUCAAACCUUACAAUAGGGAGCUAAAUAGGUUAGCUAAAAUAUAGGUUCACUCUCCUCGAAAAAUAAAAAAAAUAAAGCCUGUAAACUAUUGAUAUAGAUUAUUGAGAUUACACAACGGAAUCUUAAAACUGGUUUUACUAUGUAUCAUUCUCCGUAAUUACAACAUGCACAAUCACAAAGAUAAAAAAAAACCAAAGCUAACGAAAAAGAAGAAAAAAGAAUUCACUAAUUAUCAGUAAAAUAAGAGCAAUAUUUCAAUACACCACAUAAAUCUUGAUCAUUUAUUUUUCUAAACAACUGAUUAAGAUAUAAUAUGACUCUAAAAAUGACCUAUUAUUGAGGCAUAUUAUAUCUAGAGAGAUAAUAUGACUCCAAAAAUGACCUAUUAUUGACCAAAAUAUUCUGCAAAGACCUAUUAUUGAGGCAUAUUAUAUCCAGAGAAUGGUAGAGCUCUUUUGACAGUAAAUCACUAGCCUAUCAUCGAUGAUAUAAUAUGACUCUAGAAAUGACCAAAAUACUGUCUUGAUCAUUUAUUUUGUAUUAUCAUUUUACAAACUUUAUAAACAAAAGACUAAAUACAAAUAGUACAAAAGUCAUUUCUUAAUUUGCUUGUUUGUUUCUGGGACACAAUGACACUGCAACUAAGUUGAGCCUAUGCAAAAAAAAACCUACCCAUUUUUUUACAUCUCAUUUAGUUUGGAAGCAAUAACCAAUUUGUUCCACAUGAUAAGAUUAGAUAGGGAAGGACAAAUAAAGGAAAAUAUAAAGCAAAUGGCAUUGAAAACAGGUAUCUGACAAUACAAGCUGAUUAAGUAGCAUUAUUAUUUUAGGACAAUAGAAUUAAUUAGUAGUAGCAAUUCAAGUUAUUCAACUGCUUGGAGACCUCAAAAGCCGUUCACAAUUAAACUAUAUAAGGAAAACUCUUUGACUUUGUUUGUACGAUUCCACACUGCUUUACUUAUUUUGCUACAUUAAUAUUGUCAAAGUUAGNUAAGUAGCAUUAUUAUUUUAGGACAAUAGAAUUAAUUAGUAGUAGCAAUUCAAGUUAUUCAACUGCUUGGAGACCUCAAAAGCCGUUCACAAUUAAAAAAAAAAUUGAUUCCAAAUAUAUGGUAAAACUCUUUUUUUUUUUUAAGUAUUUUCUUACCCACCUUUCCCUCUAUUAAUACUAUUUAUUUUUCAAUCUAAAAAGUUAGAGCUAUGUUUAAUGAUCCAGACAAUUCUGAUCACGUUUAAUUUGCUAGACAGUCACGAACAUAAGGUGAUGUGCUAGAUAACUAGCAUUAACAGUUCGUCAUGCUAAACUAUCAGUCUAAAAUGCUUGAGCUCGUGUAAAUUCUUCCGCACUCUACCACCCUCUCUCUCUCUCUCUCUCCGAACCUCUUCUGCCCUCUCACCUCUUUUAAUGUCUAGAUUUUGGUCGGAUUUUCGGCCGAAGUCCUGCUAAUAGGUUUGAUUUGUUUUUGUUAUUUAUAUACAUAGUUAAGUUCUUUUCUAUUUUUUUUUACAAUCAUCUAGAUUUUUAUUUCUUUCUUGCUGCUUUCUUUCUCUACUCAAAACAUUUCCUUCUUCUAUUUUUUUCCAGGAAUCCCGCCUUCACGUCUAUCCUUCAAAGCUUGGUGGAUCCAAAAGAAAAAAAAUGUUCCAAUGUAGUUUGAUGUCAAGGGCCAGUUUGAGAUCGGGAUCUGGAUGACUAUUUUUCUCUUUGGCAUUUCUUUUCUUUUUUUUCUUCAUUAUGGUCUACAAGUUUAGGAGCUUUAUUUAAUUUUUUAAGUUGAUAUGUAGCUUUAGAUUUUUUUUUUAAGGUUUGGGGAUCGAUCCUCACUUUCAUCUUCCCCAUUUAGUUUUAGAAAUAUUUUCUUUUCCCUUCUCUUUUUUGUGGGAUUGUGCGUUUAUUUGCUUUUGUUAAAUUCGAAACCGCAAAAAAUAGAUCCAGAAAAUAACUUAAUGCAAAAAAAGAAAAGAAAAGGAAAGCGCACACCGAUAUUUUACGUGGUUCGGCCAACGGCCUACGUCCACAGAUGAAGACGGAGCAAAUAUUUUAUUAAUGUCGAAAGGUAGAGUACAAAGAAGAUCUCUCAAAAGAACCAAAACUUAAUUAGAUCCAAAACGCUGAGAUCCGCAUCCGUACAAGCGACUCCAAAUAAUCGGCUCGGCUCCUCUCACCCGUACGGACCACUCUUCCUUGAUGCUCACUUAAUUAAUUAGCAUGGCUCUUAAUUUGGUUGUGGCAUCAUUAACUUGGCCGUAGCAUGCAUAUAUAAUACAUGUUUCUUAACUAGAGUCUAAUUCUAAUUCAAUUAGAAUUACACUCCUACUUAUAAUCCAUAUAUGCCAAAUUAAAUCUAAUCCCAAUUAGAUUAGGAUUUAACUCCAAUUUAGGUAACUACAAAUCUAAACCAAAUUUAACAAUCUCCAUCUUGAUUUAAUUUGUAGUUUAGCCGCUAUAUCUAGGUCACCACAAAACUCCACCUUGAAUUUGAUUCGCCUCAAUACUCCUUAAAACUUCGUGCUCCAUCUUCUCCAAACAUCCCAUAGAGCCUCAAGUGCUGCCAACUGCCACCAAGUCCAAACAAUACUUGAACAUCGCGGUAGUAAGAGACUUAGUAAGUAUAUCCGUCGGAUUGUCUUCAGUGCCAAUUUUGUUAACAGUAACCGUGGGUUUUCCAAUCACAUCCCGAAUAAAGUGAAAUUUUAUAUCGUUGUGCUUUGUCUUCUCAUGAAAUAUCUGAUUUUUAGACAAAUGAAUAGCGCUUAAUUUGACUGUCCGAAUAAACAAUCGUCGGAUCCCAACAAGAAGUAAGUUCUCCAAAUAAGCCUCUUAACCACAUAGUUUCCUUCACACCCCUGUUAUAGCAAUAUAUUCCGCCCCCGUUGUAAAUAAGGUGACAAUAGGUUGUAAUGAAGCUUUCCAACUAACUAUACAUCCGCCAAUAGAGAAUAUAUAACCUGAAAGUGAUCCCCUCCUAUCCAAAUCACUUGUAAAAUUCGAAUCAACAUAUUCAACCACACCAUCUAUACAUGUAGUAUACCGGAUUUUAAUAAAAGGGUAAAAAUAAAUAAAAAAUAGUGUGAGAUACUAUUUUUAUUGGACUUAUAAAAGUAAAAUAUAAGUCGAAAACGACUCGUGCGGAAAUUGGAGCGAGAAUAGAAAAUUUUGAAUUUUCUGUGUGAAUCAAGGCUGUUAUUUUAGCAGAAAAUGCACAGUGUCAAAAAAUUAUGAAAACUUGAAAUUAUGUCGGAAAUAUUUUUAUGAGGCUAGAUUUAAAGUUUCAUGUCGAUCCGACACCCGGAAGGUGAAAAAUAAAAUCCGAUUGCUAUCUAUUAGGGAUUACAAUUCGGUAGAGCUUUCGGUGACCAAACAUGGUCGUAACGGAAAGAUUUAAAUUUCUUUCUUCUAGUUAGGUAAAACCGAGUCUGAUUGUCAAAUUUGAGCGCAAUCGGACAUUCAGAAGGGCUUCGACGAAAAAUGUCAGUUUGUAUCUGCUAGAUGAAUAGUAUUUUGGGGGUAUAUAUAUACAUGUGAACCCAUGGCAUUCUUCAUUCGUGAGCUCCAAACCGAGAGAGAGAGAAAGAGUGAGUUUUCUCCCUUUCUCUCUUUGUCUCUAAGAUCUCUCUCUCUCUCUCUACCAAAGAGAGGAUUGGAGGAGAAAAUUAGAGCAAGCUUGGUGGAGAAGAAGGCUUGGAGUUGAAGCUUCAUCUUCAUCUUCUCCUUCCUUGGUCUAAGAGGAAACUUGAGAGGUAAGCUUUAUAGGGCUUUAAUGGUAGAAUUUUAGAGCCUCAAUUAUAUGCUCUAGGAAUGGGUUUAGAGGACUCCCUAGAUGCUAAUAACAUGUUAAUUGCAUGAAUCAAGUUCCAAUUUGGUGAUUUCUUGCAAUAGUAGCAUGUUAGGGCUCAAAAUGGAGGUUUUGCUGAACCUAUUCAAACCUAAUUGUUAGGUAUACGAACGCGCUGGCGAAGUCGGUUCGGCGAUAUGACGAGGCUACGCGAAGAUACUGAAGAAAAGGCCGAUUUCGGUACAGAUUGCCGCAGCUCGCGACGUAAGCUUCCUAAAAUCACGAAACCGGAAUCGUAGUAUCGUGACAUCACCUAAAGUCUUGGACCUAGGAGCAAGGCAUGUUUGAGGGGUUUUCUACUCAUAGGGUGCUAAGAGGGUUGUGGGCACCUUCGUCGGCGCAACGAAGGGUCGCGUGGAGCUCUCGGUGGGUUUGGCCUCACCAAAAUCGGAAAAAUUUUUCUUAAGAUGGUUUUCACUUAUCGUAAAAUAAUAAUGCAUGCAAGAUAGAAUAUUUGAGAAUUUUAGAAUGCUUAAAACGCACAUGUUAUAUACAAUGCAUGUUGAACCUCUAUGUAGUAGAGAGUUUUCGUGUUGGGCUUGGCCCUAUGAAUAGCAUUCUUCUUUGUGGCUUUGGAUCAUGUUGCAUCUAGUGAAUAUGACAAGUAUAAAUGCACAUGUUAUACACAAUACAUGUUGGCCUCUAUAUAGUAGAGAGUUUUCGUGUUGUGCUUGGCCAUAUGGAUAGCAUUCUUAAUUGUGGCUUUGGACCAUGUUACAUCUAGUGAAUAUGACAAGUAUAAAUGCACAUGUUAUAUACAAUGCAUGUUGGACCUCUAUGUAGUAAAGAGUUUUCAUGUUGAGCUUGGCCCUAUGGAUAGCAUUCUUAAUUGUGGCUUUGGAUCAUGUUGCAUCUAGUGAAUAUGACAAGUAUAAAUGCACAUGUUAUAUACAAUGCAUGUUCGACCUCUAUUUAGUAGAGAGUUUUCGUAUUGGGCUUGGCCUUAUGGAUAGCAUUCUUAUUUGUGGCUUUGGAUCAUGUUGCAUCUAGUGAAUAUGACAAGUAGUAUACACUCUUGGAUUUGAAACUCAUGCUUGACGUAGAUGAUCAGUAAAUGUCAUAAAGUGGCAUUAGACUUGAGUGAUGUAUGUUAUAGUAAGCUAAUGUCAUAAAGAGACAUUGGGCUUGGAAUUGAUAUAGUAAGCUAAUGUCAUAAAAAGACAUUGGGUUUGGAAUUGGUAUAGUAUGGUAAUGUCAUAAAGAGGUAUUGGGCUUGGAAUUGGUAUAGUAAGCUAAUGCCAUAAAGAGGCAUUAGACUUGGAAUACGUAUGGACUUAGUAAAUCUAAGGUCACAUUAGACAUUGAAAUUAUUGAAUGGUUAAACCUUCACUUGGGGAUAUUAAACUAGAUCUACGAGUUGCUAGCGAUCAUUUCCAUGGUUGAGCCAUGAUGACCGAAUCGUUGUGACGAUGACUAUGCUUGCUUGCCAUUCGUGCUGAUUCGCACAUGCUUGUGAGGGUCGCUCCCUACAAGCCGGCACUUUGGAGUUAGCCUUUGCGAAGCAGUUCGCUCGUGCGGGAUCGAGACGUAUGUAGGGUGGGACAGCCUCAUUUCCAGCGUGGGAUGAUGAGCUACCACAGGCAGCUAGGCGGUGAAACGCCUGUAGGGUCAUGUGGGACAGCCUCAUUCCUAGCGUGGAAUGAUGAGCUACCACAGGCAGCUAGGCGGCACAAGCUGGACUACACACGUGUAGGUCCUAAAUGAGAUUGAACGAGAACAUUAAACAACAUUAUGACAAUCACUACUUGAUAGUAUAUCGUAGUUCGAUUUAGUGGACAUUGGGACAUGACUAUUGCUUUCGCAUAAUAGUAUACUUGGUGGCCAUGAUAAAGCAUAUUAAUCAUGUUUUGGUAUAUUGGAUCAUGAUGGGGUAGAUGUACAUUACGUUGAUAUCAUGUGAUAUUGCGGCAUUGUAGAUUAGCAUUUCAUUACAUGCUUUUCCUAUUUGCAGUUUGCUAGUAGUUCCUUUAUCUACUUAUGCUUUUGGGCCUAGUGGUGCAUUUUGCUCAGGUCAGUAAUUGCCCACUGGGAACUAUAAAUUAUAGUUCUCAUGGCCCAUGUUUCAUAUUUUCUUUCAGAGCCUCCUACCCCGGGAGAGGCUCGGGAUCGCGGGAAAGGAAUCGCCUCGAGUUAGCUAGCAAGGAAUUCGACGAUAGGUGGUCUAUCUUUCUUCUGAGUUUUGUUUGGAGAAGUUGAGAGACUUGUACCAUUUUUGUAGAGACCACCCCCUAUAUGUAGCUUGAGACUUAUGAUAUAUUAUUUUACGUUUUGCCUUAGUGGUUUAGUUUCCUUUGUUUCUACCUGUUGUUAGAAUCUAGCUGUAUACUUGCUCUAUCAAUCUCUAGAUACGCUCUAUUUAUUGUUCAUUUAUUCGCUAUUGUUGUAGACGCCUUAUAUGUGUAGGCAUAUGGCGGGUCUGGACACGCACCGGGCGGGCCUAGGCCGAGUCCCGGGGUGUGACAAUACACCUCCCAAAUUCUAAACAAGUGCUAGUGGUACCUCGUAAGUAUCUCAGAAUCCACUUAACAGCCUACCAAUGAGCCUUAACAGGAUUGGUCAUAUGUAUGUUAAUCAUGCUCACUGCGUAGGAGAUUUUCGGCCAUGUGCAAACCAUGACGUACAUGAUGCUUCCGACAGCACUAGAAUAGGGAACAAGAGACAUGUACUCCCGCUCAUCAUCGGACUAUGGUGAUAACUCGGCGGAAAGUUUGAAAUGCGCCACAGAAGGAGUGCUCACCGGUUUUGCAUAUGUCAUCCCGAAAUGCUUUAAAAUCUUCUCUAUAUAUUUCUCCUGUGUCAAAUGUAGUAGUUCUGACUUAUUGUCCCUCUUAAUUCAUACCAAGAAUUUUUUUAGCAGUAUCUAGAUCUUUCAUCUCAAACUCACCCUUAAGUUAAACCUUCAAUUUAUUUAUCUUAUUUAUCUCAACUAUGUCGCUGGAAGCAAUUAACUUAUCAUCAAUAUAGAGCAACAAAUAUAUAAAAGAUCCCUUAUCAAGCUUUCUGAAGUACACACAACUGUCACAUUUGCUUCUGGAAUAUCUGUGAUUUGUCAUGAAAGAGUCGAACUGCUUGUACCAUUGUCGAGGAGACUGCUUUAAGCCAUAAAGCGAUUUCUUUAACAGGCAAAUAUGAUCCUUUCCUUCAACAAUGAAUCCCUCCGACUGUUUCAUAUAAAUUUGCCUCCACCUUCUUGCUAGUAUUCGGGGUCUCAUCAGAAGAAUUACGGUUAGGAUAUAACAUAGCAGAUUCAUCAAAUGUGAUAUCCCUACUAAUAAUUAAUUUAGACGAUACAGGACACCACAAUCUAUAUCUCUUAACUCCCGAUGCAUAACCAAAAAAAAAAAUACUUUUAGCCCUAGGUUCUAACUUGCCUUCAUUGACAUGAACAUAACUAGGACAACCAAAUAUUCGCAGAUUAGAAUAAUCAGAAGGACUACCAGACCAUAACUCCUCUGGAGUUUUGCAAUCAAGUGCUGAAUGUGGAGAUCGAUUCACCAAAUAGUAUGCCGUAGAGAUCGCCUCUGCCCAGAAACUCUUAGCUACGCCAGCAUUAGAGAGCAUAUAACAGGCUCUCUCCAAAAGAGUCAUGUCCAUCCGUUCGACCACCCCGUUCUGCUGUGGAGUAUGCCUAACGAUUUUAUAUCUGACGAUUCCUUCAUUCUUGCAAAAUUCUUCAAACUCUGACGAACAAAAUUUCAAACCGUUGUCAGUCCUUAAUCUCUUGAUCUUCUUUUCAGUUUACUUUUCAAUCAUGACCUUCCACUGGUUGAAAUAAUUGAACACCUCAUCCUUACUUUUCAGAAAAAACGCCCACACUUUACCAAAAUAAUCAUCAAUAAAAGUCAACAAAUAUCUUGCACCAACAUGAGUAGGAGUACGAGAGGGUCCCCAAAGAUUAGAAUAAAUGUAGUCCAGAGUAUCUUUUGUCCGGUAAACUGCUGCCCUAAAGUUGACUCUCUUUUGUUUGCCAAGAACACAAUGCUCGUAGAAAUCCAACUUUUCUAAACUCUAACUACUAAGUAGACCUCUCUCGCCUAACCUCAUCAUACCAUAUUGACUCAUAUGGCCCAGUCGCAUAUGCCAUAAUCUGGUGCUAUCUGAAUCUGACAUAGAGGAAGAAGUCACCGCUACUGAACCUGUCAUAAUGGAACCCUAUAGAACAUAUAACAUGUCGGACAAUUUGGCCUUCAUCACUACAAGAUUUUCUUUAGUAACCUUCAUUAAUCCAUUAGUUGAAGAACACUUAAAGCCUUUAACAUCAAGUGUACCCAAUGAGAUCAGAUUUUUUCUCAUAUCCGGAACAUGCCGAACCUCAGAUAUAGUCCUCACUAUUCCAUCGAGAAUCCGUACCUGAACAAAGCCAAUUUCAAUAACUGUACACUUAAAGUGAUUUUUCAUCAAUACAUCUCCACCUUCAAUAGGCUUAUACGUCAGAACCAUUCUCUAUGCAUGCAGAUAUGGAAGGAGUACGCAGAGUCUAUAAGCCACUCAUCCUGUCUGCGUGUCUUAUCCGUAACUGUGAAGACGAUAUCAUUUUUAUUUGAUUCUCCUGCUGCAACACUUGCUUCUGCUUCAGUAUUGGUGUUUUUCUGACCUUGGUUCUUAUCAUCGUUAUUCUUCCGCUGCUCUUUAUUUAUUGGCUUGAAACUAUCAGUUUUGAUGUGACCUUUCUUCUUACAAUAACCACAAAUCAGAUUUCUAUGUUUUGAUUUUGAUCUAAAUGUAUCUCUAUUACCGUAACCCUUCUCUCGAGACCUUCCUCUAGCGACUAAACCUUGUUCUGAAGCUCCACCUAUCUCGUUGCUUAUUUGUAUGUCAAUUCUUUCUUUUGAAAGUAAAGAGAAUUUAACAUCAUCGAGAUAUAGAAUAUCUCGUCCAAAUAAAAAGGUCUCACAAAAAUUCUUAUAAGAGGGCAGUACAGAACAUAGUAAUAAAAAGUCUUCAUCUUCUUCCUCGAUUUUAACAUCUAUCGAACGGAGAUCCAUAAUAAUAAAAUUAAAUUCAUCUAAAUGCGACUUAAUAGAGGUACCUUUCGCAAUGCGCAACAUGAAGAAACGUUACUUCAAAUAUAACUUGUUGGUGAGAGAUUUCGUCGUAUAGAGAGACUCUAAUUUAAGCUAAAGCCCUACAUCGGUCUUUUCAUCCAAGACCUCGCGCAAUAUUUCAUCGGAUAAAUAUAAUUGUAUUGCCAUAAGAGUUUUGUCAUCAAUCUCCUCAUUCUGCUCUGCCGUCAACGAAUCAGACAUCUUUUAUUUUUUCAACAUUACCUUCUGCAAUCCUUAUUGUGUCAAUAUAGCACGCAUCUUGACUUACCAUAAUGCGAAACUGUUGGUCCUGUAAAUUUUUUGAAUCUCGAACUUCGUCGUCAUCUUAAUCCUCAAAAAGAAUAGAAAGGUUCUGAUAUCAGUUUGUUAAAAUCGGAACGGCGAAAAAUAGAUCCAGAAAAUAACUUAAUGCAGGAAAAGAAAAGAAAAGAAAAGAGCACACCGAUAUUUUACGUGGUUCGGCCAACGGCCUACGUCCACGGGCGAAGACAGAGCAAAUACUUUAUUAAUAUCGAAAGGCGGAGUACAAAGAAGAUCUCUCAAAGAAGAUCUCUCAAAAGAAUCAAAACUUAAUUAGAUCCGAAACUCACCCGUACGGACCACUCUUCCUUGAUGCUCACUUAAUUAAUUAGUAUGGCUCUUAAUUUGGUCGCGGCAUCAUUAACUUGGCCGUAACAUGUAUAUAUAAUACAUGUUUUCUAACUAAAGUCUAAUCCUAAUUCAAUUAGAAUUACACUUCUACUUAUAAUCUAUAUAUGUCAAAUUAAAUCUAAUUCUAAUUAGAUUAGGAUUUAACUCCAAUUUAGGUAACUACAAAUCUAAAUCAAAUUUAACAGCUUUCCCAAAAUUAUUCAUUUAUAAUCAAGCUCAACUUAUUAAUAAAUUACCUACAAGCUUUACUCCCUCACAAAAAAAAAAAAAAAUUAAAGCUCAAUUAUUAACAUCAGAUAUGGGACUAUUGAUCGUCACCGAUACCCUCAUUUAAAUUUCAGCACCCUCAUCAAAUUCAAUCACACAUAUAGCCAAAAACACUAAAUAAUAUCAGAUCUAUUUUACAUAUUUGGCCGACAAUAUAUCUCUAAUACUAAAUGUAAUGAUCUAAUAUGGCCCCUCUGAUGAUUAAAUUUAAGCAUGCGUCGGAUCAUUACAAUACAAGCCUUCCUAAUCGUUUCUUUGAUUGGCCUGAGGUGACGUCGAAUUUUUAUUACUGGCUUUGCCCAAAAGCAAUGGAUCUGAGCCAACUAAAAUUAAAAUGAUCCAAAAAAAAUGUUCAAAUAUUCUAUGAACAUUUGAGGAAUUUUAUUUGACCUCCAACCUUAACUUAACGAGUCUCUUGUGUAUGAUCUUUUGCUCGGUACUGAUCAGGUGCUAAUGGUCAGUUCAGUACAUUAACAACAUAGGGGUUGGUGGUAUUUAUUUUAAAUUUUAUUUAAAAAAGUUUAUUUUGGUCUCUGGGUUUCUUGUAUGGCCUAAAAAUUAAAUAAACUUUGUUUGGGAGUUUGUGCAUCAGCUUAUUAUAUAUGAAUUUAGUUCUAGAUGAAAGACUCAUGAGAUAUAGUUAAAUUUUAUAUACUCUACAUUUAAAGUUGCUUUGGUGAUAAAAAGAGUGGUGCAAUCGACUAAUAACAGGCACGAGAGUAUGGGCCGGGCCGUGUGCGGGCCUGAUUUGUUGGCUCAGUUGGCAUAAAUUUUAGCUUAACCUUAACCUGAGAUAAGUUGCUCUGGUCCAACUAGCGACGUCGGGCCCUAUUGGCUGCAUGUUAGGAUAAAGUAAGACUGCUUAUUCCAAGUUCAGGUAUAAGUAAGAAUUAGACUAACUUUGUGUUUGGAUGAAAAUUAAGUUGUUCCUGAAAAUUUAAAAAAAAAAUAGUAUUUGGAUAGAUAAAAUAGAAUAAGAAAAAUAGUAGAUAGUUUAUAAAUGAAAAAUAAUAACAUUAUCCCUCUCAUUAUAUUUAAAUUUGAAUUUUUAAAUUUUACAUUUAUAAUUUUAAAUUUAAGAUCAAAUUUAAAUUUGAAAAAUAUAAACUAUCAAAUUUUAAAAAUUUAAAAUAUCAAAUUUAAAAUUUAAACUUUAAAAUUUUAAAUUAUAAAUUUUAAUUUUGAGAUUGCAAAUUUUAAAUUUUAAAUGUUUAAAUUAUUAAUCUAAAAUAAAAAUAUCUCUCUCUCUCCUCCAGAGGAAUAAGGGGUGGGAACAAGCUUGUUCCUAUUUCUGAAUGGAAACUAUUAAUUCCCACCCAUAGCGGGCCAAAAUAUUGUUUGAGUACAAGAGUGAGGUAUAAGGCCUUAUCCCCUCUCUUGUACCCUAUCCAAACACUAUCAUAGGCUAUGAGCAGCAAUGCCUACCUCUAUAUAGGGAAGGGUACAGAAAAGAUAACUGAUCUUCUUCUUCUACAAACUACUUCUCUGAGCUAUUUGCUAUGCUUCACUGAACUCUAUUUUGCCACUGAGCUUUACUGUUCUUUUAAGCUUUACUAUAUUUGCUGGAUCUCUUAAAGCCUACUUGGUUCAGAUUGCACUAUUCUGAAGAUGUUCCGACGGGAUAGCUUACGGUCGUUGUAUCGCGAGAAGUGAUCGUCGAAACCUCAUACGUGGAGGAACAAUCUUACUUCUAAAAUGGUGCCUACUCUCAACCCUCAGGCCCAUCUAAACUCUUUAUCUCUAUAAUACUUUGACAAUGAUUCUUGUAUGCAUUUUCGCAAAAUAGUUGUUUAAAUGCUUUCGAAUUAAAAUAUUGAAAAUGGUAUCUUUUUUUUCUCUUCGCUUAUUUUUUAUAAAUAAACUUAGCUGAAAAUAUGAAUAAAUUAGGAUUCGAACUUGAAACCUCGGAGACUAACUACCAGGCCCUUUGUCACUUGUACUAGGGACGGUCGGUGAAAAAUGGUAUAUUUCUACUAAAAGAAAUAUAUCAAAUGGACAGAUUAUUUGAGUAGUUAUUUUUUUUCAUUUAAAUUGUUUAAGUGAGAAAGAUCACUGUUACUUCAACAGAAGAAAAUUUUCAGAUCAAUGUAGGUUUACAGAUAUGGUUAAAUUGCCCGACUAGUCCACAAACUUGGAGGAAAGUUUCAUUUUCGUCCUCAGACUUCUGAUUUCGAUAUUCGAAUCUCCAACCUUCUAGUUUGAUUUCAAUUUAAAACCUAAAUUGUGAGUGUUUUAUUUCAGUAUUCAUAUAAGAUUACGACAAUUGCUGACUUGUUUUUGUCAUAGAAAUUCUUUUAGUUUCUUCCUUCAUCACAAAUUUUCGAUUCAAAGAUCCAAUUUAUAUUAAAUAAAAAAAGGCUUACUCAAUGAGUAAUAGGGUUGAAAUAUACCAUAAAAAAUAGUUGAUAAAUGUAUGGUGUAUAAAUGUAUAAAUGCACUAAGUGCAGGCACUAAUUUAUCCUUUAAUAGUAAAAAUAUAUAGGGACUAAAAUUAAACUCCUUAUAUAGUUAUAAAUGCAAUUUAGUUGGCGAUGUAUAUUAUUGAAAAUGCAGCAAUUAUAAUUAUAUAUAUCUUAUUUGGUUGGAUGUUAUAGAACGCAGAACAAUUAUAAAUAACUUAUUUCAUUGUAUGCAGUUGACAAGCAUAUUUAUAAACUUUGGCCAAUUUGCAUAAAAAAUUCACAAGUUUUGAGCUUUUGCGACCCACCUCCACCUCCAUCUCCACUGCAGCAAAUUUUUUACCCAUCAAACCCACUUUUGCAAAUUAAAUCAAAAAAGGCGGCCUAGUUUUUCAAAAGCUCAAAACUUAUGAAUUUUUUAUGCAAAUUGGCCAUAAAAUUUUAUUAUUUUAUAUAUAUGGUAGUGAGAUAACCCCUUAUGUAUGAAAAGAAAAAUUGUUUAAAAAUUAUUAGGAGGUAAACUUACUUUUUGUUUAAAGUUACUAUCUCUUGUUGCUGCAGUUGGAACUUCUAUAAAUUUGGACAUAGUUUUAAUUGCUACAGUUGUGCCUCCUCGUUUAUUUUCAACUGUAGCAAGUGAAUUUAAAUACAUCAAAUUUGGAUUCGUUUGCCGUUAGAACUUGAGUGCAAUUUAACAUCGAUUGAUGUACAACCAAAUAAUUCCUAUCAUUUGGUUCAAGAAUAAGUAAAAAUUGCUUAUUCCUAGAAUAGGUAACAAUUUUGAAAAUAAGCAAGAAUUUUGUAGUUAGAUGAAAAUUAGAUUGUUUCCGGAAGUAAGGAAAAUAGCAUUUGUAUAGUUAGAUUGGAAUAACAGAAGUAAAAUAAUUAUAAUUUUAAAAUAAAAUCAUUUUAUCUAAUUAAUUAACAUCAAAAUAUUAAUUAAAUAAUGAUUUGAUAAAUUAAUAAAUAUUUUAGCUAUGAAUAUUGUAUAAGAUAAUGAAAAAAAUACAUUAAUCAAUUAACUGUAUAUAAAAGCAAGUUAAAAUUUUAAAUUAAUUAUUAGAUUUUUAAUUAGUUAGAUAAUUAGGCAAGAACUUAAUUAGAUGAGUCAAAAUAUUAAUUAGUUGAUCAAUAUAAAUAUUGGUUAUUAGAUAAACACUUUAAAUAAUUAUUUUUUAAUUUGCUAAUUAAUUAUAAUUAAUUAGUUAAUAACUUAAGCAAUAGAUAAUGAUUUAGAUACAUUAAUUAAAUUAUAUAACAAGUUAAUACACUAACUAAAAUUAAAUUUAGAUUUUAAUUAAGUUUGCUCUUACUUGGAAAUAAGCUUGAUCGAUCAAUUUUUCAUGUAAAUCUUUGUAUUCUUUUUAUUUUCUGUUUAUAGUUUGUCUACUUUACGUUUGUUGUUUUUCGUUUUUGUUUGUGCUCUCGUCGUAACAGUCAUUACUACAUAUCUUAUCAAAAUUCUGCAAAUAAUUAAGCUUCUGUUCACAACUUGUGUAUGAGAAGAUACCGAAGAAAUCUUUCAUCAGAGACUAUAUCAACCCUUUUGAGAACUAACUGUAAAAUUUGCCAACAAAGAUUAUGAAAUCCGUCGAGUAGCAUUCACCUAUUAAACCUGCUAACAUUUUUGCCACUAAAUUACAUAUAAUUUAGAUAGAAGUAAACAUAAGCAUGCAAACAAACUCCCCGAGUGCAGUUCGAAUCAAGCAUUUUAUGCAUUAAAUUACAUAUAUUUCCGAUAUAAGAAAGCUUAAAAGUGCAAACUAACGCUCCGCGUGAUUUUAUGCAUUAAAUUACAUAUAUUUCCGAAAUAUAUAAGAAAGCUUAAAAGUGCAAACUAAUACUCCGCGUGCAGUUCAACUCAAACAUUCAUCAUUGAUCUCCAGUGUAAGAGAGUAUUUGAGAACUAUUCUUCCAGAAUCCAGAUAGCGAAUAUGUUGGCCACUUCAUGAUUGAACUUUUGUUGAUCCAAAGAGAGCAUCAUCUCCCAUGUUUCGCCUUAAAUUCGAAUCUUGCCAAACCUUUCGUCUUGCAUACCAAACACUUGAUCCAUUUGUUGAGUAAAUUUAGUCUGCUCAACUUGACGAAACGAGACUCGACGGCCAUGUGACGGCCACGGGGCUCCGCACAUUGUGCGACCCAUCAGCCCACAAGAUCGACCCGAAUGCGUAGUUGUCGCCGACAAUCACCGGAUUAGCAGCAGAAGCGAACGUGACCUCAUAGGACAAGCUCUGCCCGACAGAAUUGAACUCGAGCCUGCUCGGGCUCACCGUCACGUUCACACCCCGCGGGGCGGAGACCGCAACUUCGUAUACAGCGUCGGCUGAGCUCCCGACGUUGCGGACAACUCUUCUGUACGUGACGACAUCGCUGUGAGAAGAGAACAACACGGAGAACGCCGGGUAGUUGAGGUCUCCCGGGCUCGGCAGCGUCGUAGUAGAACAAUUAGCCGUUGAUCCGUCCCGUGUGAACACCGCGAUUUGGUCGGCAGUGUAUCCGAUAGAGCAGAGGAAGGCGAUGUAGUCGUCGACCUGUGCAUCAUAGAGUAGGCCAGGAUCGAGCGCGCUGUUGGGAUCUACAUGACCGGCCCCACGAACGAACGGCGUGGAUUCCUCCCCGGUGGCAAGAUCCCUGAUGGUCUCCCCUGAAUUGUCGAGAUUAUAGGCCGUGGUCAUUAUGGCCGACUUAACGGCGGCGGGGCUCCACUCGGGGUGGGCCGUGUGGAGGAGAGCGGCGAUGCCGCUGACGUGGGGGCACGCCAUGGACGUCCCGGAAAUGAUGUUGAAUUCGACCCUUCGGGGGUCGAUAUCCAGAUCGGUCGGGCUGCUGGCGCCGGUCCAGGCGGCCAAAAUGUUGACCCCGGGCGCGAUGACGUCGGGCUUCAGGAUCUCGUGGGCGCGGUAGUUGGGCCCGCGGCUGGAGAAGGACGCCACUUUGGGCGCCGGCGGGGAUGGACCGAUGACCGUGCCGCGGAACACGAUGGUGGCGGUGGGGGAUGCCGUCGAAUUGAUGUAGUUGCGGAUCUUGUCCCCGGCGAUUUGGCCGACCAUGGUGGCGGGGAUGAGGUGCGAGUCGGCGAUGAGCUCCUCGCCGUUCUCCUCCGUGUUCGCCAGUAUCAUGGCGGCGCCGCCGGCGAUCUUGACGGCGCUCCCCUUCUCCACCCGCGCGUUGAGGCCGCGGUCGCAGAGCACGAUCUUCCCCGCGACCUUGUCGGCGUCGAGGGCGCCCGGAAUGCACAGCCGCGAUCCGCAGUCGCCCGCGUAGACGAGCGGCAGGAGCGUGGCGUUCAGGGGCUCGCCGGCGUAGAGCGAGACGCCGCCGUAGGCGGAGCCGUCGCCGAGCGCCGCGUCGGCGGGGAACUCGCGGUCGAUGGUGGAGGCGCCGACGGUGAGGAUCCAGGGCGCGACGUUGACGGCGGUGUAGGCGCCGGGGCCGGAGUUCCCGGCGGAGCAGGAGACGACGACGCCGCGGCGGGCGGCGCCGAACGCGCCGAUGGCGAUGGAGUCGCGGUGGAAGGGGGGGGCGUAGCCGUUGGCGCCGACGGAGAGGGAGAUGACGUCGGCGCCGUCGGCGAUGGCGGCGUCCAUGGCGGCGAGGAUGUCGGAGUCGAAGCAGCCGGAGGCCCAGCAGAUCUUGUAGGCGGCGACGCGGGCGGCGGUGGCGACCCCCUGGGCGACGCCGCGGGCGUAGCCGUAGAAUCCGGCGCCCUUGACGGCGGCGCCGGCGGCGGUGGAGGCGGUGUGGGUGCCGUGGCCCUCGGUGUCGAGGGGGGACUUGGACUCCCUGGACUCGUCGAUGGGGCGGCCCAUGGCGGCCUCGUAGCCCUUGUAGAAGAAGCGGGCGCCGACGAGCUUGUUGUUGCAGGCGGCGGAGGCGUUGAAGGAGGCGGCGGAGACGCAGGAGCCGCGCCACGACGAGGGGGGAGGGGGGAGAGCGGAGUCGGCGUCGGAGAAGGAGGGGCGGGAGGGCCAGAUGCCGGUGUCGAGGACGGCGACGACGGCGGAGGAGGCGAAGUGGGAGAGCGGCCAGAGGCCGGAGGAGGCGGAGAGGCGGAGGAGCGCCGGAGACGACGACGACUGGGGCGGAGCGUGGGCGGGGGACACGUGGACGAUGUAGGUGGAGCGCGUUUCCUGUUCGCUGUACGCCUCCGAGAACAGCAACGCGAAGACGACGAUGGAGAGGGCGAGGAGGAGAAACGGCUUCGCCAUUGUCGUCGUCGUCGACGUNUCGCCGCGAAGCCCGAGGCGGCGAGGGAGUACCCGUAGAGGAGGCGGGGGCGGGGGCGCCGGAGCCGCUCGGGGAGCAUGGACCCGAGCGCGCACGAGUACGCGCGGCGGAGGAGCGCCGGAGACGACGACGACUGGGGCGGAGCGUGGGCGGGGGACACGUGGACGAUGUAGGUGGAGCGCGUUUCCUGUUCGCUGUACGCCUCCGAGAACAGCAACGCGAAGACGACGAUGGAGAGGGCGAGGAGGAGAAACGGCUUCGCCAUUGUCGUCGUCGUCGUCGUCGUCGUCGGAGACUCGCUGGGGCCGAACAAGGUGUGGAUGGGAUCGAUCGGAUAUACGAUGAGAUGCAAUCAAUAAUAAUAAACGCGGUUACGAGAAUGCCAUCGAUUUUUCAACUUAUUUACGCUUUGACUCUCGGGGACAAGGUAUUGUAGCGGAGAGGUAAUGGUGGUGUUUUCGUUAUUUCAUGCGAAUCGGAGGUCGUGUUUACUGUACUGGAAAAUGAUAGGGGGUGGGAUUCAGACAUCGACCAAUAGGAAAUGUUUGAGUGGGGACAACACGGGCCACGUGCCACACCAUGUUUCGCGAGGGACAUGUUGUUAGUUAGAAAAAUGCUUGUCCUUUGACAGCAAAAAGGAUGAGUCAUAUUGUAAUUUGCUUCAAAUGUUUUCUGGGCGUCAUCUAGCCGUUGAUGGAGGGCAUCCAACGGAUGCGGAUCGGGAAGAGCUUGGUCGAGCCAAUACUUGGCUGGGACCAUUUGUUGGCGACGUGUUUGGCCGGAACGAUCGAUCCGAUGCUUCGUAUUUGCAUCCUAUAUUGAGCAUGUCUACAGCUUCACCAGUUGUAUCACAUCUUUUCAUUUCUUUUAAAACAAAAAAAAAGAAGAAGAAAGAAAUACUAUAAUUUAGAUAUUCAUAUUUAAUCAGCGGGCUAGGAGGAUGUAGAUUCGAUCUCCCAUGUCCCUUGAUCAAAAGAGAAAAUUUAGACUCAGAUCAUGGAAGAUUUUGAUUCUGGAGACUUACCAACUGCUUGUUUGGAAGAGAAAAUAAAAUAAUUUUGAGUAAUUCUAGGAAGAAUUGUGUGGAGGCAUUUUUAUUCGAACACAGUAGACUCUUCAAUCGCGGGGCGAAAAAGCAACAUUGGCUACGUGAGUAAGGACCCAAGCCUUCAAUUCUUACUUCGCGCAAAAGUUUCCAUUAAUGAUUGAGUAGCUAUACGUCCAAUUCCAUCAAAUAUCACAUGGUUAUUAAUACACAGUUUUAAUAGUUUAUGAAGUUGAAUACGCAAUUAGCCAGUUGGCAAAAAAUAAAUAAAUAAAAAAUAAAUAAAAUUCUUUGAAAAUUCGAGAAAUGGUUGGAGAUUUUAAUUUAUCCUUUCUAGAUUUAUUUCUCUAAAAUAUAAAAAUUUUGCUUCAAUUCAAUAAUAAAUCUAUUUAUAUGAAAGAUUAAUAGUCAAUUAGUCAUAAAUGCAAACUGUGGCUGACAUGACCUAAUCUUAGCAUAAACAUCCACUUUAUUUGUUCUUUUCUUCUUUUUUUUUUUGAGAAAAUCAUAAACAUCCACUUAGGACACGAUUUGUUCAAAAUCGGAAUAAAAAUGGAAAUAGAUUGGAAUCAUAUACGAGACUGUAAAAUCAAAACAUAGAGUUAAGUUUGUAAUUUAAAUUCAAACUGAAAAUUAAAUAUUAAAUUUUACAUCAAAAUUUUAAAAUAAGAAGCCAAAUUUUGAAAUAUAAACUUUUUUAAAAAAUAAAAUUUAAAAUUGAGUGGGCAAUUCAAAGCAUAAAAAUAAUUGUCGAUUUGAUUCAAAUCAAACUUAAAAAUUUUGAACUCAUAAUUUAAAUUCCAAUUUGAAACCAUAAAAUUUAAUUUAAAAUUUUAAUUUAAAUUCAAAUCAAAAUUGAAAAUUAAUAUUAAUUUCUAAAUUUAAAAUUGUAGUAAAAUUAAAAAUUAAAGUUAAAAAAGUUAAUUUAAUUCUAUAUUAGAAAUAUAAAAUAUAAUUAAGAUAUUUUCAGAAUAAACAUUCAUUACACUUUGAUUUUAACUUCCAAUCCGAUCCAAAUUAGAAAGAGAGAUGAUUGACGGAUUUUCAUUUCACCUGAAAUCAGAACCAGAAUAAAACUCAUGAUAUUUGAGAAAUUUACAAACGAAAUCAUCUAUUCCGAUUUUAAUUUUUGGAUAAAAAAGGAGCGAACAAAACGUGUUCUUUAAUAAAAUAGGAUUCAGUGUUUUGGGGGACGAAUGUUGUAACUGCGCACAUCUUAGGCGGGACAAAAAAUACAACCACAACAAGAGCUGGGCACUCAGCGCAGGACGGGGUUGGAAGUCAGGACGGGGUUGGAAGUUUUUGCAGCACGAAUUGAAAGCAGACUGCGACAGCAAACGGUAGGAAGGCGCUGAGAAGCUGCAAUGCAGUUCAGAACAACAAAUAAUAAUAAAAUAAAAUGGGGUGGUGAAACUCGGCAUCAUGAAAAGAGUUGCAGUUCUAUUGGGAUUUGGAUGGGGUAAAACCAAGUUUGGUACCGAGAGAUUCUGUUUGAAUAUAUGAAUAUCUUGUUUGAUAUAUAUAUAUAUAUAUUUAUAAUUUACUUAAAAGAUUUAUACAUUUGAUAAAUAAAUAGUAUGAUCGAAUAUUAAUAAUUGAAUACAUAUUAUUUUUUAGAUAAGAUAAAUCAGUUCGUAAGUGAAAUAUGUUACUAUCCUAAUAUAUUGUGAACAUCAAGAGCUUCCAAAGAGUGAAAAAUGAAAUUUUUUUCUUACAAUUACACUAGAAAUUUUUUUUUAUUAAAUUUUUUUUUUCAACCAUAAUUUAUUCCCACUUCAAAACAGGAACUUAAUUUAGAACCUUUUUCCUCCCCCUCAAGUCCUUUUCCUACCAUAGCUUUUUGGAAUGAUGAUAUUACACGCUAUCAGGAAGUAGUACCGCAUCAGCAAAUAAUCUGUCAAUAACAUGAUUUAUAAACUUUCACAUCAAAAAAUCUAUUCUGCAAUCAAAUAGUAUAUUGAUUCGCCAAAGGCACAGGUUAAAACAAAAAUAUGUCACUAGGGGUGUAAAACGGGUUGGGCGGCUCGCGCGCCAUCUGUUCCGCCACGAGAGUGGGACAGGCCGAGGCACGGCAAGAGUGCUGUAGCACUCGUGUCGGGCCAGCCUGGUCAGAUGAGCCGGGUCGUGCUGGGCCUCACUGUCGUGGCCCGAUGGCUCAGCACGGCCCGGCACGAGAUGGGCUUGGGCCAUGCCAGGCCUAAGGAGAGGCCUCGGCUCAGCUCGGCAUGGCACGGCACGACUCCUGACUACCAAGCCUGGCAGGAAAUUGGGUUGCACCCAACUCCCAAUGCUUUGAUCCCCUGUACCAAAACACCCUUUCAAUAGUCAAAUUUUCAACAGUAAAAAAUUUGACCGUUGAAAAAAUAUUUUGAUCCAAAAAUAUUUAAAAUUUUUAAAUAAUUUUAAAAAAUUUUAAAUAAUUUUAAAAUUUUAAUAUUUUUAUAAAUGUAUUUUAAAAUUUGAAUUUUUAGUACUCAUAUAUUAUUUUUUAAAAAUAAUAUUUUAUUUUUAUUUCCUUAGAAUUUUAAAUAUUUUUUAAAUAAAAUUAAUAAAUAAAAAAGGAUUGUUUCAAAGCUCGGCCCAGCGGCCCGACACGGCCCGUGUUGUCCUAGCAGGGGCAGGGCCUAGCUGGCCUCCAGCACAUUUUGGCCAAGCUAAAUGUGGGUCAUGCCAGCCCGACACGAUCCUCAUUACACCCCUAUAUGUCACAUGAUAAAUUAAUCUAUAUUUUACCACCUUAUAAUUUACAAAAAAUAUUACUUUACUAUUCUAUUUAACAAUAUGUCACAUGAUAAAAAUAAAAAUAAAGACUCAAUUUUAUGAAUCUUAUGAUGAACAAAUAGAAAUGCGCUAAAGCACAGUGUGCAAAUUGACGAUUAUCAUACAAAAGUUAAAAGUGAGUGGUUCUAUUGUUUUUAAAUUAUUUUAUUUUAAUUUUUUAAAUUUUUGAUGGCCCAUAGUUAGCCUCACUAUUUGUUAUGGCCCACUUAUGGGCCUAUCAUAACGAGGGCCAUUUGUGUCCAACCCAAACAAAGACCUUCCUCAUCCUAAAUUUUUUUUCGAAAAAAAAAAGAAAAAAAAGAAAAAGACAACGUGGGGUGAAAAUUAUUGCCUGCACCCGAUGCAUCACUAUGCUCAGUGCAUGACAUAUUAAUGGUCUAUAUAUAAAAAAAAAAUUGCAGUAAAAUUUAUGGAAAAAAUAAAUUAACAGUAGUAUCAAGGACGGUGACAUUUUGUUAAGUAAAAGUGAGAAAAGAAUAAUUUUUAUCUAAACUUCUGUCUAAUUAAAUAUUAUUUAUAAUUUAAAAAUUAAUUACAAAUAAACAAAUAAGUUUUAAAGCAGUAAUGUAUGAUGAAUGAGAUGGUCUCAGUAUUGGAACCGUCUUUAUUUUUGGCUAAAUUAUAAAAAUUUUCUUGCACUUUAGUCUAUGUCUCAAUUACCUCCAUAUAUUAAAAAUUAGGAUUAAUUUCAUACAAGUACCUACAAAUAUAGUGAACGACAAAUUUAUUUUUACAAAGUUCAACUUUCAUGUAUUAUCUUUGCAGAAGUUCUGAUAUUUUCAAAUGUGUCCUCUGAUUUGUUACCGUUAGAAAACCGUUUAUAUUUUCAACUUUGACAUCACGAAUAUAUCUCUUCAAAAACCAUAAUAGUAUAAUAUAAAUGGGUAAAAAUAUCAAAAACUAAUUAGGCUUAAGUAUUUAAUAUAUGGUUAACUAAAUUUUUCUAACGAAUUCUAACAAUAGAGAUAUAUUUGAAAACAUCAGACCUUUUAUAGCGACAAUACAUGAAAGUUGAACUUUGUAGGAACAAAUUUGUCAUUCACUAUAUUUACAGGGACCUAUAUGAAAUUAACCCUAAGAAUUAUAUCAAUUUCUAUUGUUACAUUUUGCUAUCAUCUAACAUAGAUUUAAAAAAUUUAAGAAAUUAGCAAAUUAGGUUGUAAAAUUUUACCAAAAUGAGCUGACAUAUCACAUUAUUUCGCAUAUCAAUAGAUAUCCCAUUUAUAAUUCAAAAAUAUAUUAAAAAAAUUUAGAUAAAAAAAUAUUCUAUUUACUAAUACUAUCAAAAUUAAUAAUUUACUAAUAAAUCUAUUCAAUCUAUAAUUGUAUUACUUAUAGAUAAAUUUAUUUGUAAAUUUUUUUUUACGAAAGUGUAUAGUCAAAUUCAAUAAUUAUCUUAAAUAGCUAGGUUUAUACGAGAUAACAAUAAAAUAUAGAAAAGUAAUUAAUGUAAUUUUUAUUUUUUUUAUAGAAGGAUAAUUAAUACAGACGCUAAAUUGUAAUAAGGCUUUUUUUUUUUUUUUUUUAAAGAAAAACUUCAAAUACCACUCUUGUGGUUUCACACUUUCUCAUUUUAGUGCCAUGUGGUUUAAAGUGUAUCAAUUUAGUAUCCCGUUGUUUUCUUUUUAUUUUUUUAUUAUAGAUUCCACUAAUUUUUUUCGUUAAAUUAGUAACAAAUUUAAAACUAAAGGGUACUAAAGUGAAUAUUCGAUAAACCUAGGUUGGGUAUCUGUGUCACCUCCCGGAUGUCACGUUUCCCGGGCGCGCCGACAAAUCCGCCGUACACAAAAAAAUUUUUCCUAUAUACGAAGCGUAACUGUACCUGUAACAUAUACAAUACUACAACCAGUAGUAUAGAGCUGCUCGAAAAAAAACUGAUAAAAACAUGAACAAGUUCUAUAUACAUGCAUACAUACAGGUAUACAAAAGCUCACCUAGCUAAAUACAACAAGUAUGUAUAAGAAACUAAAAAACUAGCACUACCCGCAACUGGUAACCUCUCGAACAACAGCAACGGAGAAGGGCUCUAACUGGCAACGUCUUUACCACGAUCAGUCUCCGAGGAAGCAGCAGUCGGAAUAGUAGGCUCUGCAAAAAUAGGAUAACAACUGGGCGUGAGAACUACUGUAAAAACAAGUAGUCAUCAGUGGGUGUCGCCCUCAACAUCGUCGGUCCACCCACCAAGUUUACAGAAGGAAGCAAAGAUAGUAGGAAAAGUUGAAAGAAAUCUACAGUUAAAUGCCACUACACUAUCCUGCUCUACACUAACCAACUGUAAAAAAAGUCAAUUCUGACCCAAUCUCACUAGGACUAUAAGCAUAUCCGUCCUUGGGACUGUGAUCACACCCGUCCCGCCCGGUUGUGACUAUACAGCUACCUCCAUGCUAAGCAGUCAGUGGAGAGCGAGUCCAACCUGCACGAACGACACCAACGCAAAAGCACAGCGCCCGCCUCCGAAGUGGCACUCGUGGGAGCUACCCAACUAAGUAUGCAAGCGUAUUUCUGUCGAGCUCAAUCCGGCUCACACCAGCCAAAGUCAAAUAAAUCGGGUCUAACUGGUUUAACAACUAACAGGUCACAUGCGCUCGGCACAAUCUGACGCCAAAACGGCGAUAUAGGCCCACCGUCAAUCCCGACGGCACGCAACAGUCCGGAACAGUUUAAACGCUGCUGUAAAAAUACACUCAGCAUCUCAGUACGAGCGUAACUGAAAUCUAAACUACCGAAAGUAUCCGCUACGCCGAUACUGUGACGAUACAAAAUAACAACGGCUCUAGAGCUAAAUCCGGUAGUUUAAGCAUGUGAUAGGCUCGAAUCGCAGGUUUUCUCCUAAGUCAUAUCCAAGUCCAACAUGUGCAAGUAGAUUUAGUAACACUAGGCUCUAGUUCAGAUUUUUUGUAAAAGAAACACCAAAUCCAUGAAUCGAGCAAAUAUGAUAUGCAAAAACAAUUACAACGACACAUACCGACUAUCUCUAUAUACUUAGAAGACAAACCGAUGAUUAACCCACCUCAAACGCUAAUCUCAAUUCGGCGUGACGUCGAGAACGGCGGAAUCGUACCCUCGUCGGGCCUCCUCGCGAUGCUAUGAUGACGAACGUUCACUCGAAUGGCACUGCGGCGCAACGUCGGCGAAACUCCCAACACCACCCGAGCUCUUCCAUAAUCGGCCAAGCUAGAGAGAGAGGGAAGGAGGCAGGGAAAGUAAGCUCUCUCAGCUCUUCUCACACCUGUAUAUAGCUGGGGGAAAAGGGUGAUACGAACGAGACAUGGCAAAGACAAAUUUGCCCCUCACCUACCCUCGUGUACCGGUACACGGGCAUUUGUACCGAUACAGAUGGCAACCCGAGAGCAGCUGCGCAGGUUCUGGCAAAGUAUACUGUUACACCUUGAUUGUUGUACCGGUACAAGAAAUAUACUGAUUACAACUCGAUGGUUGUACCGGUACAACAGGUAGAAAAACAGCCUUUUUCCACUUUACAAUACUCACACCCUGCUUUCGCGUCGCAAUGAGUCCGUUUAGCGUCUAAUUCGCACCAACGCGACUCAGACUUAUCCUGAUACUCUCCAGAGCUGUUGACAAGUCUCAACAGCUGAACUCCAGGGAUACCACAAUCUGAAGUUUUUUAUAUAUAAUUUAACGAAAUAUUAACGAAAAAGCUAACGAAAAGAUAAAAAUAAAAAUAUAGGACACUAACUUGAUACACUUUAAACUAUAGGAUACUAAAGUAAAAAAAAGUGCGAAAGCAUAGAAAUGUUAUUUGAAGUUUAUUUUUAUUUUUAUUUUUAUUUUUUAAUGGAGUGAGGGUUCUGACACGUGAGAUUUAAUUGUACACCCGGUGCAGGCACCUAGUUUCUGCGUACUCAACUCCUCCUCGGUCUCUUCCCCGUUAUCCGCGCGCUUUCUCCUGAAUCUCAAGCCACAAAAAAAAGGCACAAGAUGCUGCUCUGCGCAUCUCCCACCUCCGCCGCUCUCGCCUCACUCCGCCACCGCCUCCCACCACAAAAGCCCUUCGUCUCCUCUCACCCUAACCCUAACCCUAACCCUAACCCUAAACCUAGCCCCUCCCUAAUCCGACCCUCCUCUCUCCAUCUCCACAAACACCAAACCCCUCCCAAGAAACCACCACCACCACCUCACUCCGUGUCCACAUCCGAUGCUCUCAAAACCACCGCCGAUGAGGUCGAAGAUGACGAGGAAGAAGAAGAAGAGAAACAGGUAACAAUCUCAUCUUGAACUCGUCUAGCUCUUGUGGAGUGGCAGCUACAGAUGGUGGCGAAGAAGACGAUGAGUAAUGCCAUACCCACUGCUAUAAAAUUGUUUGAACUAUUAAAUUUGAUGGAAUUAUCAACCAAUUUGGUAAAGUCUCUAAUUUAUUUGGCUAAAAUCACAUGAUUUCAAAAUAAUAAUAAUAAUAAUAAAUCUUGUGGGGGUCUCAAUAAAUCUUUUUUCUUUUUAAUUUUGUUAAAAUUUAUCUUUUUAUAGAAUUAUCGAUACCCUCGUUUGUUGUAACUAAUCGUAGGUUAAAAAUGUAUGCCGCAACUAUGAGCCAUUCUGAAACAUACCCCUCGACUUUAUUAUUAUUAUUAUUAUUAUUUUUUGAUUAACACGUGUUUAAUUUCUAAUGUUUUCGAGUCAUUAAUAGUUUAUUAAAGUUAAAAAUUUAUUUAAAUUUAAUGAUCCAACAAGCUAUUGUCAGUUAAUUAAUCCAGUUUCAUUUGCUACAGAGUUAUUUAAACUAUUAAAUUUGAUGAAAUUAGAAAUGUUGAUAAAAUCCCUAAUUGUUUUUAGUUAAAGUCAAUUCCAGAAAAGCUUAAAUUUUGGGGAGUUUCAAUCCACCAAAAAGAAAAAGAAAAGUUCACAGGGCUAUGUCAGAAUGAUCUAUAGUUGAGGAGUCUAUAUAUUUUUCCCUUAAUAGUAAACAACAAGAUUUUUAUUUUAUUUUAUUUUAUUUAUUUAUACUCUCCAGGAACAGUCCCUUCAGACUCUAUUUGAAAGAUCACAGUUUGACAAGCUAGUUUUUCUGCUGCAAUAUGGUGCUGUUUUAGCCUCCGUAAGUCCAAUAUCUCAUCAGUUUGUUUCCACCAACUAAUUCCUUUAUUUAAUUUCUUUCCUUGAUGUAUAAUUGAGAUUUAAGUUAGAAAAAUCAAGGGCGAAUUGCACAACAUGUUCGUAAAUCAGUUGUGUUUCAUUUUGAUCCUUGAACUUUAAGUUGGGCAUUCCGUAUCUGAACUUUUGAGAGUGUUUCUUUUUAGUCCUUUCCUGGCCUAUUGCUAGGGGGAAACAUAAUUGCGUCCAACUAGCGUGCUUGUGCAUCUAUGCACCGCACAUCAGUUUGUCAUUGAUCUUGUUUCAUAUUUCAAUCUUUACUACGAUACAAUUACUUAGAAUAAGUGGUUUAAUUGAAGUAUUUCAGUAUGAGAUGAUGGAUAGAGAGGGCAGUGCACGGGUGUAUGAAUGCACUGGAUGCAAGUGAUUUUUUUUUUUUUUUUUUUUUUUUUUUUUUUGUUCCAAUCACAGUUAGGGAUGGGCAUGGAAUCGACCAAACCCUGGAACCAAACCGUACUGACAAAUUUGAUCCGUUUGAAUUGCUUUUUUGUUUGGACUAAGAGAAGCACUUUCAGAAGUUUGGGUUAAUUGAAUAUGCAACUUAGAAGUUCAAGGAACAAAGUAAAACUUGAGUAAAAGUUCACGGACUAGUAGCGCAAUUUAUCUAAAAAUUCAGUUGGGUGUUAUUCUCUGCUGUAGGUGGAGGCACCGACCGCAUGGGCUGUGACCGGCAACAACAACGAAGAUGAUCUUGUGACGACGUUGAUUUCCGCGGGAGUUAUUGCAUUUCUCUACUUCUUUGUUGCUCCAGUGAGCUAAUGGCAACUAAUACUCUUAAAAUUUUUGUUAUAUGCUAAUUUGCAAAAGAACCUCUUGCAUUUUAACCCAUGUUUCAAUCAUUCCCUGCUUGAAAAUUGUAUCAGUUUUAAUUCUACACUCUACCAUUUCUCAUUUAGGUGAUUUGGUCAAAAAAAAAAAAGGAUAAUUGUUGAAUUUGACGCAAAACUUCACCAUUAUUUUAUACCUUAACAUUAAUCUGAGCUCAAACUUAAUGAAAGAUUUAAAAUUAAUGACAAGAAUCUCUUUCUCUGCUAAAUCUGCCAUAAUAGGUUGUUUGUUGGGACAAAUUGUUCAAUUCAUGUGAUUCUACUCCAUUGAACAUAACCACCUUCAUUUACCGACCUGUUUUCAUGAAAUUUUGCAUCCGAAUUUGAGAAUCAUCUCAAACUUAUGGGUAUACUUGGAAUAGUCCCAAAGUGUAGUGUUAAAUUGAUGUAAACUUUUUAUGCGCGGGUGGUACUUGAGACAGACUAGAGCGCAAGGGGUGAUUUUUUGUAAUUUAGUCCUGGUUACAAGCCAGAGUUCUUUCGUUAACUUUGAUGCCCUCAUUUAUUGAACUGCAGCCCAUCAUCAUGAACUGGAUGAGGCUUAGAUGGUACAAGCGCAAGUUCCUCGAGAUGUUUUUACAAUUCAUGUGUGUAUUCCUCUUCUUUCCAGGGUGAGAACAGCUCCAGUCACUACAGAAAUAAUUGCACUAUAUUUUUGUUGCUUUGUUUCUCUGAAUGCUACUGAAAAACGAAGUAAAGAGAUUGGAAUAUGAAAUUUAUGACUAUUUCAAUGAAAAGGAGAGUAAAGAGGUUUCAAUUAGACUUAGAAGUAUGAUUUUUUGAGGCCAAGUCCUAACUUUAAGUUUUAUUUUCAUCGCUUUUGUGUCAAAUGUCCUUCAUAUCUUUAAUAUUUUCGCAUGCCUCACGGAGCGUUGCAUAGUAAUUCAAAAUGUUUAUUAUAGGGAGUUUUAAUACAAUUCACUGCUCCAAAGUACUGUUCUCAACUUGGUAAUUGCUGAAGAGUGCCACUAAUUCAUUUCUGUAACUUGAGACUAUGUUGGUUGUGAAUUGAAAAGGCGUUAACUAGAGUCGAGUGUUCUUUGAGAUGUUUUAUAAGGCUUUCUCUUGCUCUUGAGGCUCAUAUCACUGUGUGUGUGCGACAUUACCAAUUUAAAUGGUGUAAAUGUUAUUUGUUAUUUAUUUAUUUAUUUAUUUUUUGUAUUGCAUCUAGUUCAUGUUGGUUCUCUGUAUAACGCACGUCCUGGUACUUAGCCUGAGUUUCUUUAUGAAUGUAGGUUGAUGCUAUGGGCACCAUUUCUCAACUUCAGGAAAUUUCCAAGGGAUCCAACCAUGAAGUACCCCUGGUCUACUCCAAAGGAUGAUGUCCCAUUGUACAAAUCAAGAUAAUAGGGGUGUUUGGCUGUGCGUUUUGUGCGGCUUUUACGGUACGCUAUCAACAGCGUGUUGUUUGGUUACUGCAGUAAUGCUUGUGGUUAUAUGCACCAUAGUUAAAAAUGGAAAAUUGGAGAAAGCUUCGAAUUGGACUGAAUAUAUAUAUAUAUAUAUAUAUAUAUAUAUAUAUAGUGAGACUACUAUGCUAUCGGAAGUACGGAGCCUUCCGUGCUUCCAGCUCGUUUUCGAUGUUGCGGCUUUCGAAUUGUCGAUCGGCUCCGUUAAACUUGAUCUAGAGUAUUUGAAGUACCUAGAAAAUAAAUUUUAUGAUUUUACGAUAUCAUUUGCCUAGUGAACGAAGGGGCUCAAAAUCAACGGCUGAAAAUAAAAAUCUUACAAAAUGUAAUAAUAUGACAUUAAAAUUUUAAAUCAAAGAUAUUGAUCUUGUUUUAUAUAGUAUAAAGAAUUUUCUAUCAAAAUUUCACGUGAUUUGGAUAUUUCUACACCGUUAAACUUGCAAACGGCUCACUACGGCCAUUGAAAUUUGUUGAUUUUGAGCCCAUUCGAUUCACUAGGCAAAUGGAUAAUCGUAAAAUCAUGAAAAUUUAAUUUUUUAGUGACUUCCAAAUACUCUAGGAUCAAGUUUAACGGAGCCGAUCGACAAUUUCGAAAGUCGGCAAAGUCGAAAACGAAGGCUUGGAAGCACGGAAGGCUCCGUCUUGCGAUAGCAUAGUAGCUAUAUAUAUAUAUAUAUAUAUAUAUAUAUAUAUAUAUAUAUAUAUAUAUAUAUAUGUAUGUGAUCCUCCCAUUAUGUUCUUUUUCAUGUGUAUAAGAAAUCUAGUAUCAUCUGCUAUGAUGGUUUUAAUUGUUAAUAUAGUAUUUUUAAGGGAUCAUUGCAUAUAAUUUUCUGUAAACAUGUUAAAUAGCAAGUAAAUUUUUACAAAAUCUAAAUUAUCAAAUUUAUACUUUUCAAAUGCAUCUCUACUGUCGGUACAUGUUAAAUUUAGUUAAUCAUAGAUAAAAUACUUAACCUUAGCUAGUAAAGAAGUAAAUUAACUGUUUUACCCCCCUCAUGUGUUAUUCUUCAGUUAAUCUCAUUAACUAACUAAUGAGCUCUAAUGGUCCUUAGUUGAAGACGAUAGAUAUCGCUUCGGAGAUGAACAUUCGCAUCCUCCACGAAAUCCGGAGAGUAGUAGUAGAGAAGAGAAAAAGAGUGAAAAAUGUGCCGGAGAGGAGAUGGAGAAGAGGUUGCAUCGAUGGAGCAUUGGUUGGAUUUUCAUUGAAAAGAAGAUGAGUAAUGGGGCUUUAUUGAGGAAGAAGAUGAUUGUUAGGCUUUUUUAAGGAGGGCGUAUAUGCACACUCCUAAUCGUGGGGACUCGUUGGAGGGAUAUGUUUGUUAUGGAAAAAUUAUACUUUCACUUAGUACCUUUAUUUUUUUGAGAAAUAGGUAGCAAGCUACCUCCUUCAUUCAUUAAGCGAAAUAAACUAAGCGUACAUGAUGAAGACAGCUAGGGCCUCUGAAAGAGCCGAAAAAAUACAAGAAAGAAAAUCUAAAAUAAAGAACUCUACGCCUACCGAUUAGAUAAAGUAAACAAGAAAAAGGGGGUGGAUAACGAAAAGGAAGAAGUGGGGACCCAGCAUGGAAGAAGGGACAAGCAAGGGUCAAAGAGCUCCGUUCCAGGCAUUGGUCAAAGAAGCGACACGUUCAAGAGCCCUGGUAGCAUUGGGAAGCAUCUCGCGGAAGAUAGUGUUGUUGCGCUCAAUCCAGACGACCCACCAGAUUGCCGCUAAACGGGUUAAACUUUUCGAUCUCGUGGCGGCAUUUGGUAUGUUAGAUGUAUCUGUCCAUAGCCUCCGUACAUCCCCGGCAUCCGAUUCGCUUGCAUCUGAACCUUCGACACAAAUACGGAUGUAUCUGACCAAGAUACAGUCCCGGAACAGAUGGUCGCGGGUUUCUCGAAAGAACACGCAAAAAAUGCAAAACUGAUCCACCAGGUAAAAAAUAAACAACAUCAUAAUAUUUACAAAUCAGAGGACAAUAUGAAUGUCGCAGAAUUUUUGAAAGGAUAAAUCUGAUAACUUAUAUUUGAUGGAAAUUUUUUGCUGUUUAAGAUGUUUACAUGAAGUAUGAAAUUAUUUGUAUUUUUAAGUGUUCAGCUAUUAACAGAGUGGACUACAUAUCCUUGUAUAUGCAUAUUAGGUUCUCCUCCACUUAUAUUAUUUUGUUUUAGUAAAUAAAAUUAGAAUUAUUUGCAACUCACAGAGCCUGUCCACCUUCACAGGACCAUGACACAAUUUGGACACGGCGAUUUGACAGUUUUCGAAAAGUUAGGACACAAAUACAAUAUGUGAUAUAAUAUUAUAUAUUUAUUAUAUAUAAAGUAUUAAUAUAAAAUAUUACUAACAACAUGUAUAAACAUUUGAAACCCAUAAAAACUAAUUAAUUGUUCAAUUAAUUAAUCAAAUACCUAGACAUUGUUUGACAUUUCUGUCAAAGAUGGAGUCCAAACUAAAUUAUAAUUAUACCAAAUAAACAAAGAAGGGGUCAAAUAAGAACAGCUCAAAAACUUAUAAAUUAAGUUAAAACUGGGGAAGUUUAUAUAUAAAUAAGAUAAAAUUUUCAUUGAUAGUUUACAUAUUUUAAGAACACAAUUUUUCACUAUACAUAAUUAUUUAUAAUAUCUAAAAAAAAAUUAUAUUCAUUCAUUAGAAAAUUAAAAUAUUUAUCACCUUCAAUUACAUAUACAUAGAAGAAAAUAAAUAAAUAAAUAAUAUAUUUUUUUUUAAUGAGAUGAUGCGUGGAACGUGUGUUCAUGAUAUGUUCGCGUCAAACACGAGUCCAACAUGGACAGUUGGACACGUGUGUGUCCGACAUAGAUAUGCGGGGACUUAUAAAAGUGCCCCUGAUACAAUAUUGUCGGAUCGUUGGCGCUGACCAUUAAUCCCAAAAACUCGAGCGGUUAGAAAUACGCAACCAAUUCACUUAAAGCGUACAGAUACAGCGUCCACGGAUCUCNCCCAAAAACUCGAGCGGUUAGAAAUACGCAACCAAUUCACUUAAAGCGUACAGACACAGUACCCACGGGUCUCGAUUGCGAGUCGCCCCACUCAACCUCACGUCACUUCAAACAUGAUUAGUCUCAACCCAGCCUCACGCCAUUUCGAACAUGACUUGGCCCACAUAGCCUUUCGUUACAGAACAACAUGCUGGUCCAUUUAAGCCAACAAAUGCUAAAAUUAUUAAGUAAAAAAAAAAACUCUAACUAAAUAGAAAAAUUUAAAUUUUGUUUAAAAAAGUCAAGGGGUGUCGGGUGUCAAUCAAAAUGCUUUUGAGGAAUAAAUUGAAUAAAUUGCACGACUAGUCCGAACUUCUAUCCCAAGUUUUAUUGCGGAUUUUGAAAUUUUUAAUUCGACUUCCAAGAUCCUAAAUUUUCAUUACUAUUUGACUUUAAUCCUUUUAGAUUUCAACAAAAUAUUUUGUUUGCCCUUACUUUGGAUUGGAAAUUUUUGCUGGCAUUAGUUCAUCGAUUGUGCAUUUGUGCACGACGAACCCAUGGAACAUGUACUGCUCAUUUCAUAUUUUUAUUUUUGACAACUUAUUUUUAAAUUGAGAAAAAAUUAUAGUUGAAUAGAUAAUAAGAUUGAAAUAUGAGGGUCAUUUUGCUUAAAAAAUUUGCCGGCACGGGAGAUAUGGGCCCAUGAGGAGGGAGCGGAGGAGAAAGAGAUGGGGUGUUUAAGGUAUAAAAGUAUUUUGAUUAGUUUUUCAAAAAAUCAAUUCGAAUCUGUGAAAAUAAAAAAAUUGAUCAAAUGGUGCAAAAAUACAAAACUAAUGAAUUUUAUGCAAAAUUGCGAAAUACGAGUUGAGGAUAAUGAAUUGAUAAAUAUAUAUAGUAUAGUAUAUAAAUAUAGAGAUGCACAAGAUACAAAUAAUAAUUUAGUUUUUUAAUAGUAGGUGUGUAUAAAAAUAAAGUAAAAUUCUUUUUAGAGUCAUAUAUCAAACUUGAAAGUGAAACAUAGCAAUGUCACAAUCGAAAGGAUAUUAGUGCGAAAAUCUUAGAUUUACGGAAUGCUUAACGUAAAAUUUGUCGUAGCAUCUAGAGUAAAGUUUUCAUUCUAUAUAUGCCAAUUAAUUAGUAACAACAUUUGAAUUUCCGAAGAAGUCCCAAGGAUUAUCUUUAUAUUUUAUUAACACUAAGCCUGCGUUUCGAAUUGCGGGGAGAUUGCAUUACGUAUAGUGAGAAACGACGAUGAAUAAAUAUUCUGUUUGUUUCCGUACUUAAUAUUGUAUUUUGUAUAUUGCUGUUAGUCGGUUACGAUAUAUUUUCUGCGGUCCCAUCGGAGAAUAUAGAAAUAUAUCCCUAUAUACUUUUUCUCAACUCUAUUUUAUCUAAUAUUGUUAGGCUUAGUUUGGUAUUAAGGUGGAUCUAACGCUAUUAGAUAGAAUAGAGUUGAGAAAAAGCAUAUAAGGAUAUAUUUCUGUAUUAGGACCGCAGAAAAUAUAUCUGUUAGGCUUAGUUUUGUAUUAAGGUGGAUCUAAAUUUAUUAGAUAGAAUGGAGUUGAGAAAAAGCAUAUAGGGAUAAGAUUUUGCGUUCUCCGAUAGAACUGCAGAACAUAUAUACUAACCGCAAACAGCGUAUUUUUUCAUUGUCGUUUCUCACCACACAUAACGCAAUAUCCCCGCAAUCUCAAAUAAAGCCUUAGAUAAAUCUCAAUACCAAACUAAGCCUAAAAUAAUUUGUGAUUAUGAGAUGAGGGCAUUCGAGCUCCGACUUUUUAGGAAAACUGUUAAGAGAUAAUACUUACUUUAACUCAGUAUCUAAUUAGUUAAGAUUUAUUUUAUUUGUAAUUGAGUCAAAGUUGAGUUACAGUACGAUUCUAUAUUAGUUUUAAUUAUAUGAAUUUUAUAUCUAAGAUAGCUAACUUAGAGUACGGCUGGCAAAUGAGCAACCGGCUCGUGUUCGGCUCGAUAUUCGGCUCGCCAGAGCUCGGCUCGAAAUUAAAUGAGUCGAACUUAAACAAAAAAAGAUUUGAAAUUCAUUUCAAGCCGAGUUUGAGUAUUACUCGAUUCGCUCGAAUUAGACUCAAAAAGGUCGAAUAUAUAUAUAUAUAUAUAUAUAUAUAUAUAUAUAUAUAUAGAGAGAAGAGGAAGAGAGACGAGAAGAGAGGAGAGAGAGAGAGAGAGUUGAACUCAAGAAUACUAUCGUGAAUAAACGAGCCGCGUUUUAACCGAUUUAGUUUUUGAUGAUAGAACUUCCAAAUUGACGAUCGCUCUGUUAAAUAUGGAUCAAAUCAUUUAAACUACCUAGAAAUACAAUUUCAACGCACUUUCGAUAUUGAUUCUUUUAUCCCAUAAAUGAACAGAAAAAUAAAUGGCUGAAAAUGAAUAUCUUUAAAAAAUGAUGAAUAGAAGUCUGUAAAUCAGAUCAAGAGUAUAGAACUGUUUAAAUAGUUUAAAGAAUUUUUAACAAAAAUUCAAUUGAUUUGAAUAUCUUUACGCCGUUAAACGAGAAAACGCCUCUUAUCGACCAUUAAAAUUACAAGUUUUGAAACCCUUUGAUUUUACGCAAAUGAGUCGAAAAGAUUUGAAAUUUGAUUUUAUAACACUUCAAGUGGUAUAUGAUCAUAUUCAACGAGCGCGAUCGUCAUUUGAAGCUCUAUCAUCGAAAACAAAUCGGUAGUAAAACGGCUUCGUUUACUACCGAUAGUAUUCUAGCAAAACUCUCUCUCUCUCUCUCUCUAUAUAUAUAUAAUUAAAAAAUAUAUAAAUAAAAUAUAUUUUAAUUACAUAUAGACUGAGUGAGUAAUUUGAAUUUCGUUAAAAUUGGAUCAAUAUUAUUGGCCCAUAAAACCAAACUCAAUAUGCCAACAAAACAAUAAAAUUUUACUAAAUUUACACUCUUACACUCUUUCUUUCACUAAAUUCUCUCUCUCUCUCUCUCUCUCUCUCUCUCUCUCUCUCCCCAAGCGGUCAAAGCCUAAAGCUUUUAAGUUACCAAGUAACAGCACGCGCUCGUUGUUGCCUAUCUCGCCAUUAGUUGUGUGCUUCAGAAAAUAUAUAAAAUAUUUUUAAGAUAAAAAUAUUAUUUGUACAAAAUUUUGAUUUUAGUUAUAUAUGAUUGUAUAGUUUAAUUCAAUAUUUACUUAUAUAAUUUAUUCAUUUUUUGACCGUAUAGAUGAAAAAAAAUAAUAUGGAAAUUGAAGGUGGGAGAGAAGAUAUAGAGCCUGAAAAGAUUAAAUAUUCAACUCAUAAGUUAUUUUUUUUAUAUUAUAAUACCGUACUUUAUAUAAUUAUUUUACAUUUUGAACUAUUAGAUAUAUUUUUAUAUUAAGUUGUAAAUAAUAUUUUAUACAAAUUAAACUAUUGAUCGUAUGAUGUUGAGAAAUUAAGCGGCUCGUUUAGUGUUCAAGCUUGUUCAACUCAAAAUUAGGCUCACUUGAGUUUGACUCGAAUUAAUUUGAAGCCAAGUUUGAGCCUAAAUUUAGACUCGAAAUUAAUUUCAAGCCGAAUUUAAGCUGAGAUAAACUCGGUCGAGCGCCGCUCGUUUCCACCCCUAACUUAGAGUGUGUAUAUCGGUCAGUUUGUACAAUAAGUCAAUAUAUAUAUAAAUAUUGGUAAUAGGCAGCUCAAUUAAUCAGGUUGAGGCGGACUAAGGUGUACCUCCCGUUUAGUGCAUAAGAGCAACAUGAGUGUGUCAUUCAGCAGAAAUUCUAGUAUGUAGCAUCCAUAUCAUAUUAUUCUUGUCGCCGGCCAAUAAUAAUACGGCAGCUCAUUUAAGAGGAGAUUAAAAACUAUCGCCAAAUCUCGUAUCAAUUACUAAUAAUUGAAAUAUAGAUAAUAUUGUGUAUCAUCGUAUUGAACUAUUGAAGACUUUUUCAAGAUCUAUUUUUUUUUUUCGCCGAGUAUAAAUAGAGUUUUUCUUUUCACAAAAGAAAAAAAGCUAGGGAAUGCGCUGUAAUUAGACAAUAAAAAAAGGUAUAUGGCAGAUAAUGUUAAAAUAAAAAGCAAAAUAGAUUAGAAGAGUUAUGCAGAUAAUAAUGUUGAAAAAAGCAAGGGAGACCAAAAAAAAAAAAAAAAAAAGCCUAGCGGUGGUGCGGCGGUGAUGAGACCAAUCAAGAUUUAGUUUGGUAUUGAAGUCUAUCUAACGCUAUUAGAUAGAAUAGAGUUGAGAAAAAGCAUAUAAAAAUAUACUUCUGCGUUUUUCGAUGAAAUUGUAAAAAAUAUAUUGUAACCGACUAAUCAUAAUAAACGAAACGUAAUAUUAUGUACGAAAAUAAAUAGGAUAUUUUUCUUCUUAUCGUACGUAACGCAAUCUUUCCGCAAUCUCAAACGAAGCCCAAGUUAUCUUAUAAAUAUCAGGUCAAUUUUACAGUCCAUUCUAAAUUUCAUAAUAAGUGUUAAUUAGUUUGUUUUCUUUUGUUUUCGUUUGCUUCGUGUGUUUUUUUUUCCCACUUCAUGGCUGCAGGACCCACUACUCGAGUUCGAGUCCUCAUCAUCAUACUCGCCCUCGGCGGAGCCUCCGCCGUGCUCCCCUCUGCAUUCCGAUUGGUUGCUGCCGCCAAUGCUGGCGGCGGAAGUCCGGCCCGCUCUAUUCUCGCCGCCGCGUUCUGCGCUCUUGGACUCUCUAUUCCGGUGGCUGCCUUCAUUCUCGGGCUGCACUUACUUUGCCUCCACUUCCUCGCGGAGGCGAAAGUGCCCACGCUGCUGGUCGUCCUCGCGGUGGCGGACGUGCCCACGCCGCUGGCCUCCGCGCCGGUGGUGGACGGCCUGGCGGCGGUGACUCUCACAGUGGCGAUGGCGACGAUGCUCCUCGGAGCGGCCCUCUUCUCGCUAGGAUUUUAGUGCCUAUAGAUCAAUCGAUCGGUCGGUCUUCGAAUAAAGCUUUUGUUUUCGGGUGCAGUAGUCUUCGUGUUCGUCUUCUGUUGCUCUUACACUUCCCUCACUUUUUUCAUACUGCUUUAAUCCAUUCCAUUCCAUUCUCUGAUGUAUAGUUGUCUCUGCAAAGUCGUCGUAAUGGUUCGGAUAUAAUAAAAGAUAGGAUUCGCUUCGUGUCUCUCAAUUUUGACAGAUUUUUCUUCCUUUUGAUUGCUUGGGUUUCUGCCGUAUCCGUUUUUAAUUAUGUAAUUUUAAUCGAAUUUGGGAUUUAUUUGCUGCUGUUACCCUGGUUUUAGUUAAAUUUAUGUUGCUUUAAUCCGGAUCUAUAGGAAUGUGGGAAUUUAUUGAUCCCACCAGAUGUUUUAUUUAAACGUAGCUGUUGAGUCUUUGAAUGAGGAAAUUUUUGCCAAAGUUCACGCUGCGGCUGCUGCUUCUUCUUCUUCUGCUGUAGUUUGUGAAAAAAUUGGAUCUCGCAGAGAGAGAGAGAGAGAGCGCGUAGCAUGGAAAAAUCUACUGCUUCUCCUCCUGUACGGUUUCCUCUGGUUUGCGCUAAAACCUCCUUUCAGGAAUAAUAUCUCAUUUCAAAACUUCAAAAAUAUCUUAUUUACUUUUUUUUUCUUUUCAAUAUAUCUCUCAUAUAUUACUUUGUUAUUCCAAAAUAUAUUGCAGUUAUUAUCUAUUAAGUUAGGUUAAACAUGAAUUAAAUAUCUACUAGAGUUAAAAAAAAAAAAUCAAAAUAUCUCUUUUGCCCUUAACUUGAGGAUAAAUAAAAAAUAUUGGUAAUGAUAGAAGGAUAUAUUUAAAAAGAUAAAAAAUCAAAAUAUUUUUUCUGCACCCUAAUUUAAGAGCAAAUAAUAAAAGUCGGUGAUGGUGGAAGGGUAUAUAUUUAAAAAGACAAAAUAGUAACUUCAUACAAAUAAUAGUUAUUGCUAAUACUCCAAUAACAAAACUCAACUUUAGAAGUAUAUUUGAAAUAGGUUGGAACAUAAAAAAAUAUAUUUUUAAUAUUAGCCUUUCAAGAGGAAUAAUAAAUUAGAAAGUCG
rnacentral:lncRNA from 1 species